CCGAGUUGAAACUGUCCCUGGGACACUGCAGCUUGUAUCUACGCUUCUGGAUGCUGAUGGAAAGCCAAAAAGAGGACACCCACUCCUGGAUGCAGAUGAUGAUCAAGAUCAUUUUGUUGAUAUAGCAGAUAGACAAGAUAAAAGACAUGAUAUAGCUGGUAACCAAGGGCAGAGACGAGAGCCGAUUGGGGACACCAAUAACCUGCUGGAAACACCAACCCGAUCAACACACAUCAACGACCAAAGAUACAUACCUAGAAUUUGGCAGAGGAUACUGGAGUACUGGUCGAUUCCCAAGGAGCAGCCAUUGACAGACGAUGAUCUCCUCCCUGCACUAGGCAUGUCAAUCAUUUAUAGCCUUGCUGGCUGUGAUCAAAAUAAUUGUGUGGAAAUAGACAGAGUAACUGAUCUGAUCCCCAAUAUAAUUGGAUUCACAAGCUUCAGAAGUGCAAUGGUAAAUUCCGAAGCACAACAGAAGGUUCUCUUAAAGUCAUCGUUGAAGGUACUGCAGAGGCUCACAAGCAUUGAAGGGGAAAUUGGCAUAACACUGCGGUACAAGAUAUCAAAACAUCCCUUCUUACUGCGAAACCUUGCAGAGAUCUUGCGAGACAAUAGCAGCAACAAACAAGAACUAAGGAAGCUCGUGGUAGGAAUCCUCAGAAACCUUGCCAUUGACAGACACACAAGGCAAGAGAUGGGACAAAUGCAAAUGCUCAUUACCACGCUGAUCAAGGCAUUCCUCGAUUUUAAAGGAUUAUUUAGUUCAGAUGUUGAUUGCUUGCUGCCAAAGGUCGCCGGGCAAGCAUUGGUAAUGCUGUCAUCAGAAAAUUCGCAUAACUGCUUUGUUAUGUUGAAGGAACCAGAUUUCAUUCAUAAACUAAAAAAUAUGAUCCUAAUCCAUGGUGAUAAAUACAUAUAUGUGGCAGCGAGUCUAUUGCGUAAUAUGUGCCUGUAUGCUCAACAUGAGCUCACAGAAUCAGACCAAAAGGAACUAUCUCACACAUUGCGAGAGGUGAGCCCUGCUCAUACAUACUACAAGUCCAAUAUAGAGGUGUAUAGCAUGCCGUAUCAUUUUUGCAUUCACUGUCUAUUAAUUUUUGUCUUUGUUUUGCUAUUUUUGGUAAAAAGAAGGGGGCAUUUAUUUACCAAUGAAGUAUAUAAGUAUAACUAUAGUUUGUACAACUAUAUUUAUCAUACUACAUGACAUUACUGGUUCCACUACAGGUGUUGGAAAGAAUAAUGGACACUGAAGGGGCAGAACUAGAAAUCCUCAUUGGCCUUAGUUCACAGAUAUGCAAACUCAUUCCUGAAGAAUUUUCCCAAGAGCUAGAGCAUGGACAGAUUAAGCGGAGAUUCAUUAAGAGGCUAGUGGACACCCUGAAUGCAAACAUGAACCCAAGUUCUCAUUGCCCUGGGAUCCGGAGGGUGGUACUUGAGCAAUCCAUACACAUGAUGGAGUACAAUUCUCGCUAUGCCAAUUAUUUCAAUGAAUACCAGAUGAUGGAUGCACUGUCGUUUGUAGAAUUGACACCCUCAAGGGCUGAGAAUUACAUGGUUUUCUUGGGUGACGCAGGUUUCAUGGAAUGUAACACACCUCUCUCUGCCCUAGUGGACAGGGCAAAAGAACUGAUGGGUCGUCAGUGGCUGCAAGGUAUCAGCAGUGCCAACUGAAAAAAAAUAAAAUGUUUUUGCAUAUACAGUCAGAAGACCUUGCAUAUUGUUAGUGCAGGGCAAACAAAGUGAUUCUGCAUUUACAGUCAGAAGACAACGCAUGUUGCUAGAAAGAACAUAUAUUUACCUUUAAGAUGAGCAAAGGGUAUUGUAUCUGUACAUCAUGAAUCUUGCACUGUAAUCUGUGUGCUAUUGAUGAUUUAUCCAAUUAUCAUUUGUUGAGUGGCCAUAUUGCAACUCCUAUCCCACGUUCUAGCUUGUUCCAGUUUUGGCAUCGCUUAUUUCCAUAAAAUCUGUGGUUUAUUCGACACCAGAAAAUUGGGUUUUCUGCCCUUGUGAUUAACCCCAUUCAACACAAGUUACUAUGGCUGAGAAAUUCAGACCAUGACAAUGCGCAACUUAUGGAGUACAAUGUUCCACUUUCUUGUUGUCUGGACAGAGCAACAAUGUUGAUUAAUGUGAACUCGACUCCUAUUUAAGUCAUGCGUCCAUGUCAGUGCACUAUGAUGUUAAUAUCAAUGUGCCACGGUGCCUGAUUUUUGUGGAGCACAGGGUUCUCAAAUUCACAUAUACGUCUCUCAUAUUGAGAUCAAAACUACGGUGCAUUGAGUUUCUGCAACCCGAGUAACCACUAUAAACUAGUAAUCGAACAACACUCCCCAAGUUUCCACAUCCCUAACCCAUGAUUCUCUCUAUUUUCUUUAACGUAAGUAUAACCAUGAUUAGAACUGAACCGAAUUACCAAAGCAACGAGAAAUAAAAAAAAAAUCAGUUUCCUUGUCAAGCGAAGAGGAUCCUAUUUGGGAUUCGGAAAAAAAGGGGAGGGGAGCAACAGUUGGGGAAUGGCCUGGAUGGUUACCUCUCCCUCGCCGCGUCGGCUUCCCCUGGCCCGCCGCGCAGCCGGCACCGUCUCGCCGCGCCGCCGUCGCUGGUCGCCCUCGCUGUUAGUCGGUGGAGGUAGCCCGCAGGCAGAGGCAUUUGCCCCCGACCAUACGAAGCAAAGUAGACAGCGGUAGGUGCUAGGCUAGUGUACAUAGUAGAUGGGCCUACCAGGUAAUUGGGCCGGUUCCAUACAAAGGAUAUAGGGGCUGUCUAAACUUGCAUUAAGUUCACUUUAGGUCCCUCCAUUUUUCGCCAACUCUGAAAUUAAGCCCUAAACCAAAAUACUCCUAUCAUAUAUAACGGGUCCCUCAACAUUUACAAGACCAGCUCACCCGAGAUCAUAAGCAGUAUCUAUAUACCUCCUUAAAAUAUUCGUAACUAUCCGAUCUUUUUCGUCCGUCACCCAUUUUUUCGUCCGUAUCGCGUGCACCUCCUCUCUAAAUCCCACGUCAAAACAAUCACAACCCAACCCAAAAACAAAAUUGCAAUCCAAAUCCAAUUGGAAUCAUCAAAAGAUCAUCUAACACAACUACAAGAACAGAUUUCAUCAACACAAGAAGACGAAAAAAACGCUGACACCAAAAGGGGAGGGUGCCACCGUCGCCGUCGCUGACUUCCCUCCCGUUGGAUUCGGCGGAGGGGAGGGCGGCGCCGCCGCUGGGACGCCGACGGGCUGCCGCCACCUCCCCUCCCACUGGAUCCGGCGGAGGGGAGGGCACCUCCCUUGUUCGCCGCCUCCCCUCCCGCCGAAAGGGAGGGCGUUGCCGCCUGCCGCCGCCGGCCACCGUCGAGCCCUCUCGCGGCCCCAUGGCGAGGGAGAGGAGGCGAGGGGCGGAAAGGCGCAGCCACCCGUCGCCGCUCACGGAAGGAGAGAGGAGGCGCCACGGCUGAGCCGCCCGCCACCCACCGGGUGAAAGACGCUGCUGGCCGGGGGGAGGGCGCAACGGCAGAGGCGCUGGUGGGAGAAGGGCGUUGCGGUGGGGGAGGGCGCCACCGCAGCCGCUCGGGGAGGGUGCCGCCGCUACCGCUUUGAGAGAGAGCAAGGGGAUCGGGGGGGGGGGGGGGAAUUAGGGUUAUGUUUUUUUUUACUGCCCAGUAUUUAUACAGGUCGGGAAUUAAUCGGGACUGUCCAUUAGAUCGGACGAACCUGGCUUCUCCAGCGUGGGCUGUCGCACUAUUGGGCCACACGUACCUAGCAGAAGAAGGCUGCAAGUUUGGGCUAAAAUCAGUGUUUUUUCUCUCAAUAAUUUUAAGUAUUUUUUCUAUUUUCAGAAAUAGAAUUAGUAACAUUUUAAUUGUUUAUGACUGCUUAGUAAUUUCAUUCUAGCUAAAUUAAACCAACGAGAAAUUUUGGCUAGAUGUUUCUCACGAUAUGGAUUUGGGAUUCCAAAAGUGUUAACAUGAUAUGGAUUUACUCCCUCCGUUUCAAGUUAUAAGACUUUCUAGCAUUGUCCACGUUCAUAUAGAUGUUAAUAAAUCUAGGCACAUAUAUAUGUCUAGAUUCAUUAACAUAUAUAUGAAUGUGGGCAAUGCUAGAAAGUCUUAUAAUAUGAAAUGGAGGAAGUAGUAUUUUCCGUUGUAACGCAUGAUCACUUUUUCUAGCUAAAUGGAGACACCAAAAAAUAUAAUUAUUUAUCUUGCACCAUUAUACUCCUGCAGUACCAAAAAGAAAAUAGUAAUGAUUUCGUAAAGAAGUAUAUAAAAUGCAAAAUUUUGGCUUGGAUCAUGAUAUUUGAAAGUUGAUCGUCUAAUGCUUAUAGUUUUUUUUUUCCAGUGCAAUGCACGGGCAUUUUGCUAGUUAUACCCAAUAUUAGCUUACGUGGCAAGCAGAGUCAGCAUGGGACCCACGUGGGACUCAUAUGUCAAUGAGUAGUAUUUUCUGGAAAACUAUUUUGAUCCCUCGAGAGAAUGUUCCCUCGUUGUUUGUAUGUCACUCAAAUGGUCAUGAAAAAAUUUUGAAAAAAAUUUGAGAAGAUGUAUUAACAUGUGAUAUAUCACUCCACAGACAUGCAAGUUCAAAUUCAACUUCUACAUCUCGCAACGAAAAAAACAAAUUUGAUUGUGAAUUUACGUUAACUAGUUGUAGUUUAAUUUGUUUUUUUCGUUGCGAGACGUAGAAGUCGAAUUUGAACUUGCAUGUUUGUGGAGUGAUAUAUCACAUGUUAAUACAACUUCUCAAAUUUUUUCAAAAUUUUUCAUGACCAUUUGAGUAACAUGCAAAUAACGAGGGGAUAUCCCCUCGAGGGAUCAAAAUCCACUCCCAGUAUUUUCUUCCUCCUCUCUAUACCAGUAUACCAUGAUUAGUGAUCUUUGCAUGAAGGAGAUGAGCUACCAUGAGCAGGAGCACCAAGGGCUCAUCGCCGCCGCCAGCAGCAGCGGCUUAGACUAGUUCGAGGAGUCCACACUGGUGGAGAAACCAUCUUUGGUCAGUCGGCCGAAAUCCACAAUAGUCCCGGUUCCACUAAAAACUAGGACUAAAGAUGAUCUUUAGUUCCGGUUGGUAGCUACAGCAGGCAUAUACGAUCUUUAGUCCCGGUUGGUAACACCAACCGGGACUGAAGAUCAUCUUUAGUCCCGGUUCUUAAGAUGUCAAGCCCGGUUGAUAACACCAACUGGGACUAAAGAUCCCCCUUUAUAUAUGUCUUUUUCCUCCUCCAGCCCAAGCAAGCUUCAAAAUUUCUCCUCCAAAAAAGAGGGGAGGUCAUGCCAAAAUUUCUUGUGAAAUUUUUUUAGUGUUUAUAUACAAAUCGGAGGUGUCUAAAUGGUUAGUAACUUCAUCCUCCAAUGUUUUUUUGUUGUUAUAUUACUUUUGGAGCUAUGUUUCACAUAUUUUUUUUGUCUCCAAAACUUUGUUGUAAGUUGAUGAGAGAGAAAAUUUGUGUGGGGAAGAAGAAUAUAUAGGAAUUUUGUUUGUUUACUUAAAAAUGCUUUAUUCUCAUAGUUUAAAAUGUAAUGAAAAUUAAUCUUAAAAAGUAGAAAACAAACUAAAUUGAAAAUUAAAAGAAGUAAAACAAUAAUAUUAGUUUAAAACUUCAAAAAUAAUAAAUAAGAAUUAUUUGUUGGAUUAUUUUAUAAUUAUUGAAUGAAUAAUGAUAUGUCAUUAUUGUAUGACUGUUGAAAGAGUUUUUAAUUAUUUUAUCAUUAUUGUAUGACUGUCAUUAUUGUACGAAUAUUUAUUUAUGUACGAUUUUUUUUCAUUUCAUGUAGAUGGAUCGGCAAUGGAUGUACGCUGACCGGCGGUCCAAAGAGUUUAUCGACGGCGUGCAUUAUUUUUUGAGAGUAGCCGAAGCUAACAAGCAUAAGGGUUUUAUUUGUUGUCCAUGUAAUAAGUGUAAGAGCCAGAAGGAGUAUUCUACAUCCAGGACUAUUCAUUUCCACUUAUUUGAGUCAGGGUUCAUGCCAAGCUAUAACUGUUGGACAUCCCACGGUGAGCAAGGGGUUGAAAUAGAAGAAGAUGAAGUGGAAGACGGGAACAUUCCGGACUGGGCUCAGUACGCUGGAUUUGAAGGAAAUCAAAUGGGCGAGGUGGACAGGGAUGCUGACGAUAACGACGCUGUGGAUGAUCUUGGUCAGAUGUUGUAGGAUGCCAAGGAGGACUGUGAAAGUGAAAAGGAGGCCCAUAAAUUGGAGCGUAUGUUAGAGGACCAUAGAACGUCGUUGUACCCAGGUUGCGAGUAGGGGCACAAAAAGUUGGAUAUCAAUCUGGAGUUCUUGCAAUAGAAGGCAAAAAAUGGUGUUAGUGACAAGGCAUUUGGCGAUUUAUUAAAACUCGUCAAGAACAUUCUUCCGGAGGGAAACAAAUUACCCGAGACAACGUACGAGGCUAAGAAUAUAGUCUGCCCUCUAGGACUGGAAGUUCAGAAGAUUCACGCUUGUCCGAAUGAUUGUAUCCUAUAUCGCGGUGAGGAGUACGAGAACCUAGAAGCAUACCCUGUUUGUAAAGCACUACGAUACAAGAUUAGACGAGAUGAUCCAGGUGAAGUUGACGGGCAGCCAACGAAGAAGAGAAUUCCUGCUAAGGUGAUGUGGUAUUUCCCUAUAAUACCACGGUUAAGGCGUUUGUUCAGGAACAAGGGGAAUGCUAGAAUGAUGCGUUGGCACGCUGAAGAACGUCAACAGGACGGGAUGCUGAGACACCCCGCCGAUGUUUCGCAGUGGCGAAACAUCGACAGAACAUUUAAAAACUUUGGAAAUGACACAUGAAACAUUCGGUUUGGUUUAAGUACGGAUGGCAUGAAUCCUUUUGGAGAGAUGAGCAGCGGCCAUAGCAUUUGGCCCGUUACGAUGUGUAUCUACAACCUCCCCCUUGGCUAUGCAUGAAGAGGAAGUACAUUGUCACACCCUAAAAAUCUCCAAAUUAUAAAUUGUUGUUAAAUUGGAAUUAUUAAAAUUUAUUUUAAAAGCCUAGAAGAGAAGAUCUAAUUUUAAUAAAUAAAUUCCAAUAUAAAAUGGGGCCAGAUAAAAUUUUAUUAAAUACUUUGCUUAAUUCCAUAAUUCCUAGAUUUUUCUGGGAUUUAUUUGAGCUAAGGAAGUAUUUUUAAUAAAUGGAAUUGCAUUUAAUGAAUAAUUUAAAUUGAAAAAGGUUUUUAAAAUCUUCCUUUAGGCUUUGGGCCGAAAGUCGGCCCAAACCCUUCUCUCUCUCUCCCCGGCCCAGUCCGCCCGCAGCCGCCGCGCGCGUGCGCCCCGGACGCUGACAGGUGGGGCCCACCUGUCAGGCCCGUUGUCUUCCUCCCGACGAAACCCUAGCCGCGCCGCGCCGCCGCCGCCAUUCCAAUCCGGCCGAUCCUUUCCGUUUCCGAUGAAAUCAAUAGAGGGGAAAUGAUCUUCUCGAUCUCCUCUAUCUUUUCUCUUUUGGAAUCACCAGCUAAAAUCGCUUGGAAAGUGUUUGAUUCGAGGUCGAAUCGGAUCGGUCUCUCUCCUCCGAACCCUAGACUUUCCAUCCCGCCGCCGGUCGCCGUGGGCCUCCGUCGCCGCCUCCUAGCCGCUAUAAAUUGACCCCCAAGCCCGCCGCUACCCGCCGCCACCCUCGCCUUCGUCCCGCGCCGCCCGUAGCGCCCUAGCCCCGUGCAGUCUAGCGCCGCCGUCGCCGCCGCCGCUCCAGCCGUGCGCCGCCGUCGCUCCAGUCGUCACCGUCGCACGGGGAGGUCGCCGUCGUGGUCGCCGUCUCGUCGCCGUUCUCGUCCGCCCCUUCGCCGUCGCUGUCGACCGCCGGAGCACCGUCGCCGUCGUCAAGCCGAAGGUUGCCGCCGCUUCUUCCUCGUCGCCGACGUCGUCCGGUCAUCGUCCGCCGUCGCUUUGGUCGCCGGUGAGUUCGCCGUGCCGCCCGCAACCCGUAGAGGCUUUCCGUUCGCGCUGUCGUGCCGUGGUUCGCCGGCGAGCUCGCGUGGUUCGGUCGCCGCCGGUGGUGACGUCGUCGCUGACGUCAUCGUCGUCGUCCAUCCGUGAGCCGCGGUGGAUCCAAUCGUUCUCGGCCGUCCGUUGUGGGUAGGAUAGAUCUCAGCCGUCCAAUCUCGUGAACCGCCGCCGUGCACCCAGUCCACCGUGAGCCGAGCCCGCUGACGCAAUAAACCCCUUUUUCCUUUUCAAAAAUAAUUCAUUAUUGCGUCAUAAUUCAAUUAAAAUCCAUAUAAAUGAUUUAAAUCGAUUUAAUCUUUGAAAAUUCAUAACUAAUUCAUCUUAGCUCGGAUUUAGUUGGUUCAAGUCUCUAAAUUUUUCUAAAAUUGAGAUCUACAUGUUAAAAAUAUCCACAUGUACUGUUCAUGCUUGUUUAUGUGCUGUUUUGGUAAUUUUGUUCUUUUCUCUUUAGAUUCCGACGUUCCCGGAGAGUCCGAAUUUGCAGGAGAAGACUUUGAGGAUUUUCAAGGCCAGCAAGGCAAGUCACACAGAUCCCAAAUAACCCUUUGAGCAUGUUGAUCCUAUUUAAAGCUAUUGUUUCUAUUCAACUAUUGCAUCUAUUUUCGAAUGUCAUUGGGUGGAAUUAACCUAUUCUUUGUUAUGGCCCUUUUGUACUUGAUUACUUUAUUCUUUGAUACCUUGGGCUAUUAUAAUUUGACUAGUUGAGCUUUAUAUAAUGGUUCAGCUAGAUGUUAGGUAUAAUUGCUUAUCCAUGCUUAGAAACAUUAGUUCACUAAUGGGAUAAUUUAAGAUUCACUAUUAUUUAAUGAUGGCUUAAUGAUAGCUCAUGAUGGUUAAUCAUGAUUGGUUAAUUAAUUAAUUUGACAAUUAAAAUAUGAUAAUGGUGGGUUGUGAGCAUAUGGUUUUGAUGGUUGUGCUCAUGACAAUUAAGGACCGGUUCACGAUUUUCGGUUGUGAAACAUUUACCGUGCCAACCACAAGCCAGCAUGGGCAACGGCUUUACUUUCUAUAUAGUAUGGUUCAUAGUAGAGCACCAGACUGUGAAGUGGCGGAGAUAAGCCCACGGGGGUCGCUGGGGAGUCCAUACCUUGUUUAUAAGGGGGUGAUUAUGAUCCGGGAACGGUGCACUGCUUUGAAUUGUAUUAUAUAGAGGGUAUUGUCACAAUCUCUAUUCGGGUACUUGUCAAGUAUCGCGACGCAUGGUUGACAUGAUGUUGAGGUUGUGUCUUGUGGGUACAGUGGUACACCUCUGAUCAGAGUUUAAACUAUUCGAAUAGCCGUGCCCGCGGUUAUGGGCGGGUCUAACAAUGUUUUUCGUGAUUAGUCUCACCCCCACACUAUAUUAAAUGAUGAUGUUAAUAACUUGUUUAACUCCUGGUUUGGAGAUAGACUUGUGCAGCCGGGAUUGGUUGUUCAGAAUGGUUGGUCCUAUGCAACAGGGUAUGUUGUAUAGUGUUGGAUUAAUAUUGCUUAAUUACUGUUUAACUGUUUUAUUAAAUUCUGAGAUAUUUAUUAAAUGCUGUUUAUGCAAAUGAGACUAUACUAUGCCAUCCUUUGUUAUCCUGUGCAUUUGCAUAUUUGCUGCGUGGCUUGCUGAGUAUGUCAUAUACUCACCUUGCAAUCAUUCAUCAGAGGAGGAGUUCUACAGUGAUGUCGAUGGAGUUGAUGAUUAGGCGUAGCCCUGGUCAAGCUGCCUGUGGAGAGGAGUCGUCUGCGCUGUUUCUUUUUUUUUUCCGUUGCUUAGGACUUUAUUGAUUGAGAGGAACUAUCUAUCUCUGUAAUGAUAUUUUGUUCGCUUAUUAAUUAGAGUAAUAAUUUGUACUCUAUUAUCAAUUUGUUAUUGUGUGCCUCGGCUGAUUCCUGGACGAGGGUUUAUACACAUGUAAGCGUUUGGAAUUUUGGAUAGAAAUUCCGGGCGUGACAUACAUCAUGAUACCGAUUAUUAUUCAAGGCCCCAAGCAACCUGGUAGCGACAUCGAUGUGUACCUAAGACCACUGGUCGAAGAUCUGAAACUGUUGUGGAAGAAAUAAGGUGUCCUCGUGUGGGACGAGGACAAACAUGAGGAGUUUAACCUACGAGCGCUGCUGUUCAUAACCAUCAACGAUUGGCCUACACUUAACAACUUAUCCGGGCAGUCUAACAAGGGGUACAAGGCUUGCAUUCACUGUAUGGAUGAAACUGAAAGUACGUAUCUUAAGCAUUAUAGGAAGGUUGUGUAUAUGGGUCAUCGUCGAUUCCUUGCUGCAAACCAUCCUGUACGGAAGAAAGGCAAGCACUUUGAACAUAAGGCAGACCACCGUACGAAGCCUAAACAUCGCAGCAAAAAAGCAGUGUUUGCUAUGUUGAAAGAUCUUAAAGUAGUGUUUGGAAAGGGACAUGGCAGCCAGCCUAUAGAGAGCGAAGAUGGUCACGCGGCGAUGUGGAAAAAGAACUCUAUUUUUUGGGAGUUACCCUAUUGGGAAUUCUUGGACGUCCGCCACGCAAUCGAUGUGAUGCACCUCACUAAGAACCUUUGCGUAAACCUGCUUGGCUUCCUAGGUGUAUAUGGAAAGUCGAAAGAUACACUUGAAGCACGUAAUGAUCUGAAGCAUAUGGAACAACGCGGCGACCUUCACCCAGAACCAAAGGAGAAAGGAAGCCAUUACUUGAGUCCAGCCAGCUACACUCUUAGCAAGGCAGAGAAGGAAAGUAUGUUUGAAUGCUUGGAGAGCAUCAAGGUACCGUCUGGAUACUCCACGAACAUAAAGCGAAUAAUAAGCACGAAGGAGAAGAAGUUCACAAACCUAAAGUCUCAUGACUAUCACGUGUUGAUGACACAAUUGCUACCAGUUAUAAUUCGGGGUAUCCUUCCAGACAAUGUCUGGGCAACAAUAACAAAGCUAUGUGCUUUCAUGAAUGCAAUUUCGCAGAAGGUCAUCGAUCCGGAUAGAUUACAAGCCCUUCAAAAUGAUGUGGUGCAAUGUCUUGUCAGCUUUGAGUUGAUAUUUCCACCUUCAUUUUUCAAUAUAAUGACGCAUCUGCUUUGUCACCUUGUCAAAGAGAUCGGUAUUCUCGGGCCUAUGUACCUACACAACAUGUUUCCUUUCGAAAGGUACAUGGGCGUUCUGAAGAAGUAUGUUCAUAACCGUGCUCGUCCAGAGGCAAGCAUCGCCAAGGGGUAUGGAACAGAGGAGGUCAUUGAAUUCUGCGUAGAAUUUAUCGAAGACCUUCGCCCAAUUGGGGUGCCUGAAUCACGCCACGAAGGGAGACUACGGGGAAAGGGGACUCUCGGAAGGAAAGCAAUAAUGCCGGUGUUAACAACCAAAUUUGGUAAUCUAAGUAUCAGAGAUGAAGAUCAAAUCGAAGCGGAGUCCAAGACAAAAAUCGUUUCGGAAAUAGAGCAAGAAUCGGCUAAGUCCGAAUCGGCUGCGACCAGAAUCGGUAGAGUUCGAGUCGGACAAGGUUAGCCGAUUGAGCCGAUUCCGACAAUACGACUCGAUACAUGACAUCUGGUUAGGUUGAAGUGCUUCAUAUGGAUUGCCAUGCACGGAUUUGAGUCCUGGAAAGGCAAUUGUAUCUAUUAAUUAGGAUAUUUUAUGUAAUUUCCUUAGAGAUAAGUUUGGGCAAAAGUCUGCCGCAAAGACUUAUGGUAUCUUAGAGUUUGUUAAAGAUAAGAGUCGUGCCCGACAAGGACAUAUUCUGUAUUUCGGGUAUAAAUAUGACCCGGACCCAUGUAAUCAAACAGACGUUCAAUACAAUCUCGGCGCAUCGCCACCCUUUUACUUUCGUUUCAUCUCGACGAGUUCUUGCUUUCGGGUUGAGCUGCAUCGGUUUUGAUCUUCAACUAGAGGUAAGCUUGUCAUGCCGGCUUGUGUUCUCGGGAUUAGUGCUUCUAUCUUUAUGAUACUCUAAUCUUGUUUAUGUAAGUUGUCGAGUUAUCAUAUAUUCUAUAUAAUCUCUGGCAAUAUUGUUAUUUAACCUUCAACCGGCUAACAUCUAUCAUUAGGAGGCAGCCGAUUAGGUUAAACAUCAAUGUUGACUUAGAUUAUAUAGGGUAUCUACCACUCUAUGAAACAUCCAACGGCUUGAUUGUCUAGAUAUUGUCUUUCUUUUCAUACUUAUGGCUGCUUCAGUUAAGUGUGAUCUCAUUAGUCGUGAUUAGAACUCCAAUCUCUAGCCUGCUUUUUGGUUGCCGAUUAGGGUAGUAUCGUGGUUUCAGCCAAUCUUACCUGAUUUAACUACUUUAUAUCCUAUAUGCUUGAUUGAUAUGUUAAAUCUGCCCUUUAUGUUAAGAUCUUGUUGCAUUUAAGUAUAUUAAGCUUCCUAUUUGAUAUAUUUUGCUCGCUUUAAUAUCUUAAUAUAGAGUGGUAUCGGAGUAUUAGCUGAUACAUGCUAGAUCUAUCUAAUCGGCUAUGCUAUGAACGUUUAUAAUCUUCUUGUUAAUAUAUAUUUCGGUCUAAGUGAUUUAUACUGUAUCGGCAUGGCGACCGAUCUAUCCCAAUCACUUGAUUCAAAUAUAUAUCGAUAGAAGUAUUAUAUUUCGUUAAUAUCUACAGCCGAUCGAGUAGAUUUAGUUCUUUCUUGCUUAUUUAUUACUGCCGAUCGAUGCAAAGAUGACAUCGGCUCAAAGAUAAAUGAUACAUCAUCGGCGAUUGACCGAUCGGCUAUCAUUUAUGGAUUUAACUAUUAUUUUCCUAUCUUUGUUUCUUGUUGAUUGCAGGAUCAAAUCAACUGACACGCUCACGAACUUAAAGACAAUAUUUUUGGACCUGCACUGGAGUUAAGCAGAUCUCCCAGGCCUCGUGUUUUUCACAUCAACACACUUUUGGCACGCCCGGUGGGACCUGAUUAGAAGUCAGAGAUUUGCAACUACGAUUUCUCAUGGCCGAGAAACCACCACAGUCACCAUCAUCGGCAACAAAGCCGGUGGUCCCUCCUCAGACCAAGAUUCCAAAGCCUCCGGGAACAAAUGAGUCCGAGGUUCACGAAGCAAACAUCGUCCCAGUCACUAUAGACAAGCUGUCACCAGAGCAGAAGGAGUUUGAAUUAAUGAUGAAGCAUACGCAACAACAAUUCAUGAAUUCAUUUACAGAGACUCGGCAAGGGAGUGUCGUUCAAAAGUACAAGUUGAAGCUAAUUGCCGAUGUACCGGGAACAGGUUCUUCUCAAGAUGGUGAGAUGCAAAAAGCUCAAGUCAGUACAGAUGGUUCAGGUGGUAAAGGCACUGCCGAUGGCUCGGGCAAUAAACCUCAGGAUGGCUUGGUUGAGGGUCUUGGUGAAGAUAAUGACAAAGAGCAAUUGCAGUGCAAUAACUUCCAAGAUCGGAUUGAUUAUGCUGUGCAGCAUGCUUUGAUUAACCAAUCAGGAGUCCUUGUCAAUACUUUGUCGAAUAUGAUCAAGACAAUGGUCGAUGGCACAAUAGCUGAGCACCAAGCAAUGGGACCAGUUUAUCUUCCAGGAGGCGUUUUCCCAAAUUACAGAAGCUUGGUAACUGGUAACCAACAGCCCACUGCCAAUGCGCCACCUGUUCAGCCGGCGGCACCAGUUUCAACUUCAGCACCAGCUGCACCUUCGUCGGCACAAAGGCAGAUGAUAAAUCCUCGAUUGCUGACCAGAGAACAGCCACAACAUGUUGGACAAAAUAUCAAUCGGCUGACUCAGGAACAGGUUGCUGCGAUGUUCCUACCAAAUCCACGAACGGCCGAUCCAGUACAAUCGGCGCCGAUUUAGCAAACACCACUGAGACAGCAGACGGUUCAGCCGAUUCAACAGCAAAAGUUGCAACAUACAUCGGCUAGGUUGGGAACACCUGAUAAUCGGCAGAGGCAGCACAUUGUGAAUCAAGUUAUCCCUGAGCACUCGGUCCAUAAUGUCCAACCAGAUCAGUCAGUUGUACCCCAAGUUAUUCCUGAGCAUUUGAUGCGUAAUUGUGGGCCCCGGCUUUACACACCGGAAACCCCAUGUAUCUUACAAUACCAUUCCCUGGAUCAGUAGAUGGCACACACAUGGCACAGUUGUAUAUCACAAGCUGACAUCGUUAUAUAGGUUGAACUAUACAUUAAUAAUACAAGGGUAGCCCAAAUGGGUCCCAAAUAGACCGAGCAUGGUUAUGUACAUUACAAAAUACUAGAAGAAGUAGAUGAGAUAGCGGAAGCGAUGCAGCGGCGGUCUAACGUACUCCACAGGCAUCGACUGGUGUACCUAGGUCCCGACUCCACAGUCUUCGACAUAUCUUCAUCAGCAUAGUUCCCGAAUGGUCGACUCCAACUCCUCUCUAAAAGAUUUAGUUAAGCAAGGGCGAGUACCAACCGUACUCAGCAAGCCACCACUACAGAAUGUAUUUAGUGCACACAGGGGUUCAAGAAUGGCUUGGUUUAUUUCCAUAAAGCUAUAUUUCACAAAUCAGUUCACAAACCUAUGACUUAGCAGUUUUAACUAAAAAACAACGUUAAGUUGAAGUUGUCAUUAAUCCGCGAGGGUUCAUCCACCUUCCCCAAGCCUCGCUUGGUCCGAUUUACCCUCACAUCCAGUUUUCCACAUUUCCAACAUCAUCAUGACCUUUGUCACGUCCUGAUAAAUUCAUCCCGAAAUAAAAAUCAUUCGCUAAAAGGAAUAAUAGAAUUAAUUAAAAAUUCGAAAAGAAAUUGGCAAACACUAAAAUGCGUAUAAGAAAAAUUCAAAUGUGACCCGGAGAAUUUUUGUUAAAUUCUCCUUGGUCUAAAAGGAGCCCUCAAAUUUUAGUGGAAUUUUCAGAGCACAAAUAAUAAAUGAGAAGAAAUAAACAAAGUUAAAAAGGUUUUAUAAAAAGAAAAACCCUAAAAGUCUUCUUUUCCCCCCUCCCCUUCUUGGGCCGGCUCGGCCCACUUCCCUCCCUCUCUCUCUCCUCUCCCCCGCGGCCCAUCGGCCCCCUCCCCCGCGCGCGCGCCGCUGACAGGCGGGCCCGCCCGCCAUCCUCGCUGACGGGUGGGGCCCACCUGUCAUCGCCUACCUCGCGCCGCGCCCGCCGCCCGCCCGUGCCCUAGCGCCGCCGCCGCCGCCGAAUCCGCCGCAUACCGCCGUCCCCGCGCGCCAUAAAGAGGGGGAAAUCACUCCCCGUGAUUCCCUCCCUCUUUCCCCCCUCUUUUCCCUCUCUCUCUCCCUCGGAUUCGUCCGGAUUCAUUCCCGCAAAGUUCGCCGGCGCAUCAAUGGCGGCCGAGAUUUCCGCGGCCGAUUCCUUCCCCACCGGCCGCUCUCUCCCCCUCCCGACGCUAUUUAAUUGUUCCCCGUGCCUCUCUCCUCCGUUUCCGCCGCUCGCCGCUCGCUCUCCCCGUCGGAUUCGUGCUCGCGCCGUCGUCCUCUCUCUCCGCCGUCGCCGCCGAGCUUCGGUUCGCCGCCGUCGUCGCCCCGGACCUCCUCCCGUCUCGGCGUCACCUCCAUCGGCUUCGCCGCGUCCUCGUCGACCUCGUCCGCGCCUCCGUUUCGCCCGCCGACCGUCGGAGCGCCGUCGUCCUCGUCGUCCCGAACCGCGCCGCCGCCUUCCUCCGCUUCGGCCGCCGUUCCCGUCGUCGCCGUCGACCCGGGGUGAGCCGAAGACCGCCCCUUUCGCUUCCCUCUCCUCUCCGCUCUCUCGGGCGCCGCAUCGCCGCGCCGGUGGUCGCCGGCGGUGACCAUCGGGGCGCGGGCGCGCCGCUUCCCGUCGGCCGUGCCGGCAAGGCCGCCUUCGGGCGCGCCCCGCGGCUGCCAUGUGGGGCCCGGCCGUCAGCCGCCCGCGCCCUCGGGUGCGGCUGACGCGUGGGACCCACGGCGCCGGCCGCCGCCAGCCGCGUGCUCCCGGUCCACCGUGGACCGAGAGGCUGACGCGUGGGCCCCACUCCCGUGGACCCGGUCCGCGCGCCCUCUCUCUCGGCUGACGCAAUAAAUGAGUUUUUAAUUAAAAUUUAAAUGAAGAAAUUCGCAAAUAUCCAUUUAAAGAGCAUAUAAACUUCAAAUGGCCAUAACUUGGCCAUUUGAACUCGGAAUUGGACCGUUCAAGUCUCUGAUUUUUCCUUAAGAAGUCAAGAACCCAUUUUUGUGCUUUGUUUCUGCUUGUUAUAUGGAGUUUAUUAGAGUAAAAGCCUUUUCUUUUCCGUUGGUCGUGUAGACGCUGCAGCUUCGGAAGAUCCGCUCUUCGUGGAAGUUGAAGCCGUCGUUUGGGAAAGCGAGCAAGGCAAGUCACAUCAUCCUUGAACAUAUUGAAUCCCAGUUUAUAAAAUUAUGUUGCUUUAAAAUAUUGCAUUAUCGCUUUAUUUAAAUUCCCGCGUGAUCACUGUUUUAUUUAGCCAUGCCUAUUUACCUUUGUUAUGACCUCAUUAUUAUUGCUAUUGUUAUUAUUACCUUGUUCACCCUAGAAUAAACAAAACCCCAACUAGUGGGUACUCUAUUCCUGGUUCCACUAGUAUGAAUUUAGGUAGAUGCUUCGCUGAUUAAUAGGACAACAUUAGGUGGUUUUUAUAACUUUAGACUUUGGGAAUUCUCAUAUCAUUUGGACACUAUGGAAUGGUUGGCUUAUGUUGGAAUUGGACACACACCUCCCCCUCUAUUCAAAACCCCCAAAAUGGUUUUAGGCUGGGCUCGAGGUGCGUGGUUGGGUUUUGUUAGUCGUACCUCGGGUACUAUAAGGAUUAAGCUCGGGCCUCUGUUGCAAAGCACUACCGUACUUCCACAUGUCUAGUGGGUAAGGCUUAGUUUGUGGCUCAGUCUGGUUAUAAACAAAAGUACACGGAUGGAGGUGGAUGAAGUCGGGGGUCGAUGGACAUUCUCCAGGGCAAAUGAAGGCUACACGAGCUGCGGCCCGGUAGUCGAGAUGUCGUGGCAGAGGGUUGGUGCCCUGCUGCUUGGGGCUCAGUCCUGCCUGCCUGUCCCGGAGGUUCCGGCCGUAGGCGGGAUUGGGUCGGUACUCUUGUCUAUGGCUAGGAUGGGUUGGAAACUAUGUCACGUCUUCCGUCUGUAUACCGUGGUGGUAUGUGGCACGUGGUUACACGUGAGGAAGAUGUGUCUUGUGGGUAAAGAUGUACACCUCUGAUCAGAGUAUAAUCUAUUCGAAUAGCCGCGCCCUCGGUUAUGGGCAAGCCGAGCAAUGUACCCAAGUCAGUGUUUUAAUUCUUAAAAUUUGCUCAACAACUAAAAGGUGGAAUGGUUGGCCUGGGUUGGCUUGGGACGAGCUGGGACCCAGGGUCGGGUUGCCAGUUCGGUCUGAAUCAUCGUAGGCCUUGGGUUAAGGCAGGUUCGUGUGGGUUCACGGCCUUGUUUAAUAACACUGUGUAGCUCUAGGAUCGUCUUUAUAAAAUGGCUUUGGGCAACUAAGUGACUUUUAAAUGCUGUUUACUGCAAAACUUAACCUCUAUAUUAUUAUCCCCUUGUACCCCCUUGCAUUAAUUAUGCAUCUCCGGUGUGGCUUGCUGAGUACUGUGGUUGUACUCAUUCUUGCUCAAUCUUUCCCCUCUUCAGUAAGAGAAGCUUUGGAGAAGAAGUCUUAGGUGGAGUCUUGGCUUAUACCCCAGUUGAGCGCCUGUGAAGAUGGAGCCGUAGGCCCGCUAGUCCGCUGCUGUUUAUUUUUGCUUGUCAGGCCUGAAGCGCCUUUGUAAUAAUGUAAAUAUUAUCGAUAUAAUAAAGAUGUGUCUUUUAUAUCAUGUUUGUGUGGUGUACCCCGGCUUUUCCUGGGACGGGGAUUAAUACACUAGCGUUCGGGAAAAGGCAAUUUUCCCGGUCGCGACAACCUUCCCGCCCAUCGGGCAAGGUCACACCACUUUCCUAAUCUAAGCAAGAUUAAAAUCUAUGAGGCUAGUAAAGUGUAGUACAAGUCCCGGUGCUCAAUAACCGCGAGCACGACUAUUCGAAUAGAUUUGAUUUACUCACACUGCAAUGGAUGUACGCUUUUAAUCCCGCACUCCGCGGCUUGCCCAACACAUGAGCCUAGUCCCAACACAUGAGACUUGCCACGGCCCGGUUUUUCAGUUACCCUCGCGUUUCGGCACCCGCUCCAAGGACUAUGGAUCCCCAUUGCACUUCCGGCACAACACACCACCUCGAGCCGGCAGUGAGGAGAGUCCUGGCGCUCCCGGGAUCACAAUGGGUUAUAUUACAUAUAGGUUAGGUGUGUUUUAUGUUUUGCGGGCCUUAACCAAACGAUCGAUCCACUCGAUCCUUCACCUCCAACGUCACCACUUCAGAACCACCAUGACAAGGGUGCGGCCCCACGAGAAUUUCCUUAGUCCACAGGGUCUAUACCCACUCGAGAAGUGCGGUCGUACUCUAGUCGUUUCCUGCAUAGCUUCUUGACUCGGUCCUUAACUGACUAGGGUCGGCGACUAGCCGUUUCUAGAACCACCCAUAUUCUAUCCAUGCCGCCCCAGUCGAAAACAUUUUGUUUAAUUAGAUUUUUGGUUUUCGCAAAGGUUUUUGCUGCGGGUGGUGCUCAUGUCUCCACCCGCCUUCUGGCAAUCACUCUCGACGAGUGACCGCCACCAACACAUCCAUAUCCAACUAUUAUGGAGUGUACAACCAUCUAUAAUUAAACAAUACUAAGCAAUGUCAAUAAUUUACCACGCAUAAAUAAUAGACUCAGGCAACAAGGAUAUAUGUCACACCCUGAAAAUUUAAAAUUUAUAAAUUGUUGUUUAAAUGGAAUUUUUUAGAAAUAAUUUUAAAAGUCUUGAAGAGAAGAUCUAGUUUUAAUUAAUAAAUGCCAAUAUAAAAAGUGGCCAGAUAAAAUUUCAUUAAAUACUUUGCUUAAUUCUAUAAUUCCUAGAUUUUUCUGGGAUUUAUUUGAGCUAAGGAAGUAUUUUUAAUAAAUGGAAUUGCAUUUCAUGAAUAAUUUAAAUUGAAAAAGGUUUUAAAAAGUCUUCUUUUGGCUUUGGGCCGAAAGUCGGCCCAAAACCGCUCUCUCUCUCCUCGGCCCAGUCCGCCGCCGCGCGCGCGCGCGUCCGCCCGCUGACAGGUGGGGCCCACCUGUCGGGUUCGUCGUCCUCCUCCGGCCGAAACCCUAGUUUCGCGUCGCCGCCGCCGCUUUCCAAUCCGGCCGCUCCUUUCCGUUUCCGGCCGAAUUGAUAGAGGGGAAAUGAUCCUCGGGAUCUCCUCUACCUUUUCUCCUUUGGAAUCUUUGGCUAAAUCGUUUUGGAAAGCGUUGGAUUCGAGUUUGUCUCGGAUUCGUUCUUCCCGAUCUUUCCUUCCUCGUCGCCGGCCGCCGUGGGCCUUUGCCGCCGCCUCCGAGCCCCUUUAAAAGGACCCCCGGUGUCUCCUCUACCCGUCGCCACCCUUGCCUUCGCCUCUAGUUGUCGGAAUCGCUCUAGCGCCGUGUGCCCUAGCUUCGCCGUCGCCGCCGCCGCUCCAGCCGUGCGCCGCCGUCGUUUCAGCCGUCGCCGUCGCUCGGGAAGACCACCGUCGUGCUCGCCUAGUUGUCGCCGUCCUCGUCCGCCCCUUCACCGUCGCCGGAGAUCACCGGAGCAGCAUCGCCGUCGUCGACCCGAAGGUUCCCGCCGCUUCCUCCUCGUCGCCGUCGUCGUUCGUUGUUCUUCCGCCGCCGUUUUGGUCACCGGUGUGUUCGCCGCGUCGUCCUCUACGUGCUGGUGCCCUCCGUUUGCGUCCUCGCGCCGCCGUUCGCCGGCGAGCGUGCGCCGCCCGAGCCGCCGCCGCUGUCGGUGACGUCAUUGCCGACGUUAUCGGGGUCGUCCGCCGUGAGCCGCCGUGGACCCGAUCGAUCUCGGCCGUCCGUUUUGGAUUGGUUCGAUCUCGGCCGUCCGUUCGUGUGAACCGCCGCCCGUGCGCCCGGUCCACCAAACCCUAGCCCGCUGACGCAAUAAACCCUCUUUUCCUUUUCAAAAAUAAUUCAUUAUUGCGUCAUAAUUCAAUUUUAACCGAUAUAAGUGUUUUAAUCCGAUUUAAUCUUUAAAAAUUCAUAACUAAUUCAUCUUAGCUCCGAUUUAGUUGGUUCAAGUCUCUAAAUUUUUCUAAAAUUGAGAUUUACACUUUAAAAAUAUCCACAUGUACUGUUCAUGCUUGUUUAUGUGCUGUUUUGGUGAUUUUGCUCUUUUCUGCUUAGAUUCCGUCGUUUCCGGAGAGUCCGUUUUCGCAGAAGAAGAGUUUGAAGAGUUCCAAGGCCAGCAAGGCAAGUCACACAGAUCCCAAACAACCCUUUGAGCAUGUUGAUCCUAUUUAAAGCUAUUGUUUCUAUUCAACUAUUGCAUCUAUUUUCGAAUGUCAUUGGGUGGAAUUGACCUAUUCUUUGUUAUGGCCCUUUCGUACUUGAUUACCUUAUUCCUUGAUACCUUGGGUUAUUACAAUUUGACUAGUUGAGCUUUAUUUAUGUUGGUUCAACUAGAUAUUAGGUAUAAUUGCUUAGCCCUGCUUAGAAACAUUAGUACACAUUCGGGAUAACUAAUGACUCACUAUUAUUUAAUGAUGGUUUCAUGAUAGUUCACGAUGGUCAAUCGUGAUUAGUUAAUUAAUUAAUGUGCCAACUAAAACCUGGUAAUGGUGGGUUGUGAGCACAUGGUUUUGUUGGUCGUGCUCAUGACAAUUAAGGACCGGUUCACGAGUUUCGGUUGUGAAACAUUAACCGUGCCAACCACAAGCCAGCAUGGGCAACGGCUUUAUCUUUUGUAUAGCAUGGUUCAUUGCGGGGCACCAGACUGAGAAGUGGCGGAGAUAAGCCCACGGGGGUCGCUGGGGAGUCCAUGCCUUGUUUAUAAGGGGGUGAUUAUGAUCCAGGAAGGUGCGCUGCAGUGGAUUGUGUUAUGCGAGGGGUAUUGUCACAACUCCUUUCCGAGAUACCGUGGUGAUAUUGAGGCACAUGGUGACAUGAUGUGGGGUUGUGUCUUGUGGGUACAGUGGUACACCUCUGAUCAGAGUAAAACUAUUCGAAUAGCCGUGCCCGCGGUUAUGGGCGGGUCUAACAAUGUCUUUCAUGAUUAGUCUCACACCUCUCAUCAUAGUAAAAGAUGCUUAAACUGGUAAUAAUUUGAUUAGCUCCUGGUUUGGAAUGGUAUAUUCCUGGUUUGGAGAUAGAACUGUGCAGCCGGGGUGGUUGUUCAGAAUGGUUGGGCCUAUACAACAGGGUAUGUUGUAUAGCGUUGGAUUAAUAUUGUUUAAUUACUUAACUGUUUUAUCAAAUUCUCAAAUGUUUGCUAAAUGCUGCUUUUGCAAAUGCAACCCUAUUAUGCCAUCCUUUGUUAUCCUGUGCACUUGCAUAUUUGCUGCGUGGCUUGCUGAGUAUGUCAUAUACUCACCUUGCAAUCAUUCAUCAGAGGAAGAGUUCUACAAUGAGGCUGAUGGUGUGGAGGAUUAGGAGUAGCCUUGGUCAAGCUGCCUGUGGAGUGGAGCCGUCUGCGCCGUUUAUUUAUUUUCCGCUGCUUAGAUCUUUAUUGAUUGAGAGGAACUAUCUACCUCUGUAAUGACAUUUUAUUCGCUUAUUAAUUAGAGUAAUAUUUGUACUCUAUUAUCAAUUUGUUAUUGUGUGCCUCGGCUGAUUCCUGGACGAGGGUUCACACACAUGUAAGCGUUUGGAAUUUUGGAUAGAAAUUCCGGGCGUGACAAGUUGGUAUCAGAGCCUCUUUGACCCUAGGUUAUGCCAAAUGGUUAUCCAUAGAAGCCCUCUAAAAAUAUUGGAAAAGUAGAACUGUUCUCCUCCCUUUCUCUUUUAAUUAAACCAAACUAAUGGCACAUGCACUUCAUAAUCUCUUUUAAUGGUUCUCAUUAAAAAUUUAUUCCAGUGUUAUUAGUACUGUACAUCUAUUACUGUACUAAUGGCUCAUUUACCAGCAAAAGUUUUACAAUACUGUUUUAUUUAAUCUUGCUGCAAUAAAAUAAAUUUAGCAUGUUGAUUUUAUAAUUUUCUUUCAUUUCUUUUGAAACCAGUUAUUCAAAAUUACAAAAUUUGUGACCUCGUUUCCAACUGUUUUAACUUAUCUCGCAAAGCUUGGUUUACUUUAUUUACUUACCUUUUUACUCUGAUUUUCUAACUUUAUUCAAAUUAAUCCAAAAACUUGUGCUAUUAAUUGGAUAAAGGUCUUAACUCCCUCCUUUCACUUGUCUUUAGAUGCCGCGUUACAAGCCUGAGUACCUGUUUGGUGUUGAGGGUUUUGUCCAGGAGUUGCGUACGAUGUCCUUUGUCAUUGGAUUUGGGACUGCCCCUUUUUAUGCCCAGAUUCCUCAUGAUCGUCAUGAAGAGAAGUGCCGAGUCAAAGUCACCUUGAACAGUAAUAGUGAAGAUAUCCCCUCAGUGAUGUUUGAAGCUGGAGGAAGAAACUACAUCCAUGCAUGUCAGGAGGUGGCAAGGAUCGCCAUAGGAGAGCUCCGUGAUCGCUACAGUGAUCAAUUGGCCGACACUGAGUAUCGCUACCAUCCUCGCCAACCCCAGGGAAGUGACCGUGGCAGUUACCUUGAGACUGAAGGAAUUGAGAAUGAUGCUACCACGAAGCAUUUGGUUGAGAUGUUGUGGGCUAUGGAUGAAAGUCGUGCGGAGACUGUGUUAGCCGCUCAAGAUCAUGAAGACCGGAAUCGUGGUAAGAUUUGCAAGUUAGAAGACAAGGUGGAUCGUUUGGAGAAGGAAUUAGCCGCAUUGAAGGGAGAAGCACCGCCGCAGAAGGCCAGGAUUCGUCUUACCGCAAGGAAGAGAGCUCUAUUUGUCCCUCGCUAUCAACUGGCGCCAAAGGUUCGUGUGGUGGAGAAAGAAGUUGCCCCAGCUCAAGCGGAUCCUCCGGUCAUCAUCAUAAGUAGUGAUGAAGAAGAAGAAUCCAAGCGCAACAAUUCCAAGAUUGAGUGGGUAGCAACUCAAGAUGAUAAAGACGAGCCUUCAAUCGACCUCCGAUGCUUGGAAGAACUAGAGUGACUUGUUAAGUCGUUGUCUUAGAUCGUUGUGUUAGUUUGCUUGCUUAAAGUUUGCUUGUGUGUGGCUCGCAUGUGAUUUACAUCAGUGGUGGGAUGUAAGUGCAUGCGUUUGUUUGCUUUUGAGUGUUAGGAAGUUGGUGAGUUUAGUGGUGUGAGAGUCUUUAGUUUGUAAUAAUGAAACUCAGUUAAGAUCAAUAAAAGUUAAAGUAAUUCUCUGUCCUAAGUAGUUUCCCCGGUUUCUCUUCUUGUGCCCUGUCCAUGCCAGAUGGUGAACACUCGCAGCAAUGGGAAUGGUCCCAACAACCCCAAUAACAACAACAAUGGAGAGAAUCCCACUCUUGCUCAAGUUCUUGCUCAACAGACACAGCUUAUGAACAUGAUGAUGCAGCAAUUUCAGAAUCAGCAAAACCAAGGAAAUAAUCAUGCACCUCCACAGAACAAGUUAGCAGAAUUUCUUCGUGUGAGGCCGCCUGUUUUCUCUAGUACCACUAAUCCUGUUGAAGCUAGUGAUUGGCUGCAUGCCAUAGAGAAGAAGUUGGAUUUACUUCAGUGUACUGAUCAGGAGAAGGUCUCAUUUGCAUCACAUCAGUUGCAUGGCCCUGCCUCUGAAUGGUGGGAUCACUUCCGCCUUAACAGGACUACUGCUGAACCUAUCACUUGGCUUGAAUUCACCGCUGCUUUCCGGAAGACGCAUAUACCAUCAGGAGUAGUGUCUCUCAAGAUGAAGGAGUUCAGGUCGCUUACCCAGGGAUCUCGCUCUGUUACGGAGUAUCUGCACGAGUUCAAUCGUCUUGCUCGUUAUGCUCCGGAAGAUGUGCGCAAUGAUGAAGAGCGCCAGGAGAAGUUUUUGGGAGGACUUAAUGAUGAGCUUUCUUACCCACUCAUGGUUGGAGAUUAUCCUGAUUUCCAGAAAUUAGUGGAUAAGGCUAUUCGUCAGGAGGACAAGUACAAUCGCAUGGAGCAGAAGAAACGUCGGAUUGCUCAAUUCAAGACACAACAGGGAAAUAAUCAGAAGCCGCGUCUUACUUUAGGACCCCAGCCCAUGCCACAGGGAGGUUCUUCGUCUGUUGUUCGUCCGCAGCGUCAGUUCUUCAACAACAAUGCUGGCAACAACAUCCGUAAUCAAGCUCCACGUCCUGUUGCAGCUCCAGCACAGCAACAACCUGCCAAGAGGGAGCAAGGCAGCAAGCCCGUGGUGUGUUUCAACUGUGGAGAUCCAGGACAUUAUGCUGACAAGUGUCCGAAGCCCCGACGCGUGAAGGUUGUCCCUGCCCAGAAUAACUCUGCUGUACCAGCAUCCAAGGCUCGUGUAAAUCAUGUCGCUGCUGCAGAAGCUCAAGAUGCUCCAGAUGUGAUUUUGGGUACGUUCCUUGUUAACUCAGUUCCUGCAACAGUACUUUUCGAUUCUGGUGCUACACAUUCAUUCUUAUCUAUGAGUUUUGCGGGAAAUCAUGGGAUGGAAGUAGAAGAUCUUAGACGUCCUUUGAUGGUUAGUACCCCAAGUAAUCAAGCACUCUCUUUGCAACGUAGCCCCUCUGUCAGAAUAGAAAUUCAAGGAGUACCAUUUCUGGCCAAUCUUAUCUUGUUAGAAUCCAAAGACCUUGAUGUCAUCCUAGGGAUGGACUGGUUAGCCAGACAUAAAGGUGUGAUAGACUGUGCCAACAAAAAAGUAACUCUCACCAGCUAUGAUGGUCGAGUUGUAACUGUUCAUGCAUUGUCAUCUGAGUCUUUAAGGUCAAGACUGAACCAGAUAACUUUGGAAGAGAUUCCUAUAGUCCGGGAGUAUCCUGAUGUGUUCCCAGAUGAUUUACCUGGUAUGCCGCCUAAAAGGGAUAUAGAGUUCAGAAUAGAUUUGGUACCUGGAACAACUCCGAUCCAUAAGAGACCUUAUAGAAUGGCAGCCAAUGAGUUGGCAGAAGUCAGAAGGCAAGUAGAUGAUUUGCUUCAGAAAGGAUACAUCAGACCGAGUUCAUCACCAUGGGGAGCUCCGGUUAUUUUUGUGGAAAAGAAAGACCAUACUCAGAGAAUGUGUGUGGACUAUCGUGCACUAAACGAUGUGACUAUCAAGAAUAAGUAUCCACUACCCAGGAUUGAUGAUUUGUUUGAUCAGCUUAAAGGUGCCACUGUUUUCUCCAAGAUAGAUCUUCGAUCAGGGUAUCAUCAGUUGAGAAUCAAAGAGGAAGAUAUACCUAAGACAGCUUUUACCACUAGGUAUGGGUUGUUCGAAUGUACUGUUAUGUCUUUUGGACUUACCAAUGCCCCUGCUUUCUUCAUGAACUUGAUGAAUAAGGUGUUUAUGGAAUACCUAGACAAGUUCGUGGUGGUCUUUAUUGAUGAUAUUCUUAUCUACUCUCGAACCAAAGAAGAGCAUGAGGAACAUCUUCGCCUUGCAUUGGAGAAGCUACGAGAACAUCAACUGUAUGCUAAGUUUAGCAAGUGUGAAUUUUGGUUGUCUGAAGUGAAAUUCCUUGGUCACGUCAUCUCAGCCGGAGGAGUUGCCGUCGAUCCUAGUAACGUGGAAUCCGUAACCAAUUGGAAGCAACCAAAGACAGUUUCAGAGAUUCGCAGUUUCCUAGGCCUCGCAGGAUAUUAUCGGAGGUUUAUAGAGAAUUUUUCCAAGAUUGCUAAGCCCAUGACACGACUGCUUCAGAAAGAUGUGAAGUACAAGUGGUCGGAAGAAUGUGAGCAGAGUUUUCAAGAGUUGAAAAGUCGCUUAAUAUCAGCUCCUAUUUUGAUUUUGCCUGAUCCAAAGAAGGGUUUUCAAGUGUAUUGCGAUGCAUCCAAACUUGGGUUAGGUUGUGUUCUGAUGCAAGAUGGGAAGGUGGUUGCUUAUGCCUCUCGACAGUUACGUCCGCAUGAGAAGAACUACCCUACUCAUGAUAUUGAGUUAGCUGCAGUCGUUCAUGCAUUGAAGAUUUGGCGUCAUUAUCUUUUCGGUACUCGUACAGAAGUGUACACCGAUCACAAGAGUUUAAAGUAUAUCUUUACUCAGCCGGAUCUGAACAUGAGACAACGGAGAUGGUUGGAAUUAAUUAAGGAUUAUGACAUGGGAAUUCAUUAUCAUCCGGGAAAGGCUAAUGUUGUAGCAGACGCUCUUAGCAGAAAAGGCUAUUACAAUGCUACAGAAGGACGACAGUUGCCAUUGGAAUUAUGCAAGGAAUUUGAAAGAUUAAAUUUGGGAAUUGUCGGUAGAGGUUUCGUUGCAGCCUUAGAAGCGAAGCCCACUCUAAUUGAUCAAGUUAGAGAAGCCCAAAUUAAUGAUCCUGAUAUUCAAGAGAUCAAGAAGAAUAUGAGAAGAGGAAAAGCUAUUGGUUUCUUGGAAGAUGAGCAAGGAACUGUAUGGUUGGGUGAGAGAAUCUGUGUCCUCGACAACAAAGAUCUAAAAGAUGCAGUUUUGAAAGAAGCUCAUGAUACUUUAUACUCCAUUCACCCUGGUAGUACUAAGAUGUACCAGGAUCUCAAGGAAAGAUUUUGGUGGGCAAGUAUGAAGCGUGAAAUCGCAGAAUAUGUAGCAGUAUGUGAUGUUUGUCAGCGAGUCAAGGCAGAACAUCAGAAACCCGCCGGUUUGUUGCAGCCUUUGAAGAUUCCUGAAUGGAAAUGGGAAGAAAUAGGUAUGGAUUUUAUUACUGGUUUACCCAGAACGUCAUCAGGCCAUGAUUCUAUUUGGGUGAUAGUCGACAGACUUACCAAAGUGGCUCAUUUUAUUCCGGUAAAGACAACCUAUUCCGGAAGUCGCUUGGCGGAAUUGUAUAUGGCAAGGAUUGUGUGUUUGCAUGGCGUCCCUAAGAAGAUAGUGUCUGAUCGAGGCAGUCAGUUUACUUCAAAUUUUUGGAAGAAACUUCAGGAAGAGAUGGGUUCUAAGCUGAACUUUAGUACUGCUUAUCAUCCACAGACAGACGGACAAACCGAAAGGGUGAAUCAGAUUUUGGAAGACAUGUUGAGAGCUUGUGCUUUAGAUUUCGGUGGAAGUUGGGAUAAGAAUCUACCUUAUGCAGAAUUUUCAUACAACAACAGUUAUCAAGCUAGUUUACAGAUGGCUCCUUACGAAGCACUGUAUGGUCGGAAGUGCCGCACUCCGCUUUUGUGGGAUCAAACGGGAGAACGUCAGGUUUUCGGGACGGAUAUCCUAAGGGAAGCAGAAGAAAAGGUAAAGGUCAUUCAAGAAAGAUUGCGAGUGGCUCAGUCUCGACAUAAGAGUUAUGCCGACAAUCGCCGUAGAGAUUUGAGUUUUGAAGAAGGAGACUAUGUGUAUCUUCGUGUCACGCCUCUUCGAGGAGUUCAUCGUUUUCACACCAAGGGAAAAUUGGCACCGUGUUUUGUGGGACCUUAUAAGAUUGUCAGUAGAAGAGGAGAGGUUGCUUAUCAGUUAGAAUUACCUCAAUCUUUGGCAGGAGUCCAUAAUGUGUUCCAUGUGUCACAAUUGAAAAAAUGUUUAAGGGUACCUACCGAAGAAGCUAAUAUUGAGCAGAUAGAAGUCCAAGAGGAUUUGACUUAUGUUGAGAAACCAAUCCGUAUCCUGGAAACAAAUGAGAGAAGAACCAGGAAUCGAGUUAUCCGUUUCUGCAAAGUUCAAUGGAGUAAUCACUCGGAAGAAGAAUCAACUUGGGAACGAGAAGAUGAAUUGAAGUCAGCUCAUCCGCAUCUGUUCGCCAGUUCUUCCGAAUCUCGAGGACGAGAUUCUGUUUAAGGGGGGUAGGUUUGUCACACCCUGAAAAUUUAAAAUUUAUAAAUUGUUGUUUAAAUGGAAUUUUUUAGAAAUAAUUUUAAAAGUCUUGAAGAGAAGAUCUAGUUUUAAUUAAUAAAUGCCAAUAUAAAAAGUGGCCAGAUAAAAUUUCAUUAAAUACUUUGCUUAAUUCUAUAAUUCCUAGAUUUCUCUGGGAUUUAUUUGAGCUAAGGAAGUAUUUUUAAUAAAUGGAAUUGCAUUUCAUGAAUAAUUUAAAUUGAAAAAGGUUUUAAAAAGUCUUCUUUUGGCUUUGGGCCGAAAGUCGGCCCAAAACCGCUCUCUCUCUCCUCGGCCCAGUCCGCCGCCGCGCGCGCGCGCGUCCGCCCGCUGACAGGUGGGGCCCACCUGUCGGGUUCGUCGUCCUCCUCCGGCCGAAACCCUAGUUUCGUGUCGCCGCCGCCGCUUUCCAAUCCGGCCGCUCCUUUCCGUUUCCGGCCGAAUUGAUAGAGGGGAAAUGAUCCUCGGGAUCUCCUCUACCUUUUCUCCUUUGGAAUCUUUGGCUAAAUCGUUUUGGAAAGCGUUGGAUUCGAGUUUGUCUCGGAUUCGUUCUUCCCGAUCUUUCCUUCCUCGUCGCCGGCCGCCGUGGGCCUUUGCCGCUGUCACAUCCUGAUUUUUGUUUCAGGAUUUAUAAAUUAUUUAAUAAAUUAUUAUUAGAAUUUAUAUUAAAUGUUCAUUAAUUUACAAGUGAAGUUAAAUGUGGGAAAUAAAAUUUUCUAAAUAUAAAGCAUGGAUGGAUUUAAUUUUUAUUAAAUUCUCCAUGGUUAAUUAUACUCUCUGGAAUUUUCUCGGAUUUUUCGGAGCUCAAUUCCUAAUUUUAAUCAUACAAAGAGCAUUUCAGUAAUAAUCCACAUAUUAAAUUAAUCAUUAAAUGGUCUAAUUAUAAUUUUGUUAAGUACUUUGAGUGUCCAAGUAUGUUCAAGAUUUUUCUUGGAAUUAUUUGAGCAUUGGAAGUAUUUUUAACAAUUCAAAGAUCAUUUCAGUGAUUAAUUUAAUUGGAAAAGUAAUUAAAAUUCACCUUUUCCUUUUCGGGCCGAAUUAGGAAAAGUCCUCUCACUCUCGGCCCGGUCUCCUCUCAGCCUGCAGCCCUUUUCCUCUCUUUCCCGAAGUAUGCUUUGUGUCCCUCCUUUAAUCAGUCCUUGGUAGUAGAAGCCCAGCCGAAAGUCUAGUUUGCCUCCCUGGCACUGUUCAUCUUCAAGCUUGGACAGAGCCGAGCCGCCCGUGCUGUGUCCUGUGCAGCCACCGCUUCCUCCGUUAAUUCCGCCACAUCCCGAGCUCCGUUUGCAAAAUUAGUUGAGGGGAAAUAUUCCUCUUAUCCUCCUCUAUCUUUACCCCCAAAAAUCGGAGCUAAUCGUUGAGUAUCUUAUCCGAAUCGAACUCGUUUUCGAGUUUAUCUUCAAAACCGAGUUUUUGAUUUCCCGGAUCGAUUUCUUGCGGGAGGAGUCCGAUCUCUUCAAUCCAAGGCUAUAAAUAGGACCCCCUAGUCCUCCUCUUUCGUUUGCCCCCUCUCCCGUGGUCUCUCGUGCUCCGUAGCUCCGUCGCCUCCGCCGUCGCCGCCGCUUGCCGUCGUCUCCUCGUCGCCGGCCGUCGUCGGUCGUCGUUUGGCACGAGGGUGAGUACCGUUGGGUUCGUCUCGUCGUUCUCUAUGUAUAGAUGUCCUCCAAAAUCCCGGCCGACCACCCUAGCUCCGGCGAGGUCGCCAUCCGAGCCGGCCACCAUUGAUGACGUCAUCAUGACAUCAUCAUCUUUUCCUUUUCCCUUUUUCUAAUAGAUUAAAUCUUCGGAAAUUCAUAACUAAAUCAUCAUAACUCGGUUUUGAGUGGUUCAAGUUGCUAAAUUCAUCUAAAAUCAUGACCUACAUGUUUGUUUACUUUAUAUGUACUGUUUAUUUGGUUUUUAUUAGUCUUUUUCUUCGUUUUGCGUGUUAGCUUAUCGUUUCCGUCGUUGCGAAGGUUCGCGAGUGCGCCGGAAGUAUUCAAGAAGAUUAAUUGAAGACCGAUUAUUGCAAGGCAAGUCACACAGAUCCCAAACAACCCUUUGAGCAUGUUGAACCUGUUUAAAGCUAUAGAUUUAUUUCAACUUAUGCAUUGUUUUCGAAUGUCAUUGGGUGGUGAGCCUUUCCCAUUUAAUUAUGGCCGAAGAUGACAUUAUUUUCCUAUGGGUUAUAAUUUGACUAGCAUGGACCUUAUAUAUUGGAUUGGUUCAGCUAGAUGUUACUUAUAGUUGCUUAGCCAUGCUUAGAAACAUUAGCACACUAAUGGGAUAACUUAUGACUCACUAUUAUUUAAUGAUGGUUUAAUGAUAGUUCACGAUGGUUAAUCGUGAUUGGUUAAUUAAUUACUUGCCAACUAAAACUUGAUAAUGGUGGGUUGUGAGCACAUGGUUUUGAGAGUCGUGCUCAUGACAAUUAAGGACCGGUUCGCGAGCUACUGUUGUGAAACAUUUAUCGUGCCAACCACAAGCCAGCGUGGGCAACGGCUUUAUCUUUUGUGUAGCGUGAUUCAUUAUAGUGCGCCAGACUGAGAAGUGGCGAGAAGUCCACGGGGGUCGCUGGGGAGUCCAUGCCUUGUUUAUAAGGGGGUGAUUAUGAUCCAGGAAAGGUGCGCUGUAAUGGGUUAUGUUGUGCAAGGGGUAUUGUCACAACUCCUUUCCGAGGUACCGUGGUGGUAUUGAGGCACAUGGUGACAUGAUGUGGGGUUGUGUCUUGUGGGUACAGUGGUACACCUCUGGCCAGAGUAAAACUAUUCGAAUAGCCGUGCCCGCGGUUAUGGGCGGGUUGAGCAAUGUUUUUCGUGAUUAGUCUCACACCUCUCACAAUAAUUAUGGAUGUUAUAACUGGUAAUAAUUUGUUUAGCUCCUGGUUUGGAGUUAGAUCUGUACAGCCGGGUAUGGUUGUUCAGGAUGGUUGGGCCUGUGCAGCAUGGGUGUGCUGUUCAGUGUUGAUUAAAAAUUUCUGAUUAAUUACUCCACUGUUUUACUUCUCUUAAAUGUUUUGCUAAAUGCUGCUUUUGCAAAUGAGCCUAUAUUAUGCCAUCCUUUGGUAUCCUUGUGCACUUGCAUAUUUGCUGUGUGGCUUGCUGAGUAUGUCAUAUGCUCACCUUGCAAUAAUCAAUCAAACCUCAGUUGAAGAUAAAGGAUCCAGAAGGAGAAGACGUUUGGCUUAUACCCCAGUUGAGCUGCCUGUGGGAGUGGAGCUGAAGCCAUCGCUAGAUCGUUAUUCCGCUGCUGUUUUCUUUUCUUUUGUAAGUAUGUAACGUUAUUAUUAUGAUGGAUUUGUAUAUUAAAUUGUCAGUUUGUGUACCUCGGCUGAUUCCUGGACGAGGAUUUUAUGCACAAAUAAGUUCGGAAAUUACUAGUGAAUUUCCGGGCGUGACAGCCGCCGCCUCCGAGCCCCUUUAAAAGGACCCCCGGUGUCUCCUCUACCCGUCGCCACCCUUGCCUUCGCCUCUAGUCGUCGGAAUCGCUCUAGCGCCGUGUGCCCUAGCUUCGCCGUCGCCGCCGCCGCUCCAGCCGUGCGCCGCCGUCGUUUCAGCCGUCGCCGUCGCUCGGGAAGACCACCGUCGUGCUCGCCUAGUUGUCGCCGUCCUCGUCCGCCCCUUCGCCGUCGCUGGAGAUCACCGGAGCAGCAUCGCCGUCGUCGACCCGAAGGUUCCCGCCGCUUCCUCCUCGUCGCCGUCGUCGUUCGUUGUUCUUCCGCCGCCGUUUUGGUCACCGGUGUGUUCGCCGCGUCGUCCUCUACGUGCUGGUGCCCUCCGUUUGCGUCCUCGCGCCGCCGUUCGCCGGCGAGCGUGCGCCGCCCGAGCCGCCGCCGCUGUCGGUGACGUCAUUGCCGACGUUAUCGGGGUCGUCCGCCGUGAGCCGCCGUGGACCCGAUCGAUCUCGGCCGUCCGUUUUGGAUUGGUUCGAUCUCGGCCGUCCGUUCGUGUGAACCGCCGCCCGUGCGCCCGGUCCACCAAACCCUAGCCCGCUGACGCAAUAAACCCUCUUUUCCUUUUCAAAAAUAAUUCAUUAUUGCGUCAUAAUUCAAUUUUAACCGAUAUAAGUGUUUUAAUCCGAUUUAAUCUUUAAAAAUUCAUAACUAAUUCAUCUUAGCUCCGAUUUAGUUGGUUCAAGUCUCUAAAUUUUUCUAAAAUUGAGAUUUACACUUUAAAAAUAUCCACAUGUACUGUUCAUGCUUGUUUAUGUGCUGUUUUGGUGAUUUUGCUCUUUUCUGCUUAGAUUCCGUCGUUUCCGGAGAGUCCGUUUUCGCAGAAGAAGAGUUUGAAGAGUUCCAAGGCCAGCAAGGCAAGUCACACAGAUCCCAAACAACCCUUUGAGCAUGUUGAUCCUAUUUAAAGCUAUUGUUUCUAUUCAACUAUUGCAUCUAUUUUCGAAUGUCAUUGGGUGGAAUUGACCUAUUCUUUGUUAUGGCCCUUUCGUACUUGAUUACCUUAUUCUUUGAUACCUUGGGUUAUUACAAUUUGACUAGUUGAGCUUUAUUUAUAUUGGUUCAACUAGAUAUUAGGUAUAAUUGCUUAGCCCUGCUUAGAAACAUUAGUACACAUUCGGGAUAACUAAUGACUCACUAUUAUUUAAUGAUGGUUUCAUGACAGUUCACGAUGGUCAAUCGUGAUUAGUUAAUUAAUUAAUGUGCCAACUAAAACCUGGUAAUGGUGGGUUGUGAGCACAUGGUUUUGUUGGUCGUGCUCAUGACAAUUAAGGACCGGUUCACGAGUUUCGGUUGUGAAACAUUAACCGUGCCAACCACAAGCCAGCAUGGGCAACGGCUUUAUCUUUUGUAUAGCAUGGUUCAUUGCGGGGCACCAGACUGAGAAGUGGCGGAGAUAAGCCCACGGGGGUCGCUGGGGAGUCCAUGCCUUGUUUAUAAGGGGGUGAUUAUGAUCCAGGAAGGUGCGCUGCAGUGGAUUGUGUUAUGCGAGGGGUAUUGUCACAACUCCUUUCCGAGAUACCGUGGUGGUAUUGAGGCACAUGGUGACAUGAUGUGGGGUUGUGUCUUGUGGGUACAGUGGUACACCUCUGAUCAGAGUAAAACUAUUCGAAUAGCCGUGCCCGCGGUUAUGGGAGGGUCUAACAAUGUCUUUCGUGAUUAGUCUCACACCUCUCAUCAUAGUAAAAGAUGCUUAAACUGGUAAUAAUUUGAUUAGCUCCUGGUUUGGAAUGGUAUAUUCCUGGUUUGGAGAUAGAACUGUGUAGCCGGGGUGGUUGUUCAGAAUGGUUGGGCCUAUACAACAGGGUAUGUUGUAUAGCGUUGGAUUAAUAUUGUUUAAUUACUUAACUGUUUUAUCAAAUUCUCAAAUGUUUGCUAAAUGCUGCUUUUGCAAAUGCAACCCUAUUAUGCCAUCCUUUGUUAUCCUGUGCACUUGCAUAUUUGCUGCGUGGCUUGCUGAGUAUGUCAUAUACUCACCUUGCAAUCAUUCAUCAGAGGAAGAGUUCUACAAUGAGGCUGAUGGUGUGGAGGAUUAGGAGUAGCCUUGGUCAAGCUGCCUGUGGAGUGGAGCCGUCUGCGCCGUUUAUUUAUUUUCCGCUGCUUAGAUCUUUAUUGAUUGAGAGGAACUAUCUACCUCUGUAAUGACAUUUUAUUCGCUUAUUAAUUAGAGUAAUAUUUGUACUCUAUUAUCAAUUUGUUAUUGUGUGCCUCGGCUGAUUCCUGGACGAGGGUUCACACACAUGUAAGCGUUUGGAAUUUUGGAUAGAAAUUCCGGGCGUGACAAUAUAAUAAAGGUAACAAUAUCAAGGAUGGUUCACAUACAAAUUUAGGUACGCAAUUUAUAAUUAGCAUGCAAGUUUAUUUAUAAACAAAACAUUUAUAAACUGGGUUCAAUAUGCUCAAGGAAGAGAGCGUAGUGACUUGCCUUGCUUUUAGAAACCGGUAUCUUCAAGAAAUCCACGUUUGACGAAUAACCGGAAUAUUCGAUACGCAGUUAGUACGAGAAAACCAAAUAACAUUCUUCAAUAAAAGUACCAAACAAUUCAAACUGGUAAUGCCAUUGGAUAGAUCUCGAUUUUAGAAGAAUUCCGAAAGUUGAACGGAAUCAAUCGGAGUCACGGUUGGAAAGAUAUGAAUCCCCAAAUUUUAUAGGAUUUAUAGAUCAAGGGGAGAAGGAUACCCAAAAUAGGAUUCCUUUUAUUUUGAAGGAAAUAUCCCCAUGGGUACCCUCUGGACUGGAGGAGGUACAAUGGACUUAUCCUUGGGUGAGCUUGGGCUUCAUCCCAAGGAUACAGGAGGUCGGAUAGGGACGUAUAGCAAACUUCCAGAGAGAAGCUUGGGUUACAUAGGGAAGCAACAUGAACUUUUGGUGGAUACAGAAGCUGAAAGGUGGGCUCUGUCCGGGGGUGUAAGAGGGAGGUAAAAUAGACUCACGUGAGGAGUCAACACUGUGGGCUCCACUGGUGGGUCCCACGAUCCUUUUUCUCCUUUCUUUUCUCUCCUUCUCUCUCUUAACUACUCUCGGCUUCUCCUCCUCACGGCUCUGUUUCUCUCGAUUCUUCCUCCUCUUCUCUCUGCUCUCUCACGCACGCCCCAGAGACGAAAGGCGCCGGCGAUGGUGGGCUGCCGCAGGGCGCGCGCCGGGGAGGAGACCGGGGAGCUGGCGGCUUAGGCCGGGCGGCGCGGCAGGAGGCAGCACCCCUGCCGGGCCAGCGCAUCCAAGCGCGCAGCUGGGGUGACGGCGCGGCACGGCGGCCAGGCGGGUGCGCGGCCGGGAGGCGAUGCAGAGAGGUGGCGUUGGCGGAGGAGGGAGAUGAGGGAGCUGCACCAGGUAGGAGGUGGUCGGGCGCCGGUGGCGAAGGGAGGAAACCGGCGGCGACGGCGGCCGAUGCGACGGCGACGCCGAUGGGCGUGAGGAGGCCGCGGCUGGGGGCGCUCGUCCCGGUGCAGGGACGCGGCCACGCAAAAGGGCCGGAGGUGGCGCCUGUGCGGGCCGAUCUGGUCGCGCGCGGGCGGCGUUCCACCCGGAGCGGCGGCGACCCGGAUCAAGGCGAUGAGGGUGGCGGAGGUCGCAGUGGUUCCUCGGCUGGGCGGAGACAGAGGCGGCCGUGUAAGCUGCUCGCGCGGCCGGUGUGGCCGUGGAGGCAGCACUCGCUCGGGGUCGGCCUGGCCGUGCGCGGCGGCAGCGGAGACGGUGCGGGGAGGUGAAGGCGACGAGCGGCUUGGAAGGAUGAAGCAGAGGUGGCCGUGACAAAGUUGACGGCGCGCAGGGUCCGGGCCGCACGGCUUGGAGCGCACUCAAGGUGCUCGUCCGUGCGCCUCGGGCCGGCGCGAGCAGGAUGAUGGUGGCGGGGAUCGAAGGGCGAGGAUGGAGGAGGAAUGGUUGGGCAUGGCAACUCUGGUAGCCAUAGUUUUUGCUUGAUUGUGGAUGGCUUCGAGGAUAAGGAAUAGAGCGAGGCUUCGAGGAUAAGGAACGGCACAGUGGCGAUGCGGCGGCGUGGACGCAGCUCACGCGGGCGGCGUGGACGCUCGUCUGUGAGCAGUGAAGAACAGGGACGAGCGGUGUGGACUGGGAGUAGCGGCGCACGCACAGGCGACGGCCUGGGUGGCGGCGAAGUGACCAUCGGUCACUAGGCUGCCCCGGAGCACGUGUCGGCGGCGGAUGGGAUGGACGGCGAUGAGGUGGGCCAGGAUGUCGACAUCGCCACAGGGGGGGAGGCUUACAAGGUAAGCUUCACUGCGAACUUGCUCUCCCAUUCGGUGUGAACUCAGUUCUUUCUUUCGGUGUGAGCCAUCCUCACUGCUUCUUCGGUGUUUGGGGAGGGAUUUGGUGGACUGGGUGCUUGCAGGAAUGGAGGAACGAGCGACCUUGCUCGGUGUACAGAUAUGGUGGCGCCAAGGAUGGACGCGGUGCGCGGCGUGCAUCGCUGCGGCGCACGGAGGCGCGACUCGGUGCACGGCGCGGCUGGCACGGUGCAACGGCGUGGUUGCCGACUGAUGCAAGGCGGCGCGGCUCAGCACAGUGCUCACCCGGCUCAACAUUUUGUCGAACACGUGGUGGGCAUGUGAACCUGGCUGGGAGGAGGAAGGAGGAAGGGCAGCUGGGCCAGCUGAGGUAAGGAAGGGGGUGGAAACAGACUUGGGCUGGAAUGAGGGAAAGGGAGGCAGGAUGGACUUAGGCUGUGAUGAGCUGUUGGGUUGGCAGAGCGAGAGAGAGGUGGCACAAGUGUAAAAGGAUACUUUGUAUAACUGUAGCAAGGAAUUUGUACAUCCCCAUUGUAAUUGGAAUUUUGUAGAUGGACCCCAAACAUGUAAUGGGAGUGUAUAACUGUAAUUGGACUGUAUAAUUGGACAUUCGGCUUUGAGCUGGGAUUGAAAUAUGGAAUUGGGGUUUGGAACUAAAUAAGAACAGUUUAAUUGGGGUAUUUGAAUGGGAUUUGGUUUGGCCGCUCAGUCGCCCAAGUAUUUAACUUAGGUUUUCUUUGCGACCGCUUGAAUGAAAAGAUGACGAUAUCGACGGAUUUUAGAAACGACGCUUGGCAUAAAAAUCCAUGCGACGCGGUAAGGUUUCAACAGUACGGACGAUAUAGACGAUAGGUUUAGGAGCGGCAUAUGGUAUACAAAACCAUUCGACGAGGUAGGGUUUCAAAGGUAGAGACGAUAUCGUCGACGUUUGGAUCAAUGCACAGCAUUCGACUUCGGCGAACGAUUCUAGAGUUUUCAAGGGUAGAGAUGGAAUCAAGGAUAUACGGGUCGACGCACGACCUUUAAAUACGUCAAGCGAUUUUAGAGUUUCAAGCGAAUGGAUGAACUCGGGGAUUUUAAGUAGAAGGAAUAGGGGAGAAUGGAAUCCGAGGGAGGCCGAGUCGAAAAGACGAAGCGAGUCUCGAUUCAAAAGCAUGGUUCCAAGGGUUUGGGAAAAGCAACAAUGCUGUGACAAGGGGAGGAUUUUAGGGUUUCGUUUCGCUUAGCUUCGGAGCAUUUAGCGAAAAAGAAGGACGUUGAUCGGAGGACAUCCUUUAGGUGAAUCGAUUUAAUCGUGGUAUUCUAACGAUUCAAGGGAAGAAUGCUGCAUUGCAAUUGACUAGGAGGGUUGAGAGGACAGCGAAAGGAUUUUGCCCUAUGAGGUGAUUCUGAAAGAACUACUGGGUUCGAGUAUUUCGUGAUAUUCGAACAAUUGGUUCGGGAGGGGUUUGAUGAAGGAGGAUUGAGCUACGGAAUUCGAAUCCGAAGGAAUUAUGACAAGGAUUGAGAUUCACAAGGACGGUUUAACCGAAAUCUUUGGCACAAACAUACAAAUGCACACAAUUAACGCAAAUCCCAUUAUGCAGGUCAGCUAGGCCUUUCAAGGAAGAAAACUAGGCUUUUCCGUGAAUUCUUUUGAAAUAAACUCUUUUAAGAUUUUAGUUCGUAAAUAGAGUUUUGCUAGUAAAUUCCUUAUUUGUAAAAUAAUUUCCAAACACUUAUAAUUUCAAAAUAGGGUUUUCAGAAGUUAACUAAAAUUAGCCCUCAUUUGCAAAAAUAGUUUUCUCGGAAAAUAUCUCUCAAAGUAUGUUUUCUAAAUAUCUAGUAUUUGUUUUCAUUUAUAAAACAAAUACAUCAAAUGGGUUCUCUUUCAUAGAAAAGGGUUUUCAGAAAGACAAAUGGCAUUUGCAAACAUUUUCUAAAUUAAUAUAUUUCAUAAUCAUGGUUCUUUUAGCAAAUAAUAUUUGAAUCAAAAAUAGAUUUUGUUUCUAGAUUUCCGUCCUCAUGGUCCAAGCGUAACCGAAAAAUGGGAGAUAGAAUCAAAUAAAGCCAGCAUGAUGGAUUUUGGAAAAGAUUUUUGAUUAACAUGAAAUUUUAAUUUCGCAAAUCAGGACAGAAAUUUUCAGGGUGUUACAGUAAUAUUCAGCCAAACUUUCAAAAUUAUCAAGGAGGUAAUCUGAAUUAUCAGCACCAGCCUUCGUCACCUCAUGUCCAGUACCAGCAAACAAGAUCGCCUCAGCCCUAUGUUGAUGCGAAAACACGUGGCCUGGGAGAUCUGCUUAACUCCAGUGCAGGUCCAAAAAGCUUGCCUUAAGAUUCGUUGAGCGGGCCAGUUGAUUUGAUCCUGCAAUCAACAAGAAACAAAGAAAGAAAAUAACAGUUAAAUCCAUAAAUGAUAGCCGAUCGGCCAGCUGCCGAUGACAUAUCAUUUAUACUUGAGCCGAUGUCAUCUUUGCAUCGAUCUGCUGUGCGAGACGAUAAUAAAGGAACUAAAUCUAUUCGAUUGACUAUAGAUAUCAAUGAUAUAUAAUCUUUAUGUCGAUAUAUACUUAAAUCAAGUGAUUGGGAUAGAUCGGUCGCCAUGCCGAGACAGUAUAAAUCACUUAGACCAAAAUAUAUAUUAACAAGGAAACUAUAAUCAUUCACAGCAUAGCCGAUCAGAUAGAUCUAGCGUGUAUCGGCUAAUACUCCGAUACCACUCUAUAUUAAGAUACCAAAGCAAGUAAAAUAUAUCAAACAGGAAGCUUAAUAUACCUAAAAGCAAUAAGAUCUUAACAUAAAGGGCAUAUCUAGCAUAUCAAUUAAGCACAUGAAAUAUAAGGCUAAAUCUGUUAAGAUCGGCUGAAACCCCGAUACUACCCUAAUCGGCAACCAAAGACAGGCUAGAGAUUGCGAUUCUAAUCACGACUUAUAAGGUCAAACUCAACUGAUGUAGCUAUAAGUAUGAAAAGAAAGACAAUAUCUAGACAAUCAAGCCGUCAGAAGUUUCAUAGAGUGGUAGAUAUCCUAUAUAAUCUAAGUCAACAUCGGUAUCUAACCCGAUCGGCUAUCUUCUAGCGAUAGAUGUUAGCCGAUUGAGGGUUAGAUAAUGAUAUUGACAGAGAUUAUAUAAGGUAUAUGAUAACUCGACAACUUACAUAGACAAGAUUAGAGUAUCAUAAUGAUGGAAGCACUAAUCCCGAGAACGCAAGCCACCAUAACAAGUUUUACCUCUAGUUGAAGAUCGAAACCGAUGCAGCUCAACCCGAAAGCAAAAACUCGUCGAAAACAAACGAAAGUAAAAGGGUGGUGAUGUGCCGAGAUUGUAUUUGAACGUGUGUUGUUUUAUUACAUGGGGCUCGGGGUCUAUUUAUACCCGAGAUUACAAAAUAUGUCCUUGUCGGACACGACUCUUAUCUCUAAUAAACUCUAAAAUACCAUAAGUCUUUGCGGCAAACUUUUGCCCACACUUAUCUGUAAGGAAAUUACACAAAAUAUCCUAAUUAAUAGAUACAAUUGCCUUUUCAGGACUCAAUCCGAUUGUGGCAAUCCAUAUGAAGCACAUUAACUCAACCCGGCAACGUGUACCGAGUUAUAUUGUCGGAAUCGGCUCAAUCGGCUAACCUUGCCCGACUCGAACUCUGCCGAUUAAGGUCGCAGCCGAUUCGGACUUAGCCGAUUCUUGCUCUAUUUCCGGAACGAUCUUCGUCUCAGAUUCCGCUUUGAUCUAAUCUUCAUCUCCGAUACUCAAAUUACCAAAUUUGGUCAUUAACACCCCAAUUUGCUCCUCAGUUUAAUCAGUUUGAGCCGAUACAGCAACAGACGCAUGGAGUACCUCAGCAAAGGCCAUGGGCUGAUAUGAUUGCAGAUGUGAUGAGAGAGCAGUUUGGGCUUAAGCCGAAAGACACUGGAAACCUGUAUCGGCACCCAUACCCUGAGUGGUUUGAAAGGGUUCCAUUGCCUAGCCGAUACAAGGUACCAGACUUCUCAAAAUUUUUAUGGCAAGACAAUGUUUCGAUAAAUGAGCAUGUCAGCCGAUUUCUGGCUCAAUGUGGUGAGGUAUCGGCUGUUGACGCCCUAAGAGUUAGGCUGUUUCCUCUGUCCUUGUCCGGAUCGGCAUUCACAUGGUUUUCUUCUUUGCCAUACAAUUCUGUCAAUAGUUGGGCCGAUUUGGAGAAACAGUUUCACAGCUAUUUUUAUAGUGGGGUUCAUGAGAUGAAACUAUUUGACCAGACAACAAUAAGGCAAAGGCAUGAUGAAUCUGUGCAGGAUUAUAUUCAGAGAUUCAGGGAGAUGAGGAAUAGGUGCUACAGUUUGGCUCUGACAGAUUCUCAGUUAGCCGAUCUGGUUUUUCAGGGUUUGAUAGCUCUGAUCAAGGAGAAAUUUUCAUCUCAGGAAUUCGAGAGCUUAUCCCAUCUCGCACAGAAGGUAACCUUGCAUGAACAAAGAUUUGCAGAAGCUAAGAAGAGUUUCAAGAAGAUCAAUCAUGUAUAUCCUUAUAUGUAUGAUUUUGAUGAAGAGGAUGAUUCCGAAGUAGCAGCAGCCGAGUGGGUCAGGAGUAAGAAAGUUGUGCCAUGCCCAUGGGUGAGGAGUUCUGGGAAAGAGGAAAGAUUUGACUUUGACAUCACCAAGGCUGAUAAGAUUUUCGAUUUGUUGCUUCGGGAGAAACAGAUUCAACUUCCUGCUGGUCAUAUAAUCCCAUCGGCUGAAGAAUUAGGCAAGAGGAGGUAUUGCAAGUGGCAUAAUUCUGGUUCUCAUUCUACUAAUGAUUGCAAAGUUUUCAGACAGCAGAUCCAGGUGGCCAUUGAGGGAGGGAAGAUUAAAUUUGAUGAUUCAAAGAAGCCGAUGAAGGUUGAUGGUAAUCAUUUCCCUGUUAACAUGGUGCAUACAUCUGGAAGGACAGCCGAUGGAGGGAAGAGUCGGAAUUUUCAGUUAAAUUCAGCUAGAAUUAUCAACAAGUAUCAGAAGAGGCAUGAUAAGCAGCAGGAAAGAUAUUUCAAGGAAGAUGAUGGUGGGUUUGAUCCUCUUUGGGACUGUGACUUCUUCAGAUUCUGUUGGAAUGAAGGCAUGAGGCUACCAUCGAUCGAAGAUUGCCCUGGGUGCAGUGAUAAUAUAGGGAGUUCAAGCCGAUCCUACAGCGGGAGUAAUCGGCCGAGUCAGAGAAGGGUGUCUGUUCAUCUGAGAUUGGGUCCAGUUAAUCAAGACUGCUACCAGGAUGAAGAUGAGGGUAGGAAGACUCAAUGGUGUCCUUCUGGUAUUUUCACCAAAAAUCAGAAAAGAAGGGUUCAGAGAAUAAGGAAUAGAGAACGUCUUCAGGAGGUGCAACAGGAGAUCAGCCAUCGGCUGAAGAAAACAAAGACCAAGCAGGAGUGGCGUGUUAAGAGCACGGUCACAACAGCCGAUGAAGUUGAAGCUGACAAAGCAAAAAGAUUGCUCAAGGGUAACGCUACUGCAUCUGCAUCGGUAAACAUGGUGUUUAUGCUACCUGCCGAAUUUGAAGCUAGGCAAGCCGAUGUUGAUGAUGUUGAAGAGGCAUCUGCUAGACUGGUGUUGUCACCGGAACAGGCGAUUUUUGAGAAGUCGGAGGGGAUAGAGAAUCGGCAUCUCAAGCCAUUGUAUAUCAAUGGAUUUGUCAACGGGAAGCCGAUGUCCAAGAUGAUGGUUGAUGGAGGAGCCUCUGUGAAUUCGAUGCCAUAUGCUACAUUAAGAAAAUUGGGUAGAAAUUCAGGCGAAUUGUUGUAUUCCUUCGACCAUGCACCAGUGCUUGAUUCAAUGGCAAGGCGACAAGAUUGAAAUUGUACCAGCUGACAGGUCAGUUAACGUUGCUAGUGCUGAUUUAGCUCUUUGGGAGAUGGAUGGUAUUGAUUGCCUAUCUGGAAAAGUUUGGGAUGGAGAUUUUCUAAAAGUGUCCGAUUGUGAUAUACAAUCGAUUGAAGAUGGAGAGCCCAAAUUAUUAUUUUGAGGGCGUCGUGGAGGGUUCAAACGUCUACACCAAGGACACGGUAGAUGAUCUCGAUGACAAACAGGGACAAGGUUUUAUGUCGGCCGAUGAUUUGGAGGAAAUUGAUAUAGGUCCGGGAGAUAGACCAAGGCCGACAUUCAUCAGUAAGAAUUUAUCUCCAGAAUUCAGAACCAAGUUGAUAGAGCUUUCAAAGGAAUAUAGAGAUUGUUUUGCUUGGGAGUAUUAUCAGAUGCCAGGACUCAGCCGAUCGAUAGUUGAACAUUGGCUUCCUAUCAAACCAGGGGUUAGGCCAUAUCAGUAGUCACCAAGGAGAUGUAAAGCCGAUAUGCUUGAUGAUGUCAAGGCUGAGGUUACACGUUUGUAUGACGCUGGUUUCAUACGUCCAUGUCGAUAUGCUGAGUGGAUUUCUAAUAUUGUGCCAGUCAUCAAGAAAAAUGGUAAAGUUAGAGUGUGUAUUGAUUUUUGGGAUCUAAACAAAGCUACACCUAAGGAUGAGUACCCUAUGCCGGUUGCUGAUCAAUUGGUUGAUGCUGCUUCAGGACAUAAGAUAUUAAGUUUUAUGGAUGGCAAUGCUGGUUACAAUCAGAUUUUUAUGGCCGAAGAAGAUAUUCAUAAGACAGCUUUCAGGUGUCCUGGUGCAAUCGGCUUGUUCGAGUGGGUUGUGAUGACUUUUGGCUUGAAGAGCGCUAGGGCUACAUAUCAGAGGGCCAUGAAUUACAUAUUCCAUGAUCUGAUCGGCUAGUUGGUUAAAGUUUACAUUGAUGAUGUGGUUGUUAAAUCGAAGGAAAUAGAAAACCACAUAGCCGAUUUGAGGAAGGUUUUUGAAAGAACUAAAAAAUAUGGCAUGAAGAUGAACACAACGAAGUGUGCUUUUGGCGUAUCGGCUGGCCAGUUUUUGGGAUUUCUUGUUCAUGAGAGGGGGAUCGAGGUAACUCAAAGGAGUAUUAAUGCAAUUAAAAAGAUUCAACUUCCGGAGGACAAGAAGAAGUUGCAGGAGUUGAUCGGCAAGGUAAAUUUUGUUAGAAGGUUUAUCUCUAAUUUAUCUGGCAGAUUAGAACCUUUUACACCCUUGUUGAGGUUGAAAGCCGAUUAAGAAUUCACUUGGGGGGCAGAACAACAGAAAGCGUUGGAUAACAUUAAAGAAUAUCUUAGUUCUCCUCCAGUUUUGAUUCCUCCACAGAAGGGGAUACUUUUCAGAUUAUAUCUAUCGGCUGGUGAGAAGUCGAUCGGCUCAGUUUUAAUUUAGGAGCUUGAAGGGAAAGAGAGGGUUGUGUUUUAUUUAAACCACCGGCUCUUGGAUGCAGAAACGAGGUAUUCUCCUGUGGAAAAGUUGUGUUUGUGUUUAUAUUUCUCUUGCACAAGUUAAGGCAUUAUCUAUUGUCCAAUGAAUGCACUGUGAUAUGUAAAGCCGAUGUGGUUAAGUAUAUGCUAUUGGCUCCAAUUUUGAAGGGAAGGGUUGGAAAGUGGAUAUUUGCUUUAACGGAGUUUGAUCUUCGGUAUGAGUCACCAAAGGCAAUUAAGGGACAAGCUAUAGCCGAUUUUAUUGUGGAUCAUUGUGAUGACUCAAUCGGCUCGGUGGAUAUUGUGCCUUGGACUUUGUUUUUUGAUGGAUCAGUGUGCACUCAUGGUUGUGGUAUCGGCUUGGUUAUAAUUUCCCCUCGGGUGGCAAGUUUCGAGUUUGCCUAUACUAUUAAGCCUUAUGCGACUAACAAUCAAGCCGAGUAUGAAGCGGUUCUCAGGGGGUUGCAGUUGCUUAGGGAAGUUGAAACCGAUGCUGUUGAAAUUAUGGGUGAUUCCUUAUUGGUGAUCAGUCAAUUGGCAGGGGAAUAUGAAUGCAAGAAUGAUACAUUGAUGGUCUACAAUGAGAAGUGCCGAGAGUUGAUGAGUGGAUUUCGGCUGGUGACUUUAAAGCAUGUGUCACGAGAGCAGAAUGUUGAGGCUAUUGAUUUGGCUCAAGGGGCAUCGGGAUAUAAGCCGAUGACAAAGGAUGUCGAAAUAGAGGUUGUUGCAAUUAUAGCCGAUGAUUGGAGGUAUGAUGUGUAUCAAUAUUUACAGAACCCAUCUCAAUCGGCUUUUCGGAAAUUGCGUUAUAAGGCUUUGAAAUACACUUUAUUGGAUGAUGAGUUAUAUUAUCGAACGAUUGAUGGGAUGUUGCUUAAAUGUUUGAGUACCGAUGAAGCCAAGGUUGCGAUAGGCGAGGUACAUGAAGGAAUUUGUGGUACUCAUCAAUCGGCUCACAAGAUAAAGUGAUUGCUUCGACGUGAGGGUAUUUUUGGCCGACAAUGUUGGAAGAUUGCUUCAGAUACUACAAGGGAUGUCAAGAUUGUCAAAAGUUUGGAGCAAUUCAGAGAACACCGGCAUUGGCUAUGAAUUCGAUUAUCAAGCCAUGGCCAUUCAGAGGAUGGGGUAUGGAUAUGAUCGGCCAGAUUAGUCCUCCUUCUAGUAAGGGGCAUAAGUUCAUAUUGGUUGCGACCGACUAUUUCACCAAGUGGGUAGAGGCUAUCCCUUUGAAAAAGGUUGAUAAAGGAGAUGCUAUACAAUUUGUUAAAGAACAUAUCAUCUACCGAUUUGGUAUUCCUCAGACCAUUACAACUGAUCAGGGGUCAAUCUUUGUGUCUGAUGAGUUUGUUCAGUUUGCCGAUAGCAUGGGUAUCAAAUUGUUGAAUUCUUCUCCGUACUAUGCACAAGCCAAUGGACAAGCCGAGGCGUCUAACAAGAGUUUAAUCAAGUUGGUUAAUUAAGAGAAAGAUUUCUGAUUAUCCUCGGCAAUGGCAUACUAGGUUGGCCGAAGCAUUGUGGUCUUAUCGGAUGGCUUGUCAUGGAUCGAUUCAAGUUUCUCCUUAUAAGCUUGUUUAUGGACACGAAGCAGUUUUACCAUGGGAAAUUAGAAUCAGCUCGAGAAGGACUAAUUUGCAGAAUGAGCUGACAGCCGAUGAGUAUUAUAAUCUCAUGGCCGAUGAAAAGGAAGACUUGGUUCAAUCAAGAUUGCGAGCUCUUGCAAAAGUUACCAGGGAUAAAGAAAGGGUUGCUCGGCAUUAUAACAAGAAGGUGGUGCCUAGGUCUUUUUCUGAGGGAGAGCUCGUUUGGAAGUUAAUUUUGCUGAUAGAAACUCGAGAUAACAAAUUUGGCAAGUGGUCACCAAAUUGGGAAGGACCGUUUCAAAUCCAUAUGGUUGUGUUCAAAGGAGCUUGCAAGGGCUUGAUGGAGAAGUUUAUGGACGAGCACUCAAUGGGAAAUACUUGAAGAAAUAUUAUCCAAGCGUAUGGAUCAAUUCAUGAUCGGCCGUGUUUGCUGAUACAUGCAAAGCCGAUGUAAUUGACAUCGCUUUUAGAUGGCCGAUGCAAGUUGUAUCGCCCUUAGUUUUUUUAUCAUAAUCGGCUACGUUCUGCCGAUGUGCGAUGGCCGAUAUUUAAUAUAUCGCCGUUAGUCCAAAUUGUAAUUUUAUCAAAGCCUUCAUCAUUGUAAAAUUAGGGGGCACAUAUAUACAAAAUUAAGAAUUUUUGAGCAAAUUGAGAAGUUAUAUUAAUCGGCACAAGGGAUCAGCAAGAUAAUCAAAGUUUCUUAGCCGAUUACACAAAAGCAAUCAGAAGAAGUAUCAAAGUUUCUUAGCCGAUUACAAAAAAUUUUCUAAGCCCUAUUACAAGGAUAGUCAUUCGGACAAGUAGUGUUGGAUAGCUGAUACAGCCCGCUGUCUAAUUUGGUCUACUUCCUCGAUGGCUUGGAUGUCUUGGGCGUCGGUUCCAGGAAUGAUCUUGAGAGAUUUGGUCAAAUCAGCCACGUUCUUGAUAGCCGAUUUUAACCUCGACUUCUGCUCUUCGACAGCCUUUGGGAGAUCGGCUAACUUCUUUUGUUCCAGAGCUAGUUUGGCAUUGCAUUCCUUCAGCUGAGCUAUAAGAUCUAUCUUUCGAGCCUCAAGCCGAUCUAUACUGGUUUGAAUCGGCCCAACCGAAAGCUGAUUUAACUUAGCUUUUUCUUCAUGAACGGUGUGCCGAUUGGCUUGAAUAGUGGCUUCAAUAUCCCUUCGCUCUCGUCGAUCGGCUAUCCUCUGCUUGGCUUUUUCCAGCUUGAACUGAUGUUGCUCAAGAUAUACAGCUGGAGAGAUGGUGUUUGCCAGAUCAUUCGGGAUGAGUGCUUGAAUCUCGGCAAAUCUUGCUCGGAUUGUACCACAGUCAAUCACCAGGUUAUCCAAUGAUGCAUCUAGCCGUUGAGAUAUGUCUUCAAGGAUUUUCCUCACAUCAUCAGUCAAAGGGGGUACAACUUUACUGGUGAUGUCUUCUUCUUUCUCCUCAUCAAAAUAAUCCUUGAGUUCAAAGGAGAACAGAUCGGCUAAGACCUGCAAGGGAGAAAAUUAAAGAUGAUUAAGUAUCAAAACAUGUUAUAUAGCCGAUCUGAGGUCCUGAAGAUAAAACUUACUGGGAUAGCAGGAGCAGCUGGUUGUUCUUCUUCUACAUGGUGGCUUCCUGCAGCCGAUGCAGUAUGUUCGCUUGAGUCAGGCUACACAAGAGGUGAAGGUGGAGGAAGGAGCUAAAAAAGAUAAGUGUUAGUUGUUGUCGGUAAGGAGCAAGUUUAACAAUGCAAGGAAAAUUCAAGUUACCGAUCGGGCAGGAGAAGGGACUAGAGAUGGUAUUGGUGCCGAUUUCUUUCUGCCUGCAAGUUUCUUUUUCUACAAGAACAAGUCUUGUUAAGGAAAAUCGGCCAAUAGAAUUUAAAGUGUUGAGAUCGAAAGGUGUUUACCCUAGCUUGCCGAGCUGGAGCAAUUGGUGUUGAGGGAGUCUUUUGAGAAAUUGGGGCAUCGGCUGGUGGUGUUCGUUCCCUCGCUUCACUAAGUUCGGUUGCAGCUUCGUCGACAUCUUCUUCCAUCUCCGCUUCAUCCAGGAAUUCUUCUACAUCCGGAUCAAUAGCAGGUAGAUCAUCGGCUGGUUUAGACUUUUGCUUUUUGGCUUUCUUCUUUGUAGCCGAUGGUUCGACAGCAGAUGCUUUGGUUUUCCUCUUCUUUCCGGCAUCGGCUGGUUCUCUUAUUUGCCCUUGGAGCAAACUUGAGGUCUUGGGGGAAUGGUAGCCGAUUAUCAGAGGAGCCAAUCCACCACCAUUAGGAAGGAGGCCUGCUGGAUAUUCUAUGUCCCUGCCACUAUAACUCUUGCGAGGAGGAGAUGAUUCUGUUGUCUGCAAAUUAGAAAAAGAGAUUGGUUAAGAUGAAAAUCGGCUGAUAAAGUUGAAUAGGAACUACUAAAGUAAAAGACUUACUUGAGGAAUUAAGUCCGGGAAGAGGCUCGUCAUGUAUACAGAAGCCGAUUGAUGAAAGAGGUGCUGUUUUCAUUCACCCCACCAUAGAUCAAAGGCCCUGCUUCUGAAUUGGGCUAGCUUUAUAUUAUCAAUGGUGCCGAGAGGAGGUCCCUGGAUGUUUAGCAACCGAUCCAUCAUCAAGGUUGAUGAGAUAUCCCCUCUGCAUUGGAUUUUAUCGGCAAAAUACAAGCUGAUUGGGAGUUGGCCCAUUCCAAAUUGCCUAGCAGAAUUCGUUGGGUGGUAGAAUUCAUAAGAGGCUUGGAUAUUCCUGCCCUGAUGGAUGCCAACUGGAAGGAUACAUGGGCUAAUAGCAGCAGCGAAGACUUCUCUGGAUCUAUCAAAAUUUUCAGAAUUGAUAUCUUCAAAUCGGAAGUCCGAUGGUAGCUCAAAGUCCAUUGAGUCUUCAUAGAAGAACCAAGCUCGAGCAUUUCUUGGAAAACCAUCAUAAAAACUGAAGAACCAAUCCUUCAGUAAUUCAGCCGAUAGCUUUGCUCCAGCAUCGGCAGGUGUGGACGCAUAUUCCCUGUAUGACAUGCAUCGACAGUGCGUGCGCUCCUCUCCAUCAUCAUCAUCUAUAAUCGGCUCCAACCUUGGAAACUCAGCUUCUGUCACAGAUGGCCGAUUAACAGCUUUCAUGGCUACUAAAUUUAGCCAAGUUUGUAGCAGCCACCAUGGUCCACCUACACUGACAACUGAGCCGACAACUAUCUUAGCCGAUGCAUUGUUCAACAUUUGAUAUAGAUAUCGAGGAGGAUUUUGCCUAAAGGAAAUUGUCUCUUUCACUCUAGGGCUUCGGCUAUAUGCUGCCAGUUGGAAGUAGGACCACAGCUGGAUCCACAGAAGAGAUACUUUUCAAGCCACAUGAGGAGAAAGGCUACAUGUUCCUGAGGGGUGACAGAUCUUGUGCCCAUGUUCAUGGAGAUAAAUCCUGACCAGCCGCCUAUGCUCUUGGUCUUGAAGUCAAAGGUGUUCUUGGUGUUCAAGCUCAUAGGGUUGGCCGAUGAGGUGACAUCUAAGCCGGUUAUCAUUGUUAUGUCCAGGAGAGUGGGUGUCAUCGGCCCUUGGUUGAACAUGAAAGCGUUAAGGGUGUUGGACCAGAAGUAGGUUGCAGAGGCCAUCAAGGGUUCAUCCUUAGCCGAAUUUGCUAAGGUAAGAGAAAAGGGCUUGGUCGAUUCCUAACUCAUUCCAGUGAGUCUGCUUACUAGCCGAUACACGCUUGUACCAUACGGGCCAACUUUUCUCAGGAGUGCUUUUCUCAAGAGAGGGCCAAGACUUAAAAGUGUUCUUCUAAUGACUUAGAUCUGGGCUAACCAAUCUAAAAGGUAUCCUAUUGGUCUCGGCGCUAAUAAACUCAGUAGGGUCAGGAUUGCCGAUCAGACCAAGGAAGUACUAAUGCUCAUGAGAAAGGCUGGGAAUUGCUACCAAAUUGGAAAGGUGCUACAGAUGCAAAAAGAAUAGAGAAGAAGAAAACAAGAUGAGAUAAAGGAAAACCGAUCUACUGUACAAGAUUGAAGAUCUAGCCGAUGGGCACAUACCUCUGCAUACUCGGCCGAUGGAGUGGCAGACGGGCUGGCGGAAGUCGACAUCGUCGCGGACGGAAGAUUGAUCGGAAGGGGAGUCGCCUUGAGAUCGCCAUGCGCACUGAGGGGAUCACCGGAGAGAGAGAAGACAGAACUUGUUUCGGCGGUGAAAGUGGAAAUAAUGGUGUGAAGUUUCUCGGGGGUGACGGUUAGUAUUUAAAGCACUGCGGUAACGGUUAGAAAAAUGGCAAUGAGCGAUUUUCUUGGAGGAACAGAUAUGACAAAUCCGAAACAUUACCAAAUAUUCCGGACUUGGGGGGCAUGUGUUAACAACCAAAUUUGGUACCUGAUUGCCUGAUCUUACCUGAUUUAACUACUUUAUAUCCUAUAUGCUUGAUUAAUAUGUUAAAUCCACCAUUUAUGUUAAGAUCUUAUUGCAUUUAAGUAUAUUAAGCAUCAUGUUUGAUAUAUUUUGCUCGCUUUAAUAUCUUAAUAUAGAGUGGUAUCGGAGUAUUAGCCGAUACAUGCUAAAUCUAUCUGAUUGGCUAUGCUAUAAACGUUUAUAAUCUUCUUGUUAAUAUAUAUUUCGGUCUAAGUAGUUUAUACUGUCUCGGCAUGGCGACCGAUCUAUCCCAAUCACUUGAUUCAAAUAUAUAUCGAUAGAAGUAUUAUAUUUCGUUAAUAUCUACAGCCGAUCGAGUAGAUUUAGUUCUUUCUUGCUUAUUUAUGACUGUCGAUCAAUGCAAAGAUGACAUCGGCUCAAAGAUAAAUGAUACGUCAUCGACGACUGGCCGAUCGGCUAUCAUUUAUGGAUUUAACUAUUAUUUUCCUAUUUUUGUUUCUUGUUGAUUGCAGGAUCAAAUCAACUGGCACGCUCACGAACUUAAAGGCAAGAUUUUUGGACUUGCACUGGAGUUAAGCAGAUCUCCCAGGCCUUGUGUUUUUCACAUCAACAGAUGGUAGACAAUAAUUUAUUCCGUAAAGCCCAUUUCACGGUUCUGCAACAAUCUUCAUUGGUGGCUCCUUACAUCGAGGAGCACUUGUCUCUAGUUCGCGCCAGAAACAUCGGUAACUCCGAUGCAUGGAUUACACGGCAUCACAUUGAUACAUUCCCCGCGUGGCUGCGACAACAUCUCAUGGGUAACGAGACGAUUAACCAACAACUAGCCUUCCUGGCGAGGGGACCAUCUGGCUCGAUAGCGACAUUCCAAGGAUAUGAGAUCAAUGGGUACACAUUCUACACGAGAGCGCAAGACAUAAAGAGCACGAACCAGAACAGUGUUGUUCGUAUCGAUGCCAUGGGACACGAUGGUAAUUACGGUGCUAUCGAGGACAUAUGGGAACUUGACUAUGGACCUCUCAAGGUCCCUCUGUUCCGGGGCCAAUGGGUUAGGCUGACUGGUGGAGGCGUAACGAUUGAUGACAGUGGGAUGACAACGGUUGACCUUAACAAGGUUGGAUACUCAGACGAAUUUUUUGUCCUUGCCAAUGAUGUAACGCAAGUUUUUUACGUGAAGGACAUGUCUAGCAAAGUGCCUAACGUGCCGAAGCGCCACGUGGUUCUCCCAGGCAAAAGAAAAAUCGUCGGAGUCGAGGACAAGACUGACGAGGAUUAUGAUCAGUUUGAUGGGCAACCCCCUUUCACGGUGACGGUUGACCCUAGUAUCCUCCUAUCAAACGAAGACACCCUUUAUUCACGCAGCGAUCACAAGGAAUGAACAGUAGUGAGGAGAAAGUACGUGCGGUCAACCGUCACCGGCGAUGUAUUGCCGUAAUUGUUGUGUACACGAUGUAAACUGUUUUGGAUGUAUUGAAUAUCCAUAUAAAUCAAUUGUUGUAUGGCAUAUGUUAAUUAUGUAUGAUUAUUAGAAUUUUUAACAAAUUUAAAUCAUGCAUAUGCUAAUUAUAUAUGAUAAUUAGAAUUUUUAACAAAUUAAAAUCAUGCAUAUGCUAGUUAUAUAUGAUUAUUAGAAUUUUUAACAAUUUUAAAUCAUGCAUGUGGUAUUUACAUAUUAUAAUUAGAAUGUUUAACAAAUUUAAAUCAUGCAUAUGCUAAUUAUAUAUGAUAAUUAGAAUUUUUAACAAAUUUAAAUCAUGCAUAUGCUAGUUAUAUAUGAUUAUUAGAAUUUUUAACAAUUUUAAAUCAUGCAUGUGGUAUUUACAUAUGAUAAUUAGAAUUUUUAAAAGUUUUAAAUCAUGCAUAUGCUAGUUAUAUAUGAUUAUUAGAAUUUUUAACAAUUUUAAAUCAUGCAUGUGGUAUUUACAUAUUAUAAUUAGAAUGUUUAAUAAUUUUAAAUCAUGCAUAUGCUAAUUUUAUAUGAUUAUUAGAAUUUUUAACAAUUUUAAAUCAUAUGCUAAUUAUAUAUUAUCCACUUAAUAUAUUUUAAAGGUUUUAUCAUUAAAUUUGUGACUUUAAAUCAAUUUAAUGAAUUAUUUACUCUUUUAGAUAACCUAUAUGUAAUGAGAUUAAAUAUGCACUGUUAUUAUCUUUAGUCCCGGUUCUUAACCCUAACCGGUUUAAAAAAGAAUUUGGAAAUAGCGGGAAAAGGGCUUUAGUCCCGGUUGGUGGCUACAACCGGAACUAAAGAUAUCUUUAGUCCCGGUUGGUGAUCGCGGACUAUAUAUAUGCCCAAGCACUCGUCUUCUCCACCAACACUUAGAAGUUUUCUCUCCGAUCUAGAGCUCUCCUUCGCGCCGCCACUGCAGCUAGGGAAUCCCUCGCUCGCGCCGCCGUCGUCUCGCUGUCGUCGUCGUCGUCGCCGCCGACGCCACCGUCGAAUCUCGGGGGUGAGGCUCUCUCUCGAUCUCUCUCUCUCUCUUUCUCUUUCUCUCCAAACCGCCUCAUCGUCGUCGUCGUCAUCGCCACCAUCGACGCCCACGCCGCCGCCGCCACCGCCGCGCCACGCCACCGCCAUCGCGUCACGCCGCCGCCGCCGCCACUGCCGACGGCCACGCCGCCGCGCCACGCCACCGCCGCCGCGCGAUGACGCCACCGCCGCCGCGCCGCCACCGCUGCCGCCACGCCGUCACCGCCGCCGUCGUGCCGCGCCGCGCCGCCGUGCCACGCCACCGCCGAAGCCGCCACUGGCUUUGCCCAAGCGGUCGCGAACGAACGUGAACGAAACGAGAACGAAUGCGAACGAACGUGAACAAAACGAGAACGAACGCAAACGAAACGUGAACGAACGGGAACGAACGUGAACGAACGCGAACGAACAGGAACGAACGUGAACGAAACACGAAUGAACGCGAACGAACGCGAACGACACGUGAACGAAACGGGAACGAACACGAACGACAUGCGAACGAACGCGAACGAUAUGUGAAUGAAACGUGAACGAACGCCGAAUGAACGUGAACGAAACGUGAACGAACGGGAACGAACAUGAACGAACGCGAACAAACGGGAACGAAACCAUGAACCUAAACUUCAACUCCCCUCCGACCUAGUUUAAUCUAUCAUGCACUAAUCAAAAUAUGUUCCUUUGCAUUUAGACUAAUACAUGUUUUUUGCAUGUUGCAGAAAAGACGUCGUCGUCGUCUCUCAAGACUAAGAGGUAGCUAGCCCUCGGAGGAAUUUGCGCAGGCAAGUGAUGUAAUAUAUGAUUACUAGAGUUGGCAUAUGAUUAUUAGAGAUUUAAUAUGAUUGUUAGAGUUAGCAUAUAUGAUUAUUAGAGCUAGAAUAUGAUUAUUUAGAGUUACCAUAUGAGAUUAUUAUAGUUUUAAUAUAUGAUUAUUAGAGUUUUAAUAUAUGAUUACUAGAGUUAGCAUAUGAUUAGUAGAGAUUUAAUAUGAUUGUUAGAGUUAGCAUAUGAUUAUUAGAGUUUUCAUUUAUGAUUAUUAGAGCUAGAAUAUGAUUAUUUAGAGUUACCAUAUGAGAUUAUUAUAGUUUUAAUAUAAGAUUAUUAGAGUUUUAAUAUAUGAUUACUAGAGUUAGCAUAUGAUUACUACAGAUUUAAUAUUAUAUAUGAAAAUAUUUCUUAUAUGAACAGAUGGUUGAUCGCGAUGACGAACAGAUACUAUACGAUACAAUCACAGAGGGAAGCAGCCAGUACUAGAACGAAAAAGAGGGGAAUGAGGAUCCGAUCUUUUUCCUUCAUGUCUACUCAAAUUUUAUAAUUCCAACUACAAGAAACAAAGUUAACCUCUUGGACAGAAAAUCUCACUUUACAAGAAAUAAUAAUCGAUAUUAUGCCAUUUUUGAAAUAUUUCCUCUCUUGGUGAGCUUUAUCUAUCUUUUAUCAAUAAUCAUUUUCUCCAUGUUCAUGUGCAUGACUGUCGCGACCGGGAAAAUUGCCUUUUCCCGAACGCUAGUGUAUUAAUCCCCGUCCCAGGAAAAGCCGGGGUACACCACACAAACAUGAUAUAAAAGACACAUCUUUAUUAUAUCGAUAAUAUUUACAUUAUUACAAAGGCGCUUCAGGCCUGACAAUCAAAAAUAAACAGCAGCGGACUAGCGGGCCUAUGGCUCCAUCUUCACAGGCGCUCAACUGGGGUAUAAGCCAGGACUCCACCUAAGACAUCUUCUCCAAAGCUUCUCUUACUGAAGAGGGGAAAGAUUGAGCAAGAAUGAGUACAACCACAGUACUCAGCAAGCCACACCGGCGGAUGCACGAUUAAUGCAAGGGGGUACAAGGGGUAAUAAUAUAGGGAUUAAGCUUUGCAGUAAACAGCAUUUAAAAGUCACUUAGUUGCCCAAAGCCAUUUUAUAAAGACGAUCCUAGAGCUACCCAGUAUUAUUAAUCAAGGCCGUGAACCCACACGAACCUGCCUUAACCCAAGGCCUACGAUGAUUCAGACCGAACUGGCAACCCGACCCUGGGUCCCAGCUCGUCCCAAGCCAACCCAGGCCAUCCAUUCCACAUUUUAGUUGUUAAGCAGGUUUUAAGAAUUAAAACACUAACUUGGGUACAUUGCUAGGCUUGCCCAUAACCGAGGGCGCGGCUAUUCGAAUAGGUUUUACUCUGAUCAGAGGUGUACAUCUUUACCCACAAGACACAUCUUCCUCACGUGCAACCACGUGCCACAUACCACCACGGUAUACAGACGGAAGACGUGACAUAGUUUCCAACCCAUCCUAGCCAUAGACAAGAGUACCGACCCAAUCCCGCCUACGGCCGGAACCUCCGGGACAGGCAGGCAGGACUGAGCCCCUAGCAGCAGGGCACCAACCCUGUGCCAUGACAUCUCGACUACCGGGCCGCAGCUCGUGUAGCCUUCAUUUGCCCUGGAGAAUGUCCAUCGACCCCCGACUUCAUCCACCUCCAAUCCGUGUACUUUUGUUUAUAACCAGACUGAGCCACAAACUAAGCCUUACCCACUAGACAUGUGGAAGUACGGUAGUGCUUUGCAACAGAGGCCCGAAGACCGGUCCUUAUACGGCCGAGGUGCUACUAUCAAAACCAUGCACCCCGAGCCCAGCCUAAAACCAUUUUGGGGAUUUUGAAUAGAAAGAGCGGUGUGAAACCAAUUCCACAAUAACCAAACCAUUCCAAAGUAUCCAGGUGAUAUGAAUAUUCCCAAAGUCUAGAGUUGUAAAACCACCUAAUGUUACCUAAUUAAACAGCGAAGCAUCUACCUAAAAUCAUACUAGUGGUACCAUGAGUAGAGUAUCCACUAGUUGGGGUUUUGUUUAAUCUAGGGUGAACAAGGUAAUAAUAACAAUAACAAUAAUAAUAAGGUCAUAACAAAGGUAAAUAGGCAUGGCUAAAUAAAACAGUGAUAACGCGGGAAUUUAAAUAAAGCGACAAUGCAAUAAUUUAAAUCAAAAUAAUUUUAUAAACUGGGAUUCAAUAUGUUCAAGGAUGAUGUGACUUGCCUUGCUCGCUUUCCCAAACGCCGGCUUCAACUUCCACGAAGAGCGGAUCUUCCGAAGCUGCAGCGUCUACACGACCAAUGGAAAAGAAAAGGCUUUUACUCUAAUAAACUCCAAAUAACAAGCAGAAGCAAAGCACAAAAAUGGGUUCUUGACUUCUUAAGGAAAAAUUAGAGACUUGAACGGUCCAAUUCCGAGUUCAAAUGGCCAAGUUAUGGCCAUUUGAAGUUUAUAUGCUCUUUAAAUGGAUAUUUGCGAAUUUCUUCAUUUAAAUUUUAAUUAAAAAUCGGAUUUAUUGCGUCAGCCGGGAGAGAGGGCGCGCGGACCGGGUCCACGGGAGUGGGGCCCACGCGUCAGCCUCACGGUCCACGGUGGACCGGGUGCACGCGGCUGACGCCGGCCGGCGCCGUGGGUCCCACGCGUCAGCCGCACCCGCGGGCGCGGGCGGCUGACGGCCGGGCCCCACCUGGCAGCCGCGGGGCGCGCCCGAAGGCGGCCUCGCCGGCACGGCCGACGGGAGGCGGCGCGCCCGCGCCCCGAUGGUCGCCGGCGGCGACCUCCGGCGCGACGGAGCGGCGGCCGAGAGAGGGGAGGGAAGGGGGAAGCGAAACGGGCGGUCCUCGGCUCACCCCGGGUCGACGGCGACGACGGAAACGGCGACCGAAGCGGACAGAGGCGGCGGCGCGGCUCGGGUCGACGAGGACGGCGAUGUUCCGGCGGUCGGCGGGCGAAACGGAGGAGCGGACGGGGUCGACGAGGACGCGGCGAAGCCGAAGGAGGCGACGCCGAGAGGGGAGGAAGUCCGGAGCGACGGCGGCGGCGAACCGGAGCUCGUCGGCGACGGCGGAGAGAGAGGACGACGGCGCGGGCACGAUUCCGACGGGGAGAGAGAGCGGCGAGCGGCGGAAACGGAGGAGGGAGGCACGGGGAACGAUUAAAUAGCGUCGGGAGGGAGAGAGGGCGGCCGGAGGGGAAGGAAUCGACCGCGGAAAUCUCGGCCGCCAUUGAUGCGCCGGCGAACUUUGCGGGAAUAAAUCCGAGCGAAUCCGAGGGAGAGAGAGAGGGGAAAGAGGGGGAAAAGAGGGAGGGAAUCACGGGGAGUGAUUUCCCCCUCUUUAUGGCGCGCGGGGACGGCGGGAUGCGGCGGAUUCGGCGGCGGCGGCGGCGCUAGGGCACGGGCGGGCGGCGGGCGCGGCGCGAGGUAGGGGAUGACGGGUGGGCCCCACCCGUCAGCGAGGGUGGCGGGCGGGCCCGCCCGUCAGCGGCGCGCGCGCGGGGAGGGGGCCGAUGGGCCGCGGGGGAGAGGAGAGAGAGAGGGAGGGAAGUGGGCCGAGCCGGCCCAAGAAGGGAAGGGGAAAAAGAAGACUUUUAGGGUUUUUCUUUUUAUAAAACCUUUUUAACUUUGUUUAUUUCUUCUCAUUUAUUAUUUGUGCUCUGAAAAUUCCACUAAAAUUUGAGGGCUCCUUUUAGACCAAGGAGAAUUUAACAAAAAUUCUCCGGGUCACAUUUGAAUUUUUCUUAUACGCAUUUUAGUGUUUGCCAAUUUCUUUUCGAAUUUUAAUUAAUUCUAUUAUUCCUUUUAGAAAAUGAAUUUUAUUUCGGGAUGAAUUUAUCAGGGCGUGACAAUGACGAGCUUGAACAAUAGCGCAAAACACAAAGGCCCCUUCGAAUAACAGGAAUGGAAAAACAGAGUAAUAGAAAAAAACAUAGAAUUCUAAUAUGAAUGCAAGUUGUGGAGAUUAUGGAUAUCCCAUAUCUACACGGCGAUGAUAUUUGGGCUGAAUAUAGGAUACCGAAUAUGGAUAGAAUAUCUUAUGUGUGUCCUGAGUUUGUUUCUUAGCUUGUACAUCAAGGAAACACCUUGAGACUUAGUCGGUCACGAUUGUAUUUGAUCUGUAUCUGUGUAUUCCGUUAGGGAUAUGGAUUAUCUUUUGUAACCCGGACUCCUUCCCAUAUAUAAGGGGGGUCCGGGCGCCUCUAGGGGCAGAUGUUGGAUUUUCUCCAAAUCAUACAAUCAAUAACACACUCGGCGGAUUCAUCCCCGGACAGGAGUAGGGUAUUACUUCUUUUAUAAGAAGGCCUGAACCUGUAUAAAUCCUUUGUCUCCAAACCCAUACACUUUCCUAGCUUGAUAGCCACCCCCUUUUAUUAUUGCCGAAAUCUAGUUUCGACAGUUGGCGCGCCAGGUAGGGGAAGCGUCAAGCUUUUCGUCGAUCAGUGCAAUGGGUUCCGUUUCCGGCAUCGACGACCUCGUCUUCCCACCCGGGCAGACGUUUCGGUUCGGCAGCCUCGACUUCGUCACCAACAACUUCGGCAAGAUUUCUCUCCUCGACUCGGAAUCAGACCAGUCGGGAGAGAACCGGAUUUCGGUCCCGUUUGGAUUCCCGAACGCGGCUGAAAGCUACUUCAAGACCAUCUCAACCGAGUCGGCUUCAAACCACUCGGCCGAGAUUGCAUCUUCUCCAACAACACCAGAUCAAGAUGAUGGGGCUUACCCACCAGUCCUGAUGAAGCUCCCCGACGAUUUAACGGCCGUCUCCACCACGACAGCGUCUUCAUCCCGUAGGCCUAGGCGGAAGUCGGCUUCAACACCGAUUUCGCCUAGCUUCAGGGAAGUCGGCGUCAUCCUCCAACCACUCGGCACGGUUUCGACGGAUCAGCUGGAUGACUACAACAGCUCUCCCACCGUCGACUCACGUCCUACUGACAUCGUGGAGUACGACGAAUUUAGUUCUCGCUACAACGACUUCGACGACUUCGACGGAAGCCUAGAUGACAACUACACCCCUCUCUAUUUUGGCGUUUUCAUGGCCAAUAAUGAGACGGAGGAGCAACGCCAAGCCCGGGAGACCGAAGAACGUCGCCGACUGGAGGAGGAGCAUCAAGCACAAGAACAAGAACGGCUACGGCGUGAGCAGCAGGACCGUGAGCGGACUGCGAAGGAGGCUGAGGAUCGACGACAGCGAGCUUUGGAAGCAGGGCGCCGAGCGCGUGAUCUCAUCGGCCAACAAGAUGUCGAAGGGACACCGGUUUUCCGCACCCCUCAACAGAAUGCGGUCGCCGCGAUCACCCUUCUCGACACCCUCCUCAACCAAAACGAGCUCAAUCAAUCCGACCACGUCGUCAACAUCUUGAACCAGACGAAGACCAUGAUUGCGGCUUCGGUCCCAGUUAACUCCGAAAGCGUCCACACGCCGACUGGUAGCCGAGUCCCCCACUUCCGAUCUCAUGACUACCGUCAUCCAAGCCUCAGCAUCACCGGCGCAGGAUCCAAUCGCAGGAGCAGGGGUCACGACGAGCGGUCCAUUCACUCACCUCCCGACCAAUAUAGGGAGCGCCGAGUGGAACGGCCUCGCUCACCACCUCGUCGCCGCCCCGUCGAUCUUCGCGACACAAUCAUACAGCGCCGAGCAGCUCGAGGCUAUCAUCAUUCGCCAAACCGCCACGACGACGACCUUGACGGAGUAGCAGCCUUCACCGACGAUCUGCGUCGAGUGGAUUGGCCAGCCGGCUUCAAGCCGACUGGAAUAGAGAAGUACGACGGUACCACUAAUCCAGAAUCGUGGCUUACCGUCUACGGUCUCGCAAUCCGCGCAGCAGGAGGAGACAACAAGGCCAUGGCGAAUUAUUUACCAGUGGCUUUAGCAGAUUCCGCCCGAUCUUGGCUCCAUGGAUUGCCCCGUGGUACAAUUGGAUCUUGGGCUGAAUUACGCGACCACUUCAUCGCCAACUUCCAAGGCACCUUUGAGCGUCCCGGCACACAAUACGACCUCUACAACGUUAUUCAGAAGUCCGGAGAAUCCCUUCGAGAUUACAUCCGGCGAUUUUCUGAACAACGUAACAAGAUCUCCGACAUCACCGAUGACGUCAUCAUCGCCGCAUUCACCAAAGGGAUUCGCCACGAAGAAUUGGUCGGCAAGUUCGGGCGUAAGCCCCCCAGGACAGUCAAGCUUAUGUUUGAAAAAGCCAACGAGUACGCCAAAGCUGAAGACGCCGUCACCGCAUCAAAGCAGUCGGGUCCCAGUUGGAAGCAAAACAAGGGUACGCCGGCUACGGGAGGAGGUGGAAGUAACAAUCAUAAGGACCGCAAGCGUAAGCCUGCGGAACUUGUUGCAACCGCCAGUCACUCUUCUCGACAGCGUUCGCGCGUCAACACGUUCGACAAGAUCAUGAACUCCCAAUGCCCGCACCAUCCUAACUCCAACCACGUGGCCAAAGAUUGUUUCGUCUACAAGCAAUUCGCGGAUCAAUACACCAAGACUGCACGGAAGAACUCUGACGAAGAACAAAGCACGUCAAGGAAGAAGGACGACGGCGACACCCCGGCAGGUUUUCAAGAUCACCGCAAGGAGCUCAACCAUAUCUUCGGCGGCCCCCUAGCUUAUGAGUCUAAAAGGAAGCAAAAGUUGACCGAGCGGGAGAUCAAUGCUGUUCAGCCCGACACGCCUCAAUAUCUUCGAUGGUCAGAGAUUGCAAUCAAGUUUGACCGCUCGGAUCAUCCUGACCGAGUGGUCCACCCGGGGCGGUACCCCCUGGUACUAGACCCAGUGGUCCGUAAUGUCAAGCUUCGCAGAACCCUCAUUGACGGCGGCAGCGCACUCAAUAUCCUCUUCACCAAGACCUUGGAUGAUAUGCAGAUUCCUCGCUCCGAGCUAAAACCAAGCAAUGCGCCUUUUCACGGAGUAAUUCCAGGAUUAUCCGCAACUCCACUCGGCCAGAUCACACUCCCGGUCACCUUUGGCACUCGGGAAAACUUUCGCACAGAGAAUAUCAGCUUCGAAGUCGCCGAUUUCGAGACAGCUUACCAUGCCAUACUCGGACGCCCGGCGUUAGCCAAGUUCAUGGCCGUCCCGCACUACACUUACAUGAUGAUGAAGAUGCCUGGUCCCCGAGGAGUCCUAUCCCUACGGAGCGACAUCAAGCAAGCCGUCACAUGCGACAAGGAGAGUUGCGACAUGGCCCAAACUCGCGAGAUGGCGUCUGCCCGAGAGGAUAUCCGACUGGCUGCAGCCACGGCGAGCGAAGGAGAAGUGCCCGCUACCAAGAUUUCAAAGAGUGGAGAAAGCGAAGCCAAGACUAAGAAGAUUCCCCUAGAUCCCUCUGAUCCAACUAAAACUGCUGUAAUAGGCGCCGAGUUAGAUUAUAAAUAGGAAAGCGCGCUCAUCACCUUUCUUCAGAACAAUAAAGAUAUCUUUGCGUGGAAACCAUCUGAUAUGCCCGGUAUUCCUAGAGAGGUGAUUGAGCACUCCUUACAUGUCAAAGAAGAUGCCAAGCCUAUCAAACAACGACUCCGCCGAUUCGCACAAGACAGGAAGGACGCGAUCAAGGAGGAAUUAACCAAGCUGUUAGCAGCAGGCUUCAUCAAAGAAGUCCUUCAUCCCGACUGGCUGGCAAACCCGGUUCUAGUUCGGAAGAAAACAGGGCAAUGGCGCAUGUGUGUUGAUUAUACUGACCUCAACAAAUCCUGCCCUAAAGAUCCUUUUGGGUUGCCUCGCAUUGACCAGGUAGUCGACUCGACCGCCGGCUGUGAGCUUCUCAGUUUUUUGGAUUGCUACUCGGGGUAUCAUCAGAUCCGACUGAAGGAAUCCGACUGCUUGAAGACUUCAUUCAUCACGCCUUUUGGGGCAUACUGCUACGUCACCAUGCCGUUCGGACUAAAAAACGCAGGAGCAACUUAUCAACGUAUGAUCCAAAGAUGCUUCUCAACGCAGAUCGGCCGCAACGUUGAAGCCUAUGUGGAUGAUGUAGUCGUCAAGACCAAGCAAAAGGAUGAUUUGAUCUCGGAUCUAGAAGAAACCUUUGCGAGCAUCCGUGCUUUCAGGAUGAAAUUGAACCCUGAAAAGUGCACCUUCGGAGUACCGUCAGGGAAGCUGCUUGGCUUUAUGGUGUCUCAUAGGGGCAUCCAAGCCAACCCGGAGAAAGUUACUGCUAUCCUCAACAUGAAACCGCCAAGUACUCAGAAAGAUGUUCAGAAGCUGACUGGAUGCAUGGCGGCGCUCAGCCGAUUUGUUUCAAGACUUGGCGAGCGGGGGAUGCCCUUCUUUAAGCUACUGAAGAAAACGGAUGAUUUCCAGUGGGGACCCGAAGCACAGAAGGCCUUUGAAGAUUUCAAAAAACUCCUCACCGAGCCACCAGUCUUAGCUUCACCACGACCGCAGGAGCCGUUGUUGCUGUAUGUAUCAGCCACCUCCCAGGUUGUGAGCACAGUCUUGGUCGUUGAGCGCGAGGAAGAAGGCCAUGUCCAGAAAGUCCAGCGACCGAUUUACUUUGUCAGCGAGGUCCUAGCCGAUUCCAAAACGAGGUACCCUCAGGUUCAAAAGCUGUUAUAUGGUAUAUUAAUUACUACCAGGAAGCUAUCUCAUUAUUUUCAAGGUCACUCGGUAACGGUGGUCACAUCAUUUCCACUCGGUGAUAUACUGCACAACCGCGAAGCAAACGGACGUAUUGCUAAGUGGGCUUUGGAGUUGAUGUCUUUGGACAUAUCAUUCAAGCCCCGAAUUUCAAUCAAGUCCCAAGCGUUAGCUGAUUUUGUCGCCGAAUGGACCGAGUGCCAGGAGGAUACCCCCGCGGAGAACAUGGAGCACUGGACCAUGCAUUUUGACGGAUCCAAACGACUUUCGGGCACUGGAGCAGGAGUGGUUUUGAUUUCCCCUACUGGAGAAAGAUUGAGCUAUGUGCUUUGGAUACAUUUUUCGGCGUCCCACAACGUCGCCGAGUAUGAGGCCCUCCUUCAUGGACUGCGGAUUGCAAUUUCCCUAGGGAUAAAGCGUCUAAUAGUUCGAGGCGAUUCACAGCUGGUUGUCAACCAAGUCAUGAAAGAGUGGUCCUGCCUUGACGACAAUAUGAUGGCAUAUCGACAAGAGGUACGCAAGUUGGAAGACAAGUUCGAUGGACUCGAGCUCAGUCACGUUCUACGACACAACAAUGAAGCCGCCGACAGACUUGCCAACUUUGGAUCCAAGCGUGAGGCGGCACCCUCUGAUGUUUUCGUCGAACACCUUUAUACGCCGACAGUACCUCACAAAGAUACUACCCAAGUUGCGGGCACUCAUGACACAGCUAUGGUUGAAGUAGACUGGCGAGAGCCCCUCAUACGAUUUUUGACUUCUCAAGAACUCCCCCAAGACAAAGAUGAAGCCGAGCGGAUUUCAAGGCGGAGCAAACUUUAUGUUUUGCAUGAAGCCGAGUUAUACAAGAAAAGCCCUUCAGGAAUUCUGCAACGCUGCGUAUCUUUAGAAGAAGGGAGACAAUUGCUAAAAGACAUACAUUCUGGGAUAUGCGGAAACCAUGCUGCUGCACGCACCAUUGUCGGCAAGGCUUACCGGCAGGGUUUUUUCUGGCCUACUGCAGUGUCCGAUGCCGACAAAAUUGUGCGCACAUGUGAAGGUUGCCAAUUUUUCGCCAGACAAAUUCAUCUACCAGCUCAAGAGUUGCAGACUAUCCCGCUGUCUUGGCCGUUUGCGGUUUGGGGGCUCGACAUGGUUGGCCCGUUUAAAAAGGCAGUCGGCGGUUACACGCAUCUCUUUGUGGCCAUUGACAAAUUCUCCAAGUGGAUUGAAGCUAAACCGGUUGUCACAAUCACAGCAGAUAAUGCGCGAGACUUCUUCAUCAACAUUGUGCAUCGAUUUGGAGUGCCCAAUCGGAUCAUCACUGAUAAUGGCACACAAUUCACUGGCGGAGUUUUUAAAGACUUUUGUGAAGACUUUGGAAUUAAGAUUUGUUAUGCCUCAGUGGCACACCCCAUGAGCAAUGGACAGGUGGAGCGAGCCAAUGGCAUGAUACUUCAAGGGAUUAAAGCGCGUGUUUUUGACCGGCUAAAACCCUAUGCCGGCAAAUGGGUGCAACAGCUGCCAUCAGUACUUUGGUCUUUGCGAACUACACCCAGUCGGGCCACAGGCCAGUCACCUUUUUUCCUUGUCUAUGGGGCAGAAGCAAUGUUGCCAAGUGAAGUUGAAUUCGAGUCUUUGCGCUUUCGAAAUUUCCGUGAAGAUCGCUACGAAGAGGACCGAGUGGAUGACUUGCACCGACUGGAAGAAGUCCGCGAAGCAGCUUUGAUUCGGUCGGCUCGAUACUUACAAGGGUUGCGGCGUUAUCAUAAUCGCAAUGUUCGAUCCCGCGCCUUUUUAGUCGGCGACCUGGUUUUGAGGAAAAUUCAAACUACACGGGAUCGGCACAAGUUAUCUCCUUUAUGGGAGGGGCCAUUUAUCAUCUCUGAAGUCACCCGGCCAGGUUCCUAUCGACUUAAGCGAGAAGAUGGUACUCUCGUCGACAACUCUUGGAACAUUGAACAUCUUCGUCGUUUCUACGCUUAAGUUUAUCAUUGUACCUCCCUAUCUUGACUGUCAACAUCAAGUUUUCUUCUUGAAGUUGUCAGUUGGGGGCUAUUAUCAUAAUAAUGGAGUGUGAUCUUUUAUCAAUUCAAUUUGCUUACUUGGUUUAUCAUUGCCUUGUUCGAUUUUUCUACUUAGUCUGCGAGGACUGAAAGUUUUUAAUAGCUUCUUUGGGUUUUAGGCUCAACAAAGCUUGAUAAAAGCUUUUAAGAAAUCAAAGAUUUGGCUAGAACUAUCAAGCACAGCAUAAAUACACCAGUAUUGUACAAAUUGAGCCUCCAUUUGCUACAUUUACACUCAGUCAGAAUCAGUCCUUUCAUCAUCAGAGUUAUUAUUGCUCGGCUGAAGGUCGUUGUUGCGGAAUUGCUCUACAACAUCACUUGCAAUCUUGUCAGCCGCACUUUGAGCAUUACUGAUAAGAUCAAGAGCAGCUUCUUCACUUGUCCCGUCUGCAAAGCCAUCAAUGGUAUCAAUUUCAAUCCUCGGGUACAAGGAUUUGGUCAUCGCCAAUGCCAUACUAGCUCCCAUACUUCCAGCUUUCUUGAUAUUCUUGAAAUAUACAUCCGGUGCAACUCUCAGCUUGUCAAAGAUUUCGGUUGCGUCAAGUGCACUCGGACCACUGUUAUUAAGGAACAUAGCUUGGACGAGUGGUGUAGCGACAUUGGCGACUUCGUCUCUUGCUCCUUCAAGCUUCUUGAUCUUACCAACCAGGACAUCAAACUGAGCUUGAGAUUUGAUUUUACGGUCUACAAAACACAUUUAUAAUAAGAAUCUGCUGCAUUAAAGAGAGGACAGUUCAGAUUGUCAGCUGGCAGUACCUUCAACCUCCUUCAAGGCUGAGUCCCUUUCUGCAGCCAGUUCUGCUUUGUCUUUUUUCAAGGCUUCUAUUUGCUUCUCCAUUUGAGCCAUCCUGGUGGCUUGCGCUGUUUGAAAUCCAAAUGUUUGAGGAUCCAGUUAUGACAGCAUAAAUCAAUGGAACAGAUCUGGAAGAUUACCUUUUGAUGAACCACUCAGCUCGAAGUUGGAGUCCUGGAGCUGUGCAAUUCGCUCCCUUAAUUCCUUCUCCGUUUUCUUGGCAUGCUCCUUGGCCUCGUGUAGCUGUUCCCUAACGGCUUCAAGAGUUCCCAAAUGUGGAACCAGCUUUUCUAAGGUUGCAGUCUUGGCUUCAUUACGAAGAUGGAUUCUCUGCACGGUGGUUCAUGGAUUAGUUUUGCUAACGAGAAAACAAAGUCAUCAAAGGCAGUCACCUAGAAGACUUACAUUCACAAUGCGAGUGGCUUCUCCAAGUACUUUCUUCAGCUGGCACACUUCCUCAUCUUCUUUUUGGCGAUUUAUAACAAUGCCGGAAACUUGAGAGUUCUCGUCCCACCAUUUGAGUAAGAUAGGAGGACGAGAGUCAUUAGCUGCCUUUAUGCGGAGAAUUUCUUCUUCGUCGCCGCCUAGUGGACCUGAUGUAUUCCCAAGACAUUAGACGAACAAGCUGGAGUUAUUCAGAACGGCAUCACUUGAGAAGAUGAGUUACCUGAGGAUGUGCCUGGCUGAGCGCGAGGUGAUCCUUGCUCUUUAUCUGGAGACCCAAUCACUGAGUCAUUACCAACUUCUGGUCCUUGAGAAGUUGUCUGCGCUUCAGCUUCAGGAAUCUCUUGAUUUAGAUCUACAUCCGACUGGUUUCCAGUCGGGGGCUCUCGGGUUGUUGCAGUUUCAGUUGCUGCCGACUGGUUUCCAGUCGGCGGCUGAUCACUCGGAUUGGCCUUGUCGUCCGAAGCUUGGGCGCCAGUCGGCUGACUUUCGGCAGUCGGCUGGCUUUCGGCAGUCGGCUCAGCAUCUUUGGAUAAAUUUGGCUCUGUGGCAGCCGGAUCAGGUUCUUUUCCAGUUGGAUCUAUAUCGGAUGGUUUCCUACAAAGUGUCCUUUCGAUAUUUAGCAUAAUUUCUAUGAGAGAAGCAUGCCGAAAUAAAAUGGUAUCGAGAGGUUUAUACCUGGAAGAUGUUCUAAUCUUUGGCAUUUGACGGCCAGCCAGUUUUUUCCUGGGCAUGGUAUGCUUUGGGAGUUUGUUGGGUGUUCCUUUGUCCCCAGAUUUGUUGCUGUCAUCGUCUUCGUCGUCAUUAAGCACCAGCUUUCUCUUGCGAGGACCUGUCUGCCCAGCCGGUUUGGAGGUUUGAGGUUGUGGGUCUGACCUGAUUGUCGGCCCUCCACUUCCCUGAACGGUGUGCUGGCGAGGAGAUCGGCGCUGAGCAAUUGGGGGAUCAGAUUUCAUCAAUACGUAUUCCUGAAUGAGAUGCUUCCACAGUUAGCUAACUCAACAUGAAGAUGAAAUUAUGUUUUGACCUUGGGAUGAAGAUUUCAGAUACAUACCUGCGGAGGCGGAUUGAAUGCGUUGUAUGGUACAACUGGCAGUUGAUGUGAGUAGCUGACGACAAUAGCGUUCGAGAAUAUCUUGUACAUCCUCUCCUUCAGGAUCUUAAAAUCCAAAGAAUCUGGGUCUUCACGGUUUGGAUCAUGCUUGCCGUCAAACUCAAAUGCUGUGCGGGAUCUUUCUUUGAUUGGAGCUAAUCGGCACUUAAUGAAAUGCUGAGUGAUUUGCUCUCCCUGUAAGCCUUGCUCUUUGAGUUUCAGCAUGCGUUCCAUCAGUUCUAAGGCUUGGGCAGCUUCAUCUCCCAUGGGAAGAGAGUUCCAUGUAUCUUGGUAUACUGGGGGAAGACAGGAGUACUCAGGAAGAGCGGACUCGGGAUUUUGAAUAUAAAACCAGUUGGCGUGCCAUCCUUUAUUUGAAGUCUUGAAAGGCAUAGAGAAAUACUUCUGGCUCAGAGUGCCCCUCAGUUGAAAUCCAGCCCCACCAACUACGCAUGGUUUGUUUUUGUUCGGUUGAGGCUUAAGGAAAAAGAUUCGGCGGAAAAGAGCAAAAUGAGGUCUAAUGCCCAAAAAAGCUUCACAGACAUGGACGAAAUUUGCAAUAUGGACUAUGGAGUUCGGAUUCAAAUGAUGUAAGCUGAUUCCAUAGAAAUUUAGUAUCCCACGGAAGAACUUCGAGGUUGGAAGAGCAAAUCCACCAUAAAAGAAAUGAGAGAAGACCACGACCUUGUGUGUAUCAGGGGUCGGAAAAGCCUCACCGCACGCUGGCCGCCACCCGAUGAUCUCCUUGGCAGGGAGAACGCCGUGCGCCACCAUCUCCUUCAGGUUCUCCUCCGUCACGUCGGACGGCGCCCAUUGGCCUUCGAAGCUUUCUUUCUCUUCCGCCAUCGAUUUUCCCCGAAUGUACUGAUUUGAUUCGAGGGAUGGCUUGGGAGAGGUGAGGAAUUGAGGCGGUGGAUCACGGGAAGGAUUUUGAUCACUUUUUGAAGGUGGAUUUGAGUGGAAUGGUGAACCCUAAUUUGCCGGCGCAGCUCUGUACUGUAGCAAGGAGUGGGGAAAAUGGCGAGAGUUCCGGCGGGGAAGACGAAGUGACGCUUGGAUCUCGGAAUUUAUUGUUAAGGGUAUCGAAGGUGCAAAUGGGCCUAGGCCUGAACAGUACCUCAGCCCAAUACUUUUAACAGCGUGGCCCAUUGUGUUCCUUAGGGACUUAGGCAUUUUUUGCUUUGGCAAUUUAUGCGCACAAUAGUGUUGCCCAAUGCUGACAAAAUCCUUUUUAUGCGGUCAUAUAAUUCUUUGGAAUUAUUGCAAUGCAAAUUAAAAGGUGCCCGACAGAAAGGUGUUAUACUGCUUUUUGUCAGCUUUUUUAGGCGACAAAAGCUGUCUGGGUUAACUCGGAAUGACUUGUUUUUAUCAUAGUCAUUUCCUUGGUAUGUUAUAUACCUAUUUCCAUUGUGGUAAAUAGUCAUAGCCUAGGCUAUUAGACUUAUUUGUUACCAUAAUUUUUAUAAUAUUUGGUGGGUAAUCUUUAGAGUUUUUAUUCGGAUGCCUGUCAAGUGUGUUCAUUCGUGAACCUUUUAGAGUGUAAACCACUCGGGUUCUUUUUAUUAUGACUAAAAAGCAGUCGGCUAGAGUGCCUCUUUAGGCGCCGUGUAUGCUUUUGUCAUGUGAUGCGCGAUUGUGCUAUUAUUUUGUUCUCAACUAUAUGUUUAGCUUGUUAACUAAUCACAUAGUUGGGGGCUACACCUAAUUAGGUGCAUCUAUUCGAUGCACCAUAUUCUUUAUCUUUUCGCCCUUUACAGUCUUCGUCUUCGCUACUCGGCAGGCUUUGGCAUGACAAGUCUGAAGCACUCGGAUUAUUAUCUUUGAGAAGGCUAUGAUGGUUGACUGCAAAGGUCUCGGGGGCUACUGUGGAGAUUAUGGAUAUCCCAUAUCUACACGGCGAUGAUAUUUGGGCUGAAUAUAGGAUACCGAAUAUGGAUAGAAUAUCUUAUGUGUGUCCUGAGUUUGUUUCUUAGCUUGUACAUCAAGGAAACACCUUGAGACUUAGUCGGUCACGAUUGUAUUUGAUCUGUAUCUGUGUAUUCCGUUAGGGAUAUGGAUUAUCUUUUGUAACCCGGACUCCUUCCCAUAUAUAAGGGGGGUCCGGGCGCCUCUAGGGGCAGAUGUUGGAUUUUCUCCAAAUCAUACAAUCAAUAACACACUCGGCGGAUUCAUCCCCGGACAGGAGUAGGGUAUUACUUCUUUUAUAAGAAGGCCUGAACCUGUAUAAAUCCUUUGUCUCCAAACCCAUACACUUUCCUAGCUUGAUAGCCACCCCCUUUUAUUAUUGCCGAAAUCUAGUUUCGACACAAGUGUAAAAUAGAUGAUUGAAAAACACAUGAAUGAUUGUUUGAUUGAACAAUAGGAAAAACACAAGAAUUGGAUGAGAUGAUUCAAAGAAUUUUUUUUGCGAACUUUCAUCCUAAAUCUCUAUAGGAUUACUCAUCCCAUAGCAGUUUGAAAGGAUAAUAUAAGAUCCAAUCCCUUGUUUCAAAUGACUGUAGGAAUUUUUUCACAGGAUUAUAAUCUUACAAUUUUUUUAAUACUUUUCCUACAAACCAAGGGGUUCCCUGAGGAGGCGGUGCACUGUGCCUUCGACCUUCUUGACUUCACGUUGCUUGGGUUCGAUCGGUGGCGGCGCAUCACCGAUGGUGGCCACAGCCCACAACGCACUAGGACGGAGGAAGAGAACAAGCCUGGGUAUUCUGGUCAGCCGCAAAAAAAAAAGAUAAAAUUUAUUUUGUUUUGAGAAGAAAUUGUUAGAAUAGGUGUCGAAUAUACUAGUCCUAUUUGGUUACAGUUGGACUUAGAGUUGUAAUAGGUGUUAGGGGGUGGAGUUAGAGUCGGACUCUGUAACCCGACAUAAAUAGAGAGGGGGCACCACAAUGUAACCAUGGUGACUACAAUGUAGCGUAGACACGCAGGGAGAUGAUGGUGGCGUGGCCAUGAACUCGUAGCGGCUAGGUGCUAUAUUGGUUGGGGAGGAGCGCCCAUAAUCAGAGCCCCGGGGAUGUAGGCUUCGGCUGAACCUUGUUAACAAAUAUCGUGUGUUCCUGUGUCGUCAUCUGGCAUGUCUUGGGUGGUCAAUGAUUGAGGUGGUCAAUGAUUGAAGCGAUCGGGAAGGUUAGUGUAACGCUCCACUUUUCGUGAGGCGUUAAAAACUAAUUCGGCAAAAAUCCUAAUUGCGAAAAUUUUCGUUCUUUGUGUGCGAGUCUAAGUUGUGCCAAGAUCUCAAUUCAAAUCCGUCCUUGAUCCCUCUCGUCACCAUCACAAAUUUGCCCCCUCGAAAUUCCUCUUCCGACUCAAGUCUCCAAAUCAAACUCUGAAAUUCUAUCCCUCUCUUUGAAUCAUCGCCAAAUACUUCCCCAGAUCCAAAAUAUCCAAAACCCCAUCUUGAAUCCUCCGUCUACUCCUUCCUCUCAUCGAGAUCCCAAUUCCAAAAUCUAAGUCAAAUUCCAAGUUCAAAUUCUCUUCGAAUCAAUCCCCUCCGAAAAAGUCUAUUUUGCCUCCCUCGGAUUUUUGUGGGCCGUUUUCUCCCCCGGCCCAUCUCCCCUCCCAGCCCAUCAUCUUAACCCCCCUCGCACGUGCGUUGCACGCAUGUGAGCCGAGAGAGAGCUCUCUCGCUCUCUCGUUCUUUCUCUCUCCCGUCUUCGCUCUCUCUCUCUCUGCUCUCUCCCCUCCCGGCGCCGAUUCCCGCCGUCGCCGCCCAAAACCCGCCACCGCCUUCGCUCUUUCCCGCGCUCGCCCGCGCGUGGCAGACCGCCCGGUCGCCGCCGCAUCAGCCCUGGCCGCCUGCGCCGCACGGCCGCCCAUGCCGCCCUGCCGCUCGCCCCCACCCUGUGCGCGCGUGCGUCCAAGACGUGGAGGCAGCACGUCUCUCUGCCUCACGCGCUCUCCUCUCCCUCUCCCACCUCCUUUUUCCCAAACCGGCAUGGUAAAGCCCCCCCUUUCCACCGUCCUCCCUCUCUUUUUCCCUCCCAAGCAACGACGCCAUGCCUCCACUCCUUGGCCGCUAGCGCUCGGAGGCAGAGACGCAGACGCCAGCGCCAGCUCGCCACCCCCACCUUGACCGCGCCAGCCCGCGCUAAUCCUCCCGCUCCCGCGGUUCGAUUUUCCGCCGCUCGAUCCACCGCCUUCGCCGCCCAACGCAUCCACACCGUCACCUCCUUUGCCACCCGUGACCGCCUCUGUCACAACUUGACCGCGAGUCCGCCACCGCCUCUCCUUGAUCGCCCGUGCUCGGUUCCUUCCCCUCGAAGCUCCACAUCCCGCGCCUAUAAAACCACAGCCGAGCCCCUCCCCUCCAUCUCUCUCGUUUUCGCCCCCCACCGCGCCAUUGUAGCCGAACAACCAUCGCCGCCCUGUUGCCGCUCGACUCGAUCUCGUCGUCGCCGUCCGCCGCCGAGCACCGGAGGAACCGGUGCGUGCGUGGGCGCGUGACGAGGAGCUCCGGGCGCCACCUCUCCUCUCUUCCUCCCCGGCCGCGCCCACCCGGUGCCGUUCCGUCCCACCGUCGCGACCACCUCACCACGACUCCCUCCGAUCCGCCGACGCCGCUUCCUCUUGUCGGUGAGCUCCCCGCCGAACCCUUUCCUCCUACCGCUCGCUAUGCCGCGCCCGCCGCCGCACGCCAUAGCCUGCCGCACGAUGCGCCGCGCGCCUCGCCGUUGCUCUGUUUCCGCCGCCGCGCGCAGUCGCGCGCCGUCGUCGGGCCCCAGCUCGUCGACCACCCUCGCCAACACCGUCCUUGAGCUCCCUAGGACCUCCCCAAACCAUUCCCUAGCACCGCCGUCGCCCGGCAUGGCCUCACCGCCAUUACCGUCCGCUCCCGGAGGCCGCUGCUCGUCGCCGGCCCUCCUCAGUGCUUCUCCGCCCCAUCCGACACCGGAAACGGAUUCCUUGAACCCCGGAGAUGCUCCCACCCCUUUGAAUCGAAUCCUCGUCGUCUCGUUGUGUUUUCCCCUUUUGCUCGCCGGUGAUUGCCGCCGCCGCAAUCGACCGCCGUCGGCACCUCUCGAGCCGAUUCCUCUCGCCGCCACGCUCCCGGAGAUCCCCUUGAGCUCCCCCUGACUGUCCCUAGGCCGCCGGCCUUCUCCUUUGCCUCCGCGCCGUGUCGCCCCUUCCGCCGCCGCAUAACGCCACCGCGCGUGCGUCGCCGGUGACCAUCGGGUCCCGCGUCACCGCGUGCGCGUCGCAACCCCAUACCGGUUCGGCGAAGCCCGAGCCCGCGUGCCCUUCGCUCUUCUCGCGUGCGGCCACGUUGGCGUGUCGGCGAGAUUGGCCGCCGCCGCCGGCCGUCGUCGCGCGUCGUCUUCCCGAUCCGAGCCGUGGAAUGAGUUCCCCUUCUCCUCCUCCUGCCGCCAGUGCUAGCCGCCCCUCCGGCUUGCCGCCGUUCGCCGGAUCCCGCCGCACGCCGUGAGCCGUCCGAUGAGCCGCCCGGCCUCCUCUCCCUUCCCCAUCCGACGUGACGUCCACGUUGGCGCCACCUCAGCCGUCGGCCCCACUUGACCAAGUCAGCCGACGCCCAGUCAGCAGCCGCCCCCUCUCUCUUGCUCUUGGGCUUGGCCCAGUAGCCACCCUCCUCCUCGGCCUGAUAAGUAAGAAAACAAAGUCCACAUACACUCCCUUUGUCCAAGCCCAGUGUCCAUCACCCAAGAGCUAAAAGUCCACAAUUACUCCCUCCAAUUGCUCCUCUCUCUCUCACCUUCUUAUUGGCCCCACGUGUCAAUGAGUCAAAGAUAUUCUUGGGAAUAUCUUUUUCAAUACUCCACACAUAUUUCUCUUUUCUAGAAAUUCAAUAAAUCAUUUCCUAUAUUCCAAAUUCCAUAAACCCAUCCUCUUAAUCCGGAGAUUCCAAUAAUUCGUCCCCUCGAGCCCGUAUGUCAGUGGAUGUCAAUAAUAUUCUUGAGAAUAUUAUUUCUAUAAAUUCCAUAAACUAUUUCUCGUAUUCCAGAAAAUUCCGACAAAUCGUCUCUUUGUCCAGAAAAAUUCCUUUAAACUUCCAAAAUUCAUAUCCCUCGAUCCGUUCGUCCGAUUGCCUCCGUUCCACUUCCAGUAAUUCCGUAAAAUUGAGAUCUAUUUAAUGGCACUACUAAUUAGUCUAAAUAGGAUCCCUCUUUUGGUCUUUUGCUUAGGUUUUCAGUUGUUUGCGUACAGUUGCGGUUACCGGAUUUUCGUCGAUCGCGGGUUUUCUUGAAGAUUCGUGAAGCUUCGUGAAGACUUUGAGCAAGGCAAGUCACCCUUUGACCAAUUGCUCCUCUAAUUGGAAAAUCAUUAUUAUUUUGUUUGUAACUUGCAUUAUUAGAAUCACACACUUAACUUGCUUGGCCUCGGUUUGCGUGCCAAACCGACGGACCUACCCAGUAGUCGCACUAAUUUCCGUAGGUCGUAUUACCCUGAUUCCUUGUCGCUCCACCCUUGUGGUACCUCGGUAUUCGUGCUCUCUGAGCGCGUAUACCAAAUAUCCCACAUACACCGUUGCUUGUCGAAAACUUGGGAAAUGGGUUUGUGAAGCCUUCAAAACCCGACAUGUGGUGUCGGUGUGUUUGAAAAUAAAAUGAAUUGUGAAAACUCGCGAUGCGGGGGUUGUGCCUAUGUGGCACUGUCCCGUAUUCGCAUAUAAGGACCGAUUCCUGUGGGAAACUCAUCGAACAUAAUCAAAGUGCAACCACAAGGUGGAAUGGGACACCCUGGCUAAGUAGCUAGUCGGUUCAGGGAAACCUCGCAUGCCAAUAGUUGGGAACGCCGGGGCGGGGUCGGUUGGAGCCAAACCGGUCUCCUGGUAAGGCAAGAACGCGAAGCUUGCCAGAUUACCGAUCGAGGUGGUUGGAGUUUGAUUUGUGCACGCCUAAAAUGGCCUAUGUUUAUGUGAGGAUUUGAUCCUUCUAUGUGGCAUGAGGUAUCCCUGGGUCGGCUUGAGAAAGGCUUUGUCGCGAACCUCUGACACCGGCCAGUGUCUGGAGUAAGUUCGUGUCUUGUGGGUAAAGUGUACCCCUCUGCAGAGGUUAACAAACUGUUCGAACAGCCGUGCCCACGGUCAUGGGCGGAUGUGAGGUGGUUCCCGUUGCGUAGAUUUGUUUGCCUGUGCUUUGUGAAAAGUUGUUGUGGUGUGGGAAUCGUAACCAGAAUCAGCCUAUGUGGCAGAUGGAUGACCUGAGUGGUCAGAAACGAAUCUGUGUGAUUCGGGAUGUCUGCGGGCAUCAUAGACUAGGCUUCCCGAGUGGAAGCGGAUUGUUGUGCUGCUGGGCAGCUGGACUCUGGGAGUCCGAGAAAAUGAAAAAAGCUCUGGGAGCCGAGAAGUAAUGAUCUGACCCGGGAGGUCGGUACGUUACUAAAUGAGCUGUUGAAAAGCAUCUCAUAAAGUCGAAUCGAGACGCAAGUCUCUUUUCGCCCAAACAUAGAAAGAAAUAAAUCACUUAGUGAUUUCAAAAUGUCUUCAAAUAAAAGAUUUGCAAAACAACCUUGCCUCUCUUCCAAGCUUGCAUUAAACACCUAGGUUCCCGUGACUUGCUGAGUACGAAAGUACUCACCCUUGCUCUAUAUAAAUAUAUAUAGUUCCUCCGUCCUGAAGAGAAGAUAAAGGGAAGUGAAGAUUAGGGUUUCGUCCUGGUUCCCAGCCGUCGCCUGUGGUGUCGGGUGUUAGACCGUUGGUUCUGCUGCUGCUGCUGCUGUUGUUGGUGUUCGCCUCGUCCGUGUCGUCGGUUGCAUUCUCGGGCUGUCUGAGCUGCAACCUAAGUUAAGGUAAAUAAGUCCUCUAUUUAUUUUAAGGAUUUGCAAUGAUUCAUAUUUGUCACCGUGGGUACCAGCACUAUGUCCUGGGACUGGUACUGAGAUCGCGGUUUCGUAGGAAGCGGUUCGCGCUGUUUUUCCUACGACACGCUCCUAUCAGGUGCCGUUGUGCGGCGGUGCCGGAUUGGGGUGUGACAGUUAGUCGUCAUUCCGCUAUAUCGACUAACUUUUAUAACAAGUGGUAUCAGAGCCCAAGGUUUGGAACCGGAAUAAUUUCCAUGGGUCAUAUGGUUGGUAGGCCAGAUAACAAGUCUUCGGGGUCACAUGGGUUGAUGUGACGGGGGAGAUUGUUAGGCCCGAGGCCCAAGUAACAAGUCUUCGGGGUCACAUGGGUUGAUGUGACGAGGGAGAUUGUUAGGCCCGAUGUAUGACGGGGGAGAUUGUUGGGUUUAGUCCCACAUCGGUAAUUGAUGGUAGGGGAGCAUGACUUAAAAGGUGGGGGCGGUCCUCACCCAUCAGACUAGUCUUUUGGGUUGUGUACGCUCAGGACCUAAAGUUGUGGCUCCGGUUGCGCCUGUGGUGGAGCAGGCCGGCCGGCAUUGAGCUAGCGAGCUUGUUAACUACUCCCGCGCUUUUAACUGUGAGCGAGUCUACCAUACAUCCUUCUCGUACGUCGGCUUCCUGAGCUGUGGAAACCGACAGACCAAUCUUGCUGCGGCACUGCUACAGUGCAGUAGACAACGACCACUUGACAUUUGUGAGCUGUGGAUGUGGUUUACCGCGUCCAUCUUCUGUUUCCAUACACCGAUUGAUUGUGCUAUUCUCAACUGGGCCUACAAACGUCUUCUCUAGGCGUCAUGCUUUUUGUGGAGAUUAUGGAUAUCCCAUAUCUACACGGCGAUGAUAUUUGGGUUGAAUAUAGGAUACCGAAUAUAGAUAGAAUAUCUUGUGUGUAUCUCGGGUUUGUUUCUUAACUUGUACGUAAAGGAAAUACCUUGAGAUCUAGUCGGUCACGACUGUAUUUUAUCUGUAUCUGCCUAUUCCGUUAGGGAUAUAGAUUAUCUUUUGUAACACGGACUCCUUCCCAUAUAUAAGGGGGGUCCGGGUGCCUCUAGCGGCGGAUGUUGAUUUUCUCCAAAUCAUACAAUCAAUAACACACUCGGCGGAUUCAUCCCCGGACAGGAGUAGGGUAUUACUUCUUUUAUAAGAAGGCCUGAACCUGUAUAAAUCCUUUGUCUCCAAACCCAUACACUUUUCCAGCUUGAUAGCCACCCCCUUUUAUUAUUGCCGAAAUCUAGUUUCGACAGUUGGCGCGCCAGGUAGGGGUAGCGUCAAGCUUUUCGCCGAUCAGUGCAAUGGGUCCCGUCACCGGCAUCGACGACCUCGUCUUACCACCCGGGCAGACGUUUCGGUUCGGCAGCCUCGACUUCGUCACCAACAACUUCGGCAAGAUCUCUCUCCUUGACUCGGAGUCGGACCAGUCGGGAGAGAGCCGGAUCUCAGUCCCGUUUGGAUUCCCAAACGCGGCUGAGAGUUACUUCAAUACCAUCUCAACCGAGUCGGCUUCAAACCACUCGGCUGAGAUCGCAUCUUCUCCAAUGUCACCAGAUCAAGAUGAUGGGGCUUACCCACCGAUCCUGAUGAAGCUCCCCGACGAUUUGACGGCCGUCUCCAUCACGACAGCGUCUCCUUCCCGUAGGCCUAGGCGGAAGUCGGCUUCGACACCGAUUUCGCCUAGCUUCAGGGAAGUUGGCGUCAUCCUCCAACCACUCGGCACGAUUUCGACGGAUCAGCUAGAUGGCGACUACAGCUCUCCCACCGUCGACUCGCGCCCCACCGACAUCGUGGAGUACGACGAGUUUAGUUCUCGCUACCACGACCCGGAUCUCGACGACUUCGACGGAAGCCUAGAUGACAACUACACCCCUCUCUACUUUGGCGUCUUCAUGGCCAAUAACGAGACGGAGGAGCAACGCCAAGCCCGGGAGACCGAAGCGCGUCGCGAGACUGAGCGCCGCCGACUGGAGGAGGAGCAUCAAGCACAAGAACAAGAACGGCUACGGCGUGAGCAGCAGGACCGUGAGCGGACCGCGAAGGAGGCUGAGGAUCGACGGCAGCGAGCUUUGGAAGCAGGGCGCCGAGCGCGUGAUCUCAUCGGCCAACAAGAUGUUGAAGGGACACCGGUUUUCCGCACCCCUCAACAGAAUGCGGUUGCCGCGAUCACCCUCCUCGACACCCUCCUCAGGGAAAACGAGCUCAAUCAAUCUGAUCACGUCGUCAACAUCUUGAACCAGACGAAGACCAUGAUUGCGGCUUCGGUCCCAGUUAACUCCGAAAGCGUCCACACGCCGACUGGUAGCCGAGUCCCCCACUUCCGAUCUCAUGACUACCGUCAUCCAAGCCUCAGCAUCACCGGCGCAGGAUCCAAUCGCAGGAGCAGGGGCCACGACGAGCGGUCUGUUCACUCACCUCCCGAUCACCAUAGGGAGCGCCGAGUGGAACGGCCUCGCUCACCACCUCGUCGCCGCCCCGUCGAUCUUCGCGACACAAUCAUACAGCGCCGAGCAGCACGAGGCUAUCUUCACUCGCCGGACCGCCACGACGACGACCUUGAUGGAGUAGCAGCCUUCACCGACGACCUGCGUCGAGUGGAUUGGCCAGCCGGCUUCAAGCCGACUGGAAUAGAGAAGUACGAUGGUACCACUAACCCAGAAUAGUGGCUUACCGUCUACGGUCUCGCAAUCCGCGCAGCAGGAGGAGACAGCAAGGCCAUGGCGAACUAUUUACCAGUGGCUUUAGCGGAUUCCGCCCGGUCUUGGCUCCAUGGAUUGCCCCGUGGUACAAUUGGAUCUUGGGCCGAAUUACGCGACCACUUCAUCGCCAACUUCCAAGGCACCUUCGAGCGUCCCGGCACACAAUACGACCUCUACAACGUUAUUCAGAAGUCCGGAGAAUCCCUUCGAGAUUACAUCCGGCGAUUUUCUGAACAACGUAACAAGAUCUCCGACAUCACCGACGACGUCAUCAUCGCCGCUUUCACCAAAGGGAUUCGCCACGAAGAAUUGGUCGGCAAGUUCGGGCGCAAGCCUCCCAGGACAGUCAAGCUCAUGUUUGAAAAAGCCAACGAGUACGCCAAAGCUGAAGACGCUGUCACCGCAUCAAAGCAGUCGGGCCCGAGUUGGAAACCAAAAAAGGAUACGCCGGCUCCGGGAGGAGGUGGAAGUAACAAUCAUAAGGACCGCAAGCGUAAGCCUGCGGAACUUGUUGCAACUGCUAGUCACUCUUCUCGACAGCGUUCGCGCGUCAACACGUUCGACAAGAUCAUGAACUCCCAAUGCCCGCACCAUCCUAACUCCAACCACGUGGCCAAAGAUUGUUUCGUCUACAAGCAAUUCGCGGAUCAAUACACCAAGACUGCACGAAAGAACUCCGACGAAGAACAAAGCACGUCGAGGAAGAAGGACGACGGCGACGCCCCGACUGGAUUUCAAGACCACCGCAAGGAGCUCAACCAUAUCUUCGGCGGCCCCCUGGCUUAUGAGUCUAAACGGAAGCAAAAGUUGACCGAACGGGAGAUCAAUGCUGUUCAUCCCGACACGCCCCAAUUUCUUCGAUGGUCAGAGAUUGCAAUCAAGUUUGACCGCUCGGAUCAUCCUGACCGAGUGGUCCACCCGGGGCGGUACCCCCUGGUACUAGACCCAGUGGUCCGUAAUGUCAAGCUUCGCAGAACCCUCAUCGACGGUGGCAGCGCACUCAAUAUCCUCUUCGCCAAGACCUUGGAUGAUAUGCAGAUUCCUCGCUCUGAGCUAAAACCAAGCAAUGCGCCUUUUCACGGAGUAAUUCCAGGAUUAUCCGCAACUCCACUCGGCCAGAUCACUCUCCCGAUCACUUUUGGCACUCGGGAAAACUUUCGCACAGAGAAUAUCAGCUUUGAAGUCGCCGAUUUCGAGACAGCAUACCAUGCCAUACUCGGACGCCCGGCGUUAGCCAAAUUCAUGGCCGUCCCGCACUACACUUACAUGAUGAUGAAGAUGCCUGGUCCCCGAGGAGUCCUAUCCCUACGGAGCGACAUCAAGCAAGCCGUCACAUGCGACAAGGAGAGUUGCGACAUGGCCCAAACCCGCGAGAUGACGUCUGCCCGAGAGGAAAUCCGACUGGCUGCAGCCACGGCGAGCGAAGGAGAAGUGCCCGCUACCAAGACUUCAAAAAGUGGAGAAAGCGAAGCCAAGACUAAGAAAAUUCCCCUAGAUCCUUCUGAUCCUACUAAAACUGCUGUAAUAGGCGCCGAGUUAGAUUGUAAAUAGGAAAGCGCGCUCAUCACCUUUCUUCAGAACAAUAAAGAUAUCUUUGCGUGGAAACCAUCUGAUAUGCCCGGUAUUCCUAGAGAGGUGAUUGAGCACUCCUUACAUGUCAAAGAAGACGCCAAGCCUAUCAAACAGCGACUCCGCCGAUUCGCACAAGACAGGAAGGACGCGAUCAAGGAGGAAUUAACCAAGCUGUUAGCAGCAGGCUUCAUCAAAGAAGUCCUUCAUCCCGACUGGCUGGCAAACCCGGUUCUAGUUCGGAAGAAAACAGGGCAAUGGCGCAUGUGUGUUGAUUAUACUGACCUCAACAAAUCCUGCCCUAAAGAUCCUUUUGGGUUGCCUCGCAUUGACCAGGUAGUCGACUCGACCGCCGGCUGUGAGCUUCUCAGUUUUUUUGGAUUGCUACUCGGGGUAUCAUCAGAUCCGACUGAAGGAAUCCGACUGCUUGAAGACUUCAUUCAUCACGCCCUUCGGGGCAUACUGCUACGUCACCAUGCCGUUCGGACUAAAAAAUGCAGGAGCAACUUAUCAACGUAUGAUCCAGAGAUGCUUCUCAACACAGAUCGGCCGCAACGUUGAAGCCUAUGUGGAUGAUGUAGUUGUCAAGACCAAGCAAAAGGAUGAUUUGAUUUCGGAUCUGGAAGAAACCUUCGCGAGCAUCCGCGCUUUCAGGAUGAAAUUAAACCCUGAAAAGUGCACCUUCGGAGUACCGUCAGGGAAGCUGCUUGGUUUUAUGGUGUCUCAUAGGGGCAUCCAAGCCAACCCGGAGAAACCGCCAAGUACCCAGAAAGAUGUUCAGAAGCUGACUGGGUGCAUGGCGGCGCUCAGCCGAUUUGUUUCAAGACUUGGCGAGCGGGGGAUGCCCUUCUUUAAGCUGCUGAAGAAAACAGACGACUUCCAGUGGGGACCCGAAGCACAGAAGGCCUUCGAAGAUUUCAAGAAACUCCUCACUGAGCCACCAGUCUUAGCCUCACCACACCCGCAAGAGCCGUUGUUGCUGUAUGUAUCAGCCACCUCCCAGGUUGUGAGCACAGUCUUGGUUGUUGAGCGCGAGGAAGAAGGCCAUGUCCAGAAAGUCCAGCGACCGAUUUAUUUUGUCAGCGAGGUCCUAGCCGACUCCAAAACGAGGUACCCUCAGGUUCAGAAGCUGUUAUAUGGUAUUCUAAUUACUACCAGGAAGCUAUCUCACUACUUUCAAGGUCACUCGGUAACGGUGGUCACAUCAUUUCCACUCGGUGAUAUAUUGCACAACCGCGAAGCAAACGGACGGAUUGCAAAGUGGGCUUUGGAGUUGAUGUCUUUGGACAUAUCAUUCAAGGCCCGAAUUUCGAUCAAGUCCCAGGCGUUAGCCGAUUUUGUCGCCGAAUGGACCGAGUGCCAGGAGGAUACCCCCGCGGAGAAGAUGGAGCACUGGACCAUGCAUUUUGACGGAUCAAAACGACUUUCGGGCACUGGAGCAGGAGUGGUUUUGAUUUCCCCAACUGGAGAAAGAUUAAGCUAUGUGCUUUGGAUACAUUUUUCGGCAUCCCACAACGUCGCCGAGUAUGAAGCACUCCUUCAUGGACUACGGAUUGCAAUUUCCCUAGGGAUAAAGCGUCUAAUAGUUCGAGGUGAUUCACAGCUGGUUGUCAACCAGGUUAUGAAAGAGUGGUCCUGCCUUGACGACAAUAUGAUGGCAUAUCGACAAGAGGUACGCAAAUUGGAAGAUAAGUUCGAUGGACUCGAGCUCAGUCAUGUUCUUCGACACAAUAAUGAAGCCGCCGAUAGACUUGCCAACUUUGGAUCCAAGCGCGAGACGGCACCCUCUGAUGUUUUCGUCGAACACCUUUAUACGCCGACAGUACCUCAGAAAGAUACUACUCAAGUUGCGGGCACUCGUGACGUUGCUAUGGUUGAAACCGACUGGCGAGAGCCCCUUAUACGAUUUUUGACUUCUCAAGAACUUCCCCAAGACAAAGAUGAAGCCGAGCGGAUUUCAAGGCGGAGCAAACUUUAUGUUAUGCAUGAAGCUGAGUUAUACAAGAAAAGCCCUUCGGGAAUUCUGCAACGCUGCGUAUCUUUAGAGGAAGGGAGACAAUUGCUGAAAGACAUACAUUCUGGGAUAUGCGGAAACCAUGCUGCUGCACGCACCAUUGUUGGCAAAGCUUACCGGCAGGGUUUUUUCUGGCCUACUGCAGUGUCCGACGCCGACAAAAUUGUGCGCACAUGCGAAGGUUGCCAAUUUUUCGCCAGACAAAUUCAUCUACCAGCUCAAGAGUUGCAGACUAUCCCGCUGUCUUGGCCGUUUGCGGUUUGGGGGCUCGACAUGGUUGGCCCGUUUAAAAAGGCAGUCGGCGGUUACACGCAUCUCUUUGUGGCCAUUGACAAAUUCUCCAAGUGGAUUGAAGCUAAACCGGUUGUCACAAUCACAGCUGAUAACGCUCGAGAUUUCUUCAUCAACAUUGUGCAUAGAUUUGGAGUGCCCAAUCGAAUCAUCACUGAUAAUGGCACACAAUUCACUGGUGGAGUUUUUAAAGACUUUUGUGAAGACUUCGGAAUUAAGAUUUGCUAUGCUUCAGUGGCACACCCCAUGAGCAAUGGACAGGUGGAGCGAGCCAAUGGCAUGAUACUCCAAGGGAUUAAAGCACGUGUUUUUGACCGGCUAAAACCCUAUGCCGGCAAAUGGGUGCAACAGCUGCCAUCAGUACUUUGGUCUUUGCGAACUACACCCAGUCGGGCCACAGGCCAGUCACCUUUUUUCCUUGUCUAUGGGGCAGAGGCAAUGUUGCCGAGUGAAGUUGAAUUCGAGUCUUUGCGCUUUCGAAAUUUCCGUGAAGAACGCUACGAAGAGGACCGAGUGGAUGACUUACACCGAUUGGAAGAAGUCCGUGAAGCAGCUUUGAUUCGGUCGGCUCGAUACUUACAAGGGUUGCGGCGUUAUCAUAAUCGCAAUGUUCGAUCCCGUGCCUUUUUAGUCGGCGACCUGGUUUUGAGGAAAAUUCAAACUACACGGGAUCGGCACAAGUUAUCUCCUUUAUGGGAGGGGCCAUUUAUCAUCUCUGAAGUUACCCGACCAGGUUCUUAUCGACUCAAGCGCGAAGACGGUACUCUCGUCGACAACUCUUGGAACAUUGAGCAUCUUCGUCGUUUUUACGCUUAAGUUUAUCAUUGUACUUCCCUAUCUUGACUGUCAACAUCAAGUUUUCUUCUUGCCGUUGUCAGUCGGGGGCUAUCAUCAUAAUAAUGGAGUGUGAUUUUUUAUCAAUUCAAUUUGCUUGCUCGGUUUAUCAUUGCCUUGUUUGGUUUUUUCUACUUAGUCUGCGAGGACUGAAAGUUUUUAAUAGCUUCUUUGGGUUUUAGGCUCAACAAAGCUUGAUAAAAGCUUUUAAGAAAUCAAAGACUUGGCUAGAACUAUCAAGCACAGCAUAAAUACACCAGUAUUGUACAAAUUGAGCCUCCAUUUGCUACAUUUAUACUCAGUCAGAAUCAGUUCUUUCAUCAUCAGAGUUAUUGUUGCUCGGCUGAAGGUCGUUGUUGCGGAAUUGAUCUACAACAUCACUUGCAAUCUUGUCAGCCGCACUUUGAGCAUUACUGAUAAGAUCAAGAGCAGCCUCUUCGCUUGUCCCGUCUGCAAAGCCAUCAAUGGUGUCAAUUUCAAUUCUCGGGUACAAGGAUUUGGUCAUCGCCAAUGCCAUGCUAGCUCCCAUACUUCCAGCUUUCUUGAUAUUCUUGAAGUAUACAUCCGGUGCAACUCUCAGCUUGUCAAAAAUUUCGGUUGCGUCAAGUGCACUUGUGUCGCGACCGGGAAAAUUGCCUUUUCCCGAACGCUAGUGUAUUAAUCCCCGUCCCAGGAAAAGCCGGGGUACACCAUACAAACAUGAUAUAAAAGACACAUCUUUAUUAUAUCGAUAAUAUUUACAUUAUUACAAAGGCACUUAAGGCCUGACAAUCAAAAAUAAACAGCAGCGGACUAGCGGGCCUACGGCUCCAUCUUCACAGGCGCUCAACUGGGGUAUAAGCCAGGACUCCACCUAAGACAUCUUCUCCAAAGCUUCUCUUACUGAAGAGGGGAAGGAUUGAGCAAGAAUGAGUACAACCACAGUACUCAGCAAGCCACACCGGCAGAUGCAUGAUUAAUGCAAGGGGGGUACAAGGGGAUAAUAAUAGGGGUUAGGUUUUGCAGUAAACAGCAUUUAAAAGUCACUUAGUUGCCCAAAGCCAUUUUGUAAAGACGAUCCUAGAGCUACACAGUAUUAUUAAACAAGGCCGUGAACCCUCACGAACCUGCCUUAACCCAAGGCCUACGAUGAUUUGGACCGAACUGGCAACCCGACCUGGGUCCCAGCUCGUCCCAAGCCAACCCAGGCCAACCAUUCCAUAUUUUAGUUGUUGAGCAAAUUUUAAGAAUUAAAACACUGACUUGGGUACAUUGCUCGGCUUGCCCAUAUCCGAGGGCUCGGCUAUUCGAAUAGAUUUACUCUGAUCAGAGGUGUACAUCUUUACCCACAAGACACAUCUUUACUCCGCAUUCCAUGGCCUUGGAACCCGUCGUAAAGAUGUGACAUAACCCUUCACCCAUCCUAGCCGUGAACAAAAGUACCGACCCAACCCUGCCUACGGCCGGUAUCCCGGGACAGGCAGGCCAGGGUUGAGCCCCUAGCAACAAGAUCUAGACCGGGUGCGCCACACACAUAGGGGUGAGGCCACCCGCGUACUAGUCCAGUGCCAUGGCAUCUCGACUAACGGGCACCGACCCGUGUAGUCUUCAUUUGCCUAGACAUCUCGAUUACCGAGCCGCAGCUCGCGUAGCCUUCAUUUGCCUCAGAGAUAUCCAUCGUCGCAACGACUUCAUCCAUCUCUAUCCGUGUCCUUUUGUUCAGGACUAGACUGAGCACCGAGUUAAGCCUUACCCAUUAGACAUGUGGUUAGUACGGUAGUGCUUUGCAACAGAGGCCCGAGCUUAAUCCUUAUAGUGGCCGGGGUGCUACUUCCCAUAACUGGCAUGCACCCAAACCCCACCGAAAACAGGUUUUGGGGGUUUUGAAAGAGAAAGAGAGGUGUAUGUCCAAUUCCACCAUAAUCCAACAAUUCCAUAGUGUCCAAAUGAUAUGAGAAUUCCCAAAGUCUAAAGUUAUAAAACCACCUAAUGUUGCCUAAUUAUUCAGCGAAGCAUCUACCUAAAUUUAUACUAGUGGAACCAUGAAUAGAGUACCCACUAGUUGGGGUUUUUAUUUUCCUAGGGUGAACAAGGUAAUAAUAACAAUAGCAAUAAUAAUGUCAUAACAAAGGUAAAUAGGCAUGGCUAAAUAAAACAGUGGUAACGCGGGAAUUUAAACAAAGCGAUAAUGCAAUAAUUUAAAUCAAAAUAAUUUUAUAAACUGGGAUUCAAUAUGCUCAAGGGUGAUGUGACUUGCCUUGCUCGCUUUCCCAAACGCCGGCUUCAACUUCCACGAAGAGCGGAUCUUCCGAAGCUGCAGCGUCUACACGACCAACGGAAAAGAAAAGGCUUUUACUCUAAUAAACUCCACACAACAAGCAGGAACAAAGCACAAAAAUGGGUUCUUUACUUCUUAAGGAAAAAUUAGAGACUUGAACGGUCCAAUUCCGAGUUCAAAUGGCCAAGAUAUGGCCAUUUGAAGUUUAUAUGCUCUUUAAAUGGAUAUUUGCGAAUUUCUUCAUUUAAAUUUUAAUUAAAAAAAUCGGGUUUAUUGCGUCAGCCGAGGGAGAGGGCGCGCGGACCGGGUCCACGGGAGUGGGGCCCACGCGUCAGCCCCUCGGUCCACGGUGGACCGGGAGCACGCGGCUGGCGGCGGCCGGCGCUGUGGGUCCCACGCGUCAGCCGCACCCGCGGGCGCGGGCGGCUGACGGCCGGGCCCACUUGGCAGCCGCGAGGGCGCGCCGAAGGCGGCCUCGCCGGCACGGCCGACGGGAGCGGCGCACCCGCGCCCCGAUGGUCGCCGCCGGCGACCAACGGCGCGGCGGAGCGGCACCCGAGAGAGAGGAGGGAAGGGGGAAGCGAGGGGGACGGUCUUCGGCUCACCCCGGUCGACGGCGACGACGGGAACGGCGGCCGAAGCGGAAGAAGGCGGCGGCGCGGUUCGGGAUGACGAUGACGACGGUGCUCCGGCGGUCGGCGGGCGAAACGGAGAUGCGGACGGGGUCGACGGGAACGCGGCGAAGCCGAUGGAAAUGACGCCGAGUCGGAAGGACGUCCGGAGCGACGUCGGCGGCGAACCGAAGGUCGACGGCGACGGCGGAGAGAGAGGAGCACGGCGCGAGCACGAAUCCGACGGCGAGAGCGAGCGGCGAGCGGCGGAAACGGAAGAGCGAAGCACGGGGAUCGAAUAUAUAGCAACGGGAGGGGGAGAGCGCGGCCGGGGAGAGAGGAAACCGCGCGCGGAGAUCUCGGGCGCCAUUGAAGACGCCGGCGAACUUCGCGGGAUGAAUCCGGACGAAUCCGAGGGAGAGAGAGAGGGAAAAGAGGGGGAAUCGGGAGAGGGAAACGCGGGGAGUAAUUCCCCCCUCUUUAAUGCGCGCGGGGACGGCGGGAUGCGGCGGAAUCCGCGGCGGCGGCGGCGCUAGGGCACGGGCGGGCGGCGGGAGCGGCGGGAGGAAGGCGAUGACAGGUGGGCCCCACCCGUCAGCGAGGGCGGCGGGCGGGCCCGCCUGUCAGCGGCGCGCGCGCGGGGGAGGCCGAUGGGCCGCGGGGGAGAGGAGAGAGAGGGAGGGAGAGUUGGGCCGAGCCGGCCCAAGAAGGGAAGGGGGGGAAAGAAGACUUCUUUUAGGGUUUUUCUUUUUAUAAAACCUUUUCAACUUUGUUUAUUUCUUCUCAAUUAUUAUUUGUGCUCUGAAAAUUCCACUAAAAUUUGAGGGCUCCUUUUAGACCAAGGAGAAUUUAACAAAAAUUCUCCGGGUCACAUUUGAAUUUUUCUUGUACGUAUUUUAAGGUUUGCCAAUUUCUUUUCGAAUUUUAAUUAAUUCUAUUAUUCCUUUUAGAAGAUGAUUUUUAUUUUGGGAUGAAUUUAUCAGGACGUGACAAAUCCACCCCCCUUACAAGAAUCUCGUCCCCGAGAUUCGAGGAGGCUAGCAAGAAGAUAGGUUGGGCGGGCUUCUCUUCUUGUCUGACUUCUUCCGUUGCGUCUUGACGAACUUCCAGCAAAACUUUACCACUCGGAACUGCUUGGCUUGACCUCCUGUUGCGGAUGGAAUCUUCUCUUCACCUGACUUGGACCAGGGUGCACCUUUUGGCUGACUCAGACUAGGUUGCGGUAGUUCUGUGAUGCUUCCGUUCCAGAACUUCUCAUGAUUCAUAUCUUCGGAGUCAACCUCGGACAAGUUAUCAACUUCAUGUCAUGCGUCGUAACCUGCUUGUCAUUACUAGGAUACCAUGCUUGUUAUUUGCUUCUAACUCGCCACCAACUGCCUCAUAUUAGCUUCCCUGGUCUCCGGGUGAUAGCUACUUCUGCUAUUUGAUGCAAGGGUCAACCACUCUAACUAUAAGUUAUGCUUCCCAAGAGAACCAAUUCAUCCCACUUGACAUACUUUGACGUCUUCUUCAAUGGCUUUAUUGCUGGAUUUGUUAUUGUCUAAUCAUUACCCUGUCGAAUCUGAGGCUUCGUUGUUAGAUGUGCUUUUAAUCUGACCUCUGUAGAUUAUCUUCGAACAUAUCACUUGGUUCAUAACUGGGAAUAGCUCCCACGAACAAGCAACUCAGAUUCACUUUCUUUAUGUUCAGUUUACUUUCCGCUAUUCUCUUCAUGUUGUCAUCAGUUAGCACUCAACGUAUUCCUUUACACCUUUAACCUUGAUGAGUUCUUUCCCGUUGGAUCAUCUCCCAGGACAUGGCGUUGCCUGGUAACCGGUGCUUGCAUUUUUCACUCCGUGUAGCAUCUGAUACCGAGUGGAAGAUUUCACUCUUUGCCUUCAUAGAAACACUUUUACCUAGGUCAUCUUGCUUACUUAAUGACAAGGUGACUGUUGCGGGGCAAUUACAAUCAGGGGUCUUCCUUGAGCGAUGCAGAGCAUGUUUCUAUUUAUCAAUCACCUUUCGGCCUACUUCUUUCAUGCUAGAGAACAUCUUUGCCAAUCUCUUUUAUCAAUCAUCUUUCGGCUUAUCUCUAACAGGUGGUAUUCUUUAAUGUGGAUUGCGGACGCUUCUGGGGACGAUGAGGUCCUUUGGCUUGCUGCCUUUCAGUGAAACCUUGAUGUGGUGCGUCAAAAGCUGCACUGACUACCUUCAGGGAAAUACAUUGCCUGCUAUCUGUAUCUAUACCACUAGGGUUUAAUUUCCGAUGGUCAUCUUUAGUGCUUCCUCGAGAUGGGGAGCAUCCAAAUUGUUCUUCUGCCACAUCACCUUUGACCUUUUUCUGAUACCAGAUAAACUAAUUACCAACCAUCGACUAUUAUGUUCUCAAAUAUUGAUGUCUCCUGGAUCUCCUUAUCUGUUGGCAGGUAUAUCCGAUCUUAUCAAUGUAGAGGCAUGGCGGGUACCCUUCGGGGUUUCCUCCAACAAUCCUUAUCUUGAUCUGUAAAAGGCGUAUCCGAACUCCUAUCCUCAACUACUGUCUCGUUGGCUUUUUAACCCAACACAGUUUAAUUGUUUUUCUUUUCCAUCCACAGGUUGGCUAUUAACUCGAGGUUAGAAUAUAGUUCCUCUAACACGAGACCCUAGGUCUCCUUUGUCAGUAAACAAUUAUACACAUGAUCACAUAUCCGCAUCUUUCAAACGAAUCCUCAUGGAACUUGUCUGUAUUACACAUUUCUCCCUCAUUACAUGAAUACGAGGCACUACCUUAAACAAAAAGGGACGGUGCUUAACAUCGGUACAUUGUAUUCUCAAUAUGAAUCAUCCAUAAGCAUAGCAAGCUCACUGUUUAUAGACAUGAAUAUGAUUGCUGCAAACUUUCGAUUACACCAUGAUAAGUAGCGGACUGAAAACCACAAACAUGGCUGCUCAUUUUGAUUCUGGAGAGAUAUAGCUGGCAUUGUUCCAGUGACUGCAUCCUCGAUUGGUUCUGUGAUGAUGUGAUAGGACUGCAUACUGCUAUCAUUCACAGGAGAAGCUUCCUUCUGAUUGCUGGUUGAAGCGGAUGACGGUCUUCUGCUUGGUAUCGCCCUCCGGAGGUUGAUUGCCCUUGGCUCGGCCUGGAGUAGGUCGGGGAGAGACACAACUUCUUCCAUCUACGACAAUUCUUUGCUGAGGCUGUCGAUGCAGAGAAUGGUUGCUAAGAUUUAUUGCCGAGUCAGGUGCAGCAGGAGGAGCAUUGGUGCAUUGUUUCUGCUAUGGGUUCUGAUUAACACGAGGCCUUACGGGUACGGCGUUUGCUCCAGUGACCACAAUACGAUUGGAAUGUCUGCUUCGUGUAAAUUGGCGGUAAUGUGGAGGUCGAUUUUGCCUUGGUUGGGGACAGUUUUUGGAGUAAUGCCCUUCUUCACUGCAGUUGUAACAAACAAUAACUUUCUUACACUCGGGUUCUUCAUCUUGUACUUGAUUUCUCAGCUGCUGUAUUGGAACUUCCAAAGGUACAACGCAGAUACUGGCCUCUGUCUUGUCAGCUGGUGGCUGGGGCUGAAAUUGAGCAUUGACACCUUGUGUUAGUGCACUCAUUGGAAUUGGAGUUGUUGCAACGCGGGCUAUAGGACUGCUUCGGGAUGCAUGGAUGACAAUUCGUUGAGGAGCAAGCUUCUGAUUGCAGGGAGUUGCGUGGACUGACGUGCCGGCAGCUAUGUUUCUCGGUUUUGGGCACUUGUCGGCGAAAUGACCCAUUCCUUGACAAUUGAAGCAACAGAUGUCUUCCCGGACUCGGCAUUUUCUUUUCUCAUUUCGAUUCCUCUGUCCUGGCACUGGAGUUAGGCUGAAACGGUGAUCUUGGCGGGGAUUUGUAUUGCCUUGAUGCUUCUCUCCGUUGGAACUGGCGGGUUGGUUGGCCAUCUUCUUCGUCAGCAGAAAACUGAAUUGACAAUCUUUUGGUACAUGAUCAGUUCCUUCACAAAAGAAACAAGUGAUCCUGCUCGUUGGACACCUGUCGGGUGGAUGGUCUUCCUUACAAUGAACGCAUGUAGAGGCACACGAGCUGGCAACAUGACCGAUUUCUCCACAACGAGAGCAUGCCUUAAGUUCUAUUUUAUUCUGGUUAAAACCUUGGGGAGACUUCUCAUCUUCAUCAUCUGAGGAGACUUGAUCUGAAUCUUCACUACCAGACACUCUACCUCCAUUAGCUAAAAGAUGCUCUGUCAACUGUUGUGCACCUCGGAAGGAAUUUCUUCUCUGAUGUUUUGUCAUUCCUGGUGGAGGCCAUUCUGUGCUGGUAAUGAUCAUCUUACGGACUUCAUCUUCGGUUCGCAUUGGUGCUUUUCUUUUCUGCUGAGGACAGUUCCUUGCGUAGUGCCCUUGCUCAUCACACAUAAAACAGAUGAUACUUGCUUCUUUUGGGUCAACAUGUGGCAUGGCAUGAGGGGCCUUCUGGGAUGUUGGCGGUGCGCUGACUUGUGGUGUGAGUGCUUGGACUGCCUCCAACUGCACUUGAGGUUGCAUCUGACUCGGGUUCAAAAUUGGCAUCCGAUGCUGCUGUAGUAUCUCUAUAAGCAAUUGGUUCUGGUUAAUCAGGUGUUGGACCACUGCCACACAACUGGUGUCUGGUGCUUCAUUCACUCGGGAGCUUGAGGUACCAAUGUCCUGACUUCUGACCUUAUUGCCUUUCUCAUUGUCAGCCAUCUGUUGCAAAGGUUUGGAGAGGGAGAGAGGGAAAACAAAGGGGAGAGACAGAUUAGAAACUAAGGAUAGGACCUUAACAGAUCUAAGUCUUUUGCUGUUAUGAUGUAUGUUAGGCUUAUUCUGCAAGUUGAUUAAGCAAACAACCUAGCAUGGUUACAUCACACCCCACUGAUGCAAACCACGCGCUACACACACAAACAAGGAAACACACGACUAACGACUCUACCCUAGAGGGUGGCUUAGGUUCUGCGACAGGUUCUCCAAGAUCUUCACAGCUGGCUUCACUGCUUCCUCCACUUCACUAGCAGAUCCUGCAGUCUUCUGGAGCUUCGGCAAACAACUGACGAUGUCCUCUUCUUCACUGACCUGACCAUCUAGUACUAGUUGAAAAUCCGAAGAAGGAAGAACGGAGUAAACCUUUUGCAAAUAGCAUUAGGGGAAGGAGAAAAAGGAACUUUCGCAAAUAAUUUUUAUUUAUAAAAUAUGUCCUUGGGUUUUAUCCACUUGGCUUAUCCUACAGUCGAGAUGGCUCUGAUACCAGCUUGUCGCGACCGGGAAAAUUGCCUUUUCCCGAACGCUAGUGUAUUAAUCCCCGUCCCAGGAAAAGCCGGGGUACACCAUACAAACAUGAUAUAAAAGACACAUCUUUAUUAUAUCGAUAAUAUUUACAUUAUUACAAAGGCACUUAAGGCCUGACAAUCAAAAAUAAACAGCAGCGGACUAGCGGGCCUACGGCUCCAUCUUCACAGGCGCUCAACUGGGGUAUAAGCCAGGACUCCACCUAAGACAUCUUCUCCAAAGCUUCUCUUACUGAAGAGGGGAAGGAUUGAGCAAGAAUGAGUACAACCACAGUACUCAGCAAGCCACACCGGCAGAUGCAUGAUUAAUGCAAGGGGGGUACAAGGGGAUAAUAAUAGGGGUUAGGUUUUGCAGUAAACAGCAUUUAAAAGUCACUUAGUUGCCCAAAGCCAUUUUGUAAAGACGAUCCUAGAGCUACACAGUAUUAUUAAACAAGGCCGUGAACCCUCACGAACCUGCCUUAACCCAAGGCCUACGAUGAUUUGGACCGAACUGGCAACCCGACCUGGGUCCCAGCUCGUCCCAAGCCAACCCAGGCCAACCAUUCCAUAUUUUAGUUGUUGAGCAAAUUUUAAGAAUUAAAACACUGACUUGGGUACAUUGCUCGGCUUGCCCAUAUCCGAGGGCUCGGCUAUUCGAAUAGAUUUACUCUGAUCAGAGGUGUACAUCUUUACCCACAAGACACAUCUUUACUCCGCAUUCCAUGGCCUUGGAACCCGUCGUAAAGAUGUGACAUAACCCUUCACCCAUCCUAGCCGUGAACAAAAGUACCGACCCAACCCUGCCUACGGCCGGUAUCCCGGGACAGGCAGGCCAGGGUUGAGCCCCUAGCAACAAGAUCUAGACCGGGUGCGCCACACACAUAGGGGUGAGGCCACCCGCGUACUAGUCCAGUGCCAUGGCAUCUCGACUAACGGGCACCGACCCGUGUAGUCUUCAUUUGCCUAGACAUCUCGAUUACCGAGCCGCAGCUCGCGUAGCCUUCAUUUGCCUCAGAGAUAUCCAUCGUCGCAACGACUUCAUCCAUCUCUAUCCGUGUCCUUUUGUUCAGGACUAGACUGAGCACCGAGUUAAGCCUUACCCAUUAGACAUGUGGUUAGUACGGUAGUGCUUUGCAACAGAGGCCCGAGCUUAAUCCUUAUAGUGGCCGGGGUGCUACUUCCCAUAACUGGCAUGCACCCAAACCCCACCGAAAACAGGUUUUGGGGGUUUUGAAAGAGAAAGAGAGGUGUAUGUCCAAUUCCACCAUAAUCCAACAAUUCCAUAGUGUCCAAAUGAUAUGAGAAUUCCCAAAGUCUAAAGUUAUAAAACCACCUAAUGUUGCCUAAUUAUUCAGCGAAGCAUCUACCUAAAUUUAUACUAGUGGAACCAUGAAUAGAGUACCCACUAGUUGGGGUUUUUAUUUUCCUAGGGUGAACAAGGUAAUAAUAACAAUAGCAAUAAUAAUGUCAUAACAAAGGUAAAUAGGCAUGGCUAAAUAAAACAGUGGUAACGCGGGAAUUUAAACAAAGCGAUAAUGCAAUAAUUUAAAUCAAAAUAAUUUUAUAAACUGGGAUUCAAUAUGCUCAAGGGUGAUGUGACUUGCCUUGCUCGCUUUCCCAAACGCCGGCUUCAACUUCCACGAAGAGCGGAUCUUCCGAAGCUGCAGCGUCUACACGACCAACGGAAAAGAAAAGGCUUUUACUCUAAUAAACUCCACACAACAAGCAGGAACAAAGCACAAAAAUGGGUUCUUUACUUCUUAAGGAAAAAUUAGAGACUUGAACGGUCCAAUUCCGAGUUCAAAUGGCCAAGAUAUGGCCAUUUGAAGUUUAUAUGCUCUUUAAAUGGAUAUUUGCGAAUUUCUUCAUUUAAAUUUUAAUUAAAAAAAUCGGGUUUAUUGCGUCAGCCGAGGGAGAGGGCGCGCGGACCGGGUCCACGGGAGUGGGGCCCACGCGUCAGCCCCUCGGUCCACGGUGGACCGGGAGCACGCGGCUGGCGGCGGCCGGCGCUGUGGGUCCCACGCGUCAGCCGCACCCGCGGGCGCGGGCGGCUGACGGCCGGGCCCACUUGGCAGCCGCGAGGGCGCGCCGAAGGCGGCCUCGCCGGCACGGCCGACGGGAGCGGCGCACCCGCGCCCCGAUGGUCGCCGCCGGCGACCAACGGCGCGGCGGAGCGGCACCCGAGAGAGAGGAGGGAAGGGGGAAGCGAGGGGGACGGUCUUCGGCUCACCCCGGUCGACGGCGACGACGGGAACGGCGGCCGAAGCGGAAGAAGGCGGCGGCGCGGUUCGGGAUGACGAUGACGACGGUGCUCCGGCGGUCGGCGGGCGAAACGGAGAUGCGGACGGGGUCGACGGGAACGCGGCGAAGCCGAUGGAAAUGACGCCGAGUCGGAAGGACGUCCGGAGCGACGUCGGCGGCGAACCGAAGGUCGACGGCGACGGCGGAGAGAGAGGAGCACGGCGCGAGCACGAAUCCGACGGCGAGAGCGAGCGGCGAGCGGCGGAAACGGAAGAGCGAAGCACGGGGAUCGAAUAUAUAGCAACGGGAGGGGGAGAGCGCGGCCGGGGAGAGAGGAAACCGCGCGCGGAGAUCUCGGGCGCCAUUGAAGACGCCGGCGAACUUCGCGGGAUGAAUCCGGACGAAUCCGAGGGAGAGAGAGAGGGAAAAGAGGGGGAAUCGGGAGAGGGAAACGCGGGGAGUAAUUCCCCCCUCUUUAAUGCGCGCGGGGACGGCGGGAUGCGGCGGAAUCCGCGGCGGCGGCGGCGCUAGGGCACGGGCGGGCGGCGGGAGCGGCGGGAGGAAGGCGAUGACAGGUGGGCCCCACCCGUCAGCGAGGGCGGCGGGCGGGCCCGCCUGUCAGCGGCGCGCGCGCGGGGGAGGCCGAUGGGCCGCGGGGGAGAGGAGAGAGAGGGAGGGAGAGUUGGGCCGAGCCGGCCCAAGAAGGGAAGGGGGGGAAAGAAGACUUCUUUUAGGGUUUUUCUUUUUAUAAAACCUUUUCAACUUUGUUUAUUUCUUCUCAAUUAUUAUUUGUGCUCUGAAAAUUCCACUAAAAUUUGAGGGCUCCUUUUAGACCAAGGAGAAUUUAACAAAAAUUCUCCGGGUCACAUUUGAAUUUUUCUUGUACGUAUUUUAAGGUUUGCCAAUUUCUUUUCGAAUUUUAAUUAAUUCUAUUAUUCCUUUUAGAAGAUGAUUUUUAUUUUGGGAUGAAUUUAUCAGGACGUGACAACUUGGACCAUUGUUAUUAAGGAACAUAGCUUGGACAAGUGGUGUAGCGACAUUGGCGACUUCAUCUCUUGCUCCUUCAAGCCUCUUAAUCUUACCAACCAGGACGUCAAACUGAGCUUGAGAUUUGACUUUACGGUCUACAAAACACAUUUAUGAUAAGAAUCUGCUGCAUUUAAAAGAGAGGAGACCAGAUUGUUAGCUGAUAGUACCUUCAACCUCUUUCAAGGCCGAGUCCCUUUGCGCAGCUAGUUCUACUUUGUCUCUUUUCAGGGCUUCAAUCUGUUUCUCCAUUUGAGCCAUCCUGGUAGCUUGCGCUGUUUGAAAUCCAAAUGUUUGAGGAUACAGCUAUGACAGCAUAAAUUAAUGGGACAGAUCUAGAAGAUUACCUUUUGAUGAACCACUUAGCUCGAAGUUUGAAUCCUGGAGCUGGGCAAUUCGGUCCCUUAACUCCUUCUCUGUCUUUUUGGCGUACUCCUUGGCCUCAUGCAGCUGGUCCCUAACUGCUUCAAGAGUUCCCAAAUGAGGAACCAGCCUUUCCAAAGUUGUAGUCUUGGCCUCAUUGCGAAGAUGGAUUCUCUGCAUGAUGGAUCAUGGUUCAGUUCUGCUAAAGAGAGAACAAAGUUAUUAAAGGCAGUCACCCGGAAGAUUUACAUUCACAAUGCGAGUGGCUUCUCCAAGUGCUUUCUUCAGCUGGCACACUUCCUCAUCUUCUUUUUGACGAUUUAUGACGAUGCCGGCAACUUGCGAGUUCUCGUCCCACCAUUUGAGCAAGAUAGGAGGACGGGAGUCAUCAGCCGCCUUUAUGCGAGGAAUUGCUUCUUCGUCAUCGCCUAGUGUUCCUGAUGUAUUUCCAAGACAUUAGACGAGUAAGCUGAAGUUAUUUAAAUCGGCAUCACUUGAGAAGAUGUGUUACCUGAGGAUGUUCCUGGCUGAACAUGAGGUGAUCCUUGUUCUUUAUUUAGAGACCCAAUCAUUGAGUCUUUACCAGCCUCUGGUCCUUGGGAAGUUGUCGUCUGCGCUUCAACUUCAGGGAUUUCUUCAUCGGGACCUACAUUCGACUGGUUUCCAGUCGGGGGCUCUUGUGUUGUUGCAGUUUCAGCUGUUGCCGACUGGUCUCCAGUUGGCGGCCGGUCACUCGGAUUGGCCUUAUCACCCAAAGCAUGGGCGCCGGUUGGCUGGCUUUCGGCAGUCGGCUGGCUUUCGGCAGUUGGCUCAGGAUCCUUGGAUAAAUUUGGUUCUGUCACAGUCGGAUCAGAAUCUUUCCCAGUGGGAUCUAUGUCGGAUGGUUUCCUGCAAAGUGUUCUUUCGAUAUUCAGUAUAAUUUCUAUGAGAGAAGCAUGUCGAAGGGAAAUGGUACCGAGAGGUUUAUACCUAGAAAAUGUUCUAAUCUUUGGCAUUUGACGGCCAGCCAGUUUUUUCUUGGGCAUGGUACGCUUUGGGAGUUUAUUAGGCGAGCCCUUGUCCCCAGAUUUAUCGUCGUCGCCUUCAUCGUUGUCGAGCACCAGUUUUCUCUUGCGAGAACCUGUCUGUCCAGUUGGAUUGGAGGUUUGAGGUUGCGGAUCUGGUCUGAUUUUUGGCCCUCCACCUCCCUGAACGGUGUGCUGACGAGGCGACCGGCGCUGAGUGAUUGGGGGAUCAGAUUUCAUCAACGCAUAUUCCUAAAUGAGAUGCUUCCACGGUUAAUUAAUUCAACAUGAAGACAAGAUAAUGUUUUAGUCAUAGAUUGAAGAUUUCAGAUGCAUACCUGCGGAGGCGGAUUGAAUGCAUUAUAUGGCACAACUGGCAGCUGAUGCGAGUAGCUGACGACAAUAGCAUUUGAGAAAAUUUUAUACAUUCUCUCCUUCAUGAUUUUAAAGUCCAGAGAGUCUGGUUCUUCACGAUUGGGAUCAUGCUUGCCGUCGAACUCGAACGCUGUACGGGAUCUUUCUUUAAUUGGUGCCAGUCGGCAUUUGAUGAAAUGCCGAGUAAUCUGCUCUCCUUGCAAGCCUUGUUCUUUGAGUUUUAGCAUGCGGUCCAUCAAUUCCAAGGCUUGAGCAGCUUUAUCUCCGAUAGGAAGAGAGUUCCAAGUAUCUUGGUACACCGGAGGAAGACAAGAGUACUCGGGAAGAGCAGGCUCAGGAUUCUGAACAUAAAACCAGUUCGCAUGCCACCCUUUGUUUGAGGUCUUGAAGGGCAUAGAGAAAUACUUCUGGCUCAGAGUUCCCCUCAACUGAAAUCCUGCCCCUCCGACUACACAUGGCUUAUUCUUGUUCGGUUGGGGCUUGAGAAAAAAGAUUCGGCGGAACAGAGCGAAAUGGGGUUUAAUUCCCAAGAAGGCUUCACAAACAUGGACGAAAUUGGCGAUAUGGACUAUGGAAUUUGGGUUUAGGUGAUGCAAACUGAUUCCAUAGAAACUUAAUAUCCCGCGGAAAAAUUUCGAGGUCGGAAGAGCGAAGCCGCCAUAGAAGAAAUGAGAGAAGACCACAAUCUCGUGUGUAUCGGGGGUCGGAAAAAUCUCACCGCACGCUGGCCGCCACCCGAUGAUCUCCUUGGCAGGGAGAACGCCGUGCGCCACCAUCUCCUUCAGGUUCUCUUCUGUUACGUCGGACGGCGCCCACUGGCCUUCAAAGCUUUCUUUCUCUUCCGCCAUCGAUUUUCCCCGAAUGCGCUGAUUUGAUUCGAGGGAUGGCUUGGGAGAGGUGAGGAAUUGAGGCGGUGGAUCACGGGGAGGAUUUUGAUCACUUUUUGAAGGUGGAUUUGAGUGGAAUGGUGAACCCUAGUUUGCCGGCGCAGUUCUUUACUGUAGCAGGGAGUGGGGAAAAUGGCGAGAGUUCCGGCGGGGAAGACGAAGCGUCGCUUGGAUCUCGGGAUUUCUUGUUAAGGGUAUCGGAGGUGCAAAUGGGCCUAGGCCUGAACAGUACCUCAGCCCAAUACUCUUAACAGCGUGGCCCAUUGUGUUCCUUAGGGACUUGGGCAUUUUUUGCUUUGGCAAUUUAUGCGCACAAUAGUGUUGCCCAAUGCUGAUAAAAUCCUUUUUAUGCGGUCAUAUAAUUCUUUGGAAUUAUUGCAAUGCAAAUUAAAAGGUGCCCGACAGAAAGGCGUCAUGCUGCUUUUUGUAAGCUUUUUUAGGCUACAAAAGCUGUCUGGGUUAACUUGGAGUGGCUUGUUUUUACCAUAGUCAUUUCCCUGGUAUGUUAUAUGCCUGUUUUUAUUAUGGUAAAUAGUCAUAGCCUAGGCUAUUAGACUUAUUUAUUACCAUAAUUUUUAUAAUACUUGGUGGGUAAUCUUUAGAGUUUUUAUUCGGAUGACUGUCAAGUGUGUUCAUUCGUGAACCUUUUAGAGUGUAAACCACUCGGAUUCCUUUUAUUAUGGCUAAAAAGCAGUCGGCUAGGAUGCCUCUUUAGGCGCCGCGUAUGCUUUUGUCAUAUGAUGCAUGAUUGUGCUAUUAUUUUGUUCUCAACUAUAUGUUUAGUUUGUUAACUAAUCACAUAGUUGGGGGCUACACCUAAUUAGGUGCAUCUAUUCGAUGCACCGUAUUCUUUAUUGUUUCGCCCUUUACAGUCUUCGUCUUCGCUACUCGGCAGGCCUUGGCAUGAAUAAUUUGAAGCACUCGGAUUACUAUCUUUGAGAAGGCUAUAAUGGUUGACUGCAAAGGUCUCGGGGGCUACUGUGGAGAUUAUGGAUAUCCCAUAUCUACACGGCGAUGAUAUUUGGGUUGAAUAUAGGAUACCGAAUAUAGAUAGAAUAUCUUGUGUGUAUCUCGGGUUUGUUUCUUAACUUGUACGUAAAGGAAAUACCUUGAGAUCUAGUCGGUCACGACUGUAUUUUAUCUGUAUCUGCCUAUUCCGUUAGGGAUAUAGAUUAUCUUUUGUAACACGGACUCCUUCCCAUAUAUAAGGGGGGUCCGGGUGCCUCUAGCGGCGGAUGUUGAUUUUCUCCAAAUCAUACAAUCAAUAACACACUCGGCGGAUUCAUCCCCGGACAGGAGUAGGGUAUUACUUCUUUUAUAAGAAGGCCUGAACCUGUAUAAAUCCUUUGUCUCCAAACCCAUACACUUUUCCAGCUUGAUAGCCACCCCCUUUUAUUAUUGCCGAAAUCUAGUUUCGACACUUUUGGUACAUAUAUAGGAGUAUCGGCUUUGUUUGGGUUGCUCUACAAAUGUGCUGAGGCUAUAGCUUGUGGUUCCUGCAGGAUCGCUAAUUACCUAAGUUAAUCAGUAUGAUGGCCGCCGACGGGCGACGGCAGCGCUGUCCAGGAGCACCGGAUACAGGUAUCGGAGUCGGGACAAGCUGAUCAUAAGGCGGUCGCCGCGGCACCGGAGAAGUGGCUGAACUACUUCGUCCGCUUGCUCGCGGUGAUCGAAAGCGUGGGCAACGCCUUCGGCACGGUGGCCUUCACCUGGGCCACCGUCGUCCUGCUGGGUGGCUAUCCGUCCGUUCUCAAGAGCGAUUUUCGUUAUGCGACUGCGAUAUUUUUCCUAGAAGCCACGAGGUAUGUAUACAUGCAAAGUCUCCUGGUCUUGCAAUGUUUGGCUGACAAGAAUUUGGAUAGAUGGAAUUCCAUUUCUAUAAUACAUUGAUAAUCUUCUGCAAUUAGCGUUUUUUUUCCUGUUUGGAUGCCACCUGACUUUGCAAGCUUGCACUAGAUAGAGAAGCACUCCAACCUAGCAAUCAUAUCAACGGCCUCAUCGUUUCGCUUAUUCGGUAAAUAAGUCAAACAACAUAUUUACAAAUGAAAAAUAAUUUGUGAAUAAAAUUUUUAUAUACAUGUUCUUAACGAUCUAAAAGACUAAAAAAUAAACUUUGAUGAAAAACCCCAAAAUCAACUUUAAAUUUAAGAUUAAAUAUUUAAAUUUCGGCUGAUAAGCAUGAGCGUAAGCGAAAAGAUAAGGCUGCAAAGCUGUUCAAUAAGGUAGUGUUUGGUUGCUGGGAUAGGAUGGGAUGGGAUGGGAUGAACCCAUUUUUAGGGGUGUUUGGUUCAAGGUUGAGUGGGAUGGGUUGGUCCCUAGAGAGGAAUAUUCCUCUCAGAUCCGGGACCAACUGAUCCGGCCAAAACUGGCGGACCAACUCAUCCCACCUGGGACGAGUGAACGGCGUGAACGAGCGAACACCAUCGCACGCUCGCCGCCCUGCUCGCGCGCUCGUCCUCGAGAGACGGCAGCGGGCUAGGCGACGGCGGCGGCGGCGGGCUCGACGACGGCGGCGGCGGCGGCGGUAGACGGCUCGGGCCACGGCGGUGGCGGACGGCUCGGGCGACCGCGGCGGCGGUGGGCUCGGGCGACGUCGACGGCGGUGGGCUCGGCGACAGCGGCGGCGGGGGGCUCGGUGGCAGCGGAUCCGGUGGUGGGGAAGGCGGCGGCGGCGGAUCCGGCGAUAGGGAAGGCGACGGCGGCGGAUCCGGCGAUGGGGAAGGCGGCGGCGACGGAUCUGGAGCCGGGGAACUCGGCGGCGGGCCGACCGUGCGUCGUCGCGCUUCUCCGCCCGCCCGACCGCGAUGAUGGCCGUGCUCGCCCUCCUCUCCACCGGCCUCUCCCUCUCCCUCUCCCGCGCGGACCUCGUUGCCGUCGUCAUCGCCAAGCCGCGGCUGCUCUGCGCGAAGGCUGACACCAUCGCCGCCAGCGCUCGGUUGGGUCAUCCCGUCUGUCGUCGUCGCGCUCCUCCGCCCGCUCGUCUGUGAUGCCGACACCGUCAUCUCCUCGGUGCGUGUGACCCAGGCCCCGACCAGCCCAAGCUCAUCGACGCCAUCAAGGAGGCCGGCGACGACCACGUCCGGAGGUGAGGGCAGAGGCGGCGUCGGCCAUGUUUGUUGUAAACGGCGUUAUCGGUGGUUGCAAACAGCGCUCAUCCCAUCCCUCCCUCGUCCCUUCAACCAAACAAAAAACUGGGAUCGUCCUAUUCUACAAACCAAACACCCGAAUGGAAUCAUCCCAAUCCUAAAAUCAGGGAUGGUUUCAUCCCAUCCCACCUAGUCCCAGAACCAAACACACGCUAAGAUUUCAAGCGUUUCAAACUUGUAGUGUGAAACUAACUUUUGAUAAUCAAAUAAUUGGCUCCUAUGCGCCUUUUUGUUUUUAUGGUAUGGUACCUUCUACUACCAUGUGUAGUAGUGUAGUAAAUUUUAAAUCUAACUAUAUAUUUUCAUAAGUAUAUAAAAUAUUUUAUUUGAAGCUUUAGUAAAAUAUAUUUACCAAUUCAUCUAUUUUAAUAUGGUAUAUGAUACACGAAUUUAUUGUAAUGUUAUAUAUAUUAUUUCUAAUUUUACCCCUAUAUAAUUUCUACUACACUACUACCGGGUGUAGUACAAUAAAAUCAAAUCCAUUGAAUCUGAAGCGAUUAAAGGCUCAUAAUCAUUUGAGGGUACCUUAAAAUUCCGUCUUUAAGGCCCUCAUUAGAUCCCACCUCAAAAUUUUACACUCUGCCACAUCGAAUGUUUGAACACCUGCAUGAAGUAUUAAAUAUAGGCUAAAAAUAACUAAUUGCACAGAUUGCGACUAAUUUGCGAGACGACUCUUUUAAGCCUAAUUGCUCCAUGAUUUGACAAUGUGAUGCUACAGUAAACAUUUGCUAAUGACGGAUAUAAUAUCUGAUGUGACACGCCCAAACUUUACAAUAUCUAAACACCCCCUCAAUUCCCUUCUGUUUAAUGAUUAAACAAUAUGACUACUUUCAGGAUAUUCACCCGCAACAAUAGGCUGGAUUAUCAACUGUUCUUCCGGACGAGAGGUGCCUUUAGACGACUGGGCUGGAACGGGCUGAUGGUAAUCGUGUGCUUCUCCAUUUCUGUGGAGAUUAUGGGUACCCUAUACCCACACGGCAUGGUUAUCCGACUAGUUAUAGGGGAUAACUUAUAUGUAUGGAAUAUGUAACAGAUCAUGACUUGGGUAUUACGUUUCCUUAUAUAUUACGGAACAGCCUAAAGUCCUGGUUUGAUAAUAUUGUAAAGUAGAUUUAGGAAACCGAUACCGUAUUGGUUAAGGUUUCUAUCUUGUAAUCCUGCCCCCCACCCUAUAUAAGGUGGGCAGGAGGCCCUCUAGGGGGCAUGAGCACAUAUUGUCGCGACCGGGAAAAUUGCCUUUUCCCGAACGCUAAUGUAUUAAUCCCCGUCCCAGGAAAAGCCGGGGUACACCAUACAAACAUGAUAUAAAAGACACAUCUUCAUUAUAUCGAUAAUAUUUACAUUAUUACAAAGGCGCUUCAGGCCUGACAAACAAAAAUAAACAGCAGCGGACUAGCGGGCCUACGGCUCCAUCUUCACAGGCGCUCAACUGGGGUAUAAGCCAGGACUCCACCUAAGACUUCUUUUCCAAAGCUUCUCUUACUGAAGGGGGGAGAAAGAUAGAGCAAGAAUGAGUACAACCACAGUACUCAGCAAGCCACACCGGAGAUGCACAAUUAAUGCAAGGGAGUACAAGGGGAUAAUAACAUAGAGGUUAAGUUUUGCAGUAAACAGCAUUUAAAAGUCACUUAGUUGCCCAAAGCCAUUUUAUAAAGACGAUCCUAGAGCUACACAGUAUUAUUAAUCAAGGCCGUGAACCCUCACGAACCUGCCUUAACCCAAGGCCUACGAUGAUUCAGACCGAACUGGCAACCCGACCCUGGGUCCCAGCUCGUCCCAAGCCAAACCAGGCCGACCAUUCCAUAUUUUAGUUGUUGAGCAAAUUUUAAGAAUUAUAACACUGACUUGGGUACAUUGCUCGGCUUGCCCAUAACCGAGGGCGCGGCUAUUCGAAUAGAUUAUACUCUGAUCAGAGGUGUACAUCUUUACCCACAAGACACAUCUUCCUCACGUGUAACCACGUGCCACAUACCACCACGGUAUACGGACGGAAGACGUGACAUAGUUUCCAACCCAUCCUAGCCAUAGACAAGAGUACCGACCCAAUCCUGCCUACGGCCGGAACCCCCGGGACAGGCAGGCAAGACUGAGCCCCUAGCAGCAGGGCACCAACCCUCUGCCAAUGACAUCUCGACUACCGGGCCGCAGCUCGUGUAGCCUUCAUUUGCCCUGGAGAAUGUCCAUCGACCCCCGACUUCAUCCAUCUCCAAUCCGUGUACUUUUGUUUAUAACCAGACUGAGCCACAAACUAAGCCUUACCCACUAGACAUGUGGAAGUACGGUAGUGCUUUGCAACAGAGGCCCGAGCUUAAUCCUUAUAGUGGCCGGGGUGCUACUUCCCACAACUGGCAUGCACCCAAACCCCACCGAAAACAGGUUUUAGGGGUUUUGAAAGAGGAAGAGAGGUGUAUAUCCAAUUCCACCAUAAACCAACAAUUCCAUAGUGUCCAAAUGAUAUGAGAAUUUCCCAAAGUCUAUAGUUAUAAAACCACCUAAUGUUGCCUAAUUAAUCAGCGAAGCAUCUACCUAAAUUCAUACUAGUGGAACCACGAAUAGAGUGUCCACUAGAUGGGGUUUUGUUUAAUCUAGGGUGAACAAGGUAUUAAUAUCAAUAACAAUAAUAAUAAGGUCAUAACAAAGGUAAAUAGGCAUGGCUAAAUAAAACAGUGAUAACGCGGGAAUUUAAAUAAAGCGAUAAUGCAUUAAUUUAAAUCAAAAUAAUUUUAUAAACUGGGAUUCAAUAUGCUCAAGGAUGAUGUGACUUGCCUUGCUCAGAGAGAACGGCCUUCCGAACCUUCGGCGACGACCACGAACCACGCUUUGGAAACCUCCGGAACGACGAAAGCUACGCGAAGCACACAAGCAAAGCUACAAGCCUAUAAAGAAGCAAUAACAAUACAUAAAAAGAAAGCACAGGGUUCUUUAGGUUAUAACAAACAUUAGGAGACUUGAACGGGUCGAUUCGGAGCUCGUAUGACCAGGAUAUGAUCAUCCGAAGUUUAAUGCUGUUAUAUGGAGAUUUGCGGAUUAUUAUAAUUAAGCUUUGCAAUUAUAAAACAGGUGCAAGCGCUAGCCUGGAAAAGACAGGAAGGCUGCGCCGUUGACAUGCGGACCCCACAUAUCAACCUAAAGGACCGCGGUAGACCGAGUACACAGAGGCGGUCCACGGGUCGACGGAAGCGGACCCCGUGUGUCAACCGAGGCGAGUGGCCGACAAACGGACUCCACUAGACACCACACGGGUUGCACACGUGGAAACCACGCGGCUACCGAGCGGGCACACUAACACGGACACUACACGGUCACCACCCGCACACGUGAACGACUACCGACACCGGUACACGGGUACCGGGGUCGACGACCGCACAACGGGUACGGGGCGACACCGAAAGGACGAGGGCGGGGAAGCGAGAGGACGGAUCCUUACCACCACGCGGCGAGGCGUGGGAACACCAACGACGAACGGGCGCGGCGGAGACAGACGGGCACAACGGAGACGAACGGCGAGGGGACGGCUUCGGCGGCGAUCCUUGGACGAAGGCGAGACGCGGCCGGCACGAGGCUUGACGACGCGGAGCCGAGGACGAACACGAGGACGGGGCUGCAGCGAUCUUGACGAAGCGAGGACGACGAACGAGAACGGCUUGACGGAGGGACGAACGCCACGACGACCGGGAACGACGAGAGGACAACGACGACGACGACGACCGGGACCGGCGAGGAGGCGACGAGGACAGCCGGCAGCGGCUGCACGGGGACGAGGAUGACGUGGAACACGCCGCUACGAUGACGAUGACGGAGGCGGCGCCGCGAGGCGACGAGCCGGGCGACCGACGGGACGUCGACGACGAGAACGAUCGGAGACGACGAUGAUGGACCGCGGAGGGGUUUGGAUGGAGGGGAAACGAUGCCGAGGACGGCCUUGCCGCUGCGAUGCCGGAGGUGGUGGAGGUGUGGCCGACCGGUGCACGGGCGAGGAGGGACGGGCGGCCGAACAACUCCGGCGAGGCGGCUGGAGAGGUUCGCGGCGAUGUGCGGCGGCUUCCGGGCGAAACCGAGGGGUGGACGAGGUGGAGGGCUACGUCACCGUGCCGAGGGAGGGGACGGCAGCGCCGGCUGACGCAUGGGCAUGGCGAAAAGGGCAGCCGGGGGAGAUGCCGCCGAGGAGGAAGGAGAAGCCGGCGCGGGCGACGGUGUUCCGGCGAAGUUCGGGCGAGGAGGAGGUGAUGCCGGGGAUGAGAGCGGCGUCGUGGAGCCGAGGAAGGUGGUGGCGACGUCGACCGGCGCUCAGGCAGGGAGAUAGAGGCGGCUGGAGGCGGCCGGCGCGGAGGAAAUGGAAGGGCGACGGCGGAAACGUAGCUCCGGGGGUCACCUCGCGAGACGGAGGGCAGGCCGGGGUGGAGGAGGUGGCGGCGACGCUGGAAGAGGCGACGGCGCGGCCGGCCGGUGCGCGGGCGAGGCGGCACAGGCGGCUGGAGGCCGGCCGGCAACGUGGGAGAGAGAGGGCGACGGUGGGGAGGUGGCUAGAGACCACGGGAGACCGCGGGAGGGGGCUAAAGCGAUAGAACGGAGCGAGGGGGUUGCAUUUUAUAGCGGAGGGAAGCGAGCCGAGCACGGGAGAGGGCGGAACGGCGACGGGAAUGGUGGCCGGCGGCAAAGGAAGGCGGCCGGACUUGGCGCGGCCGUUCCCGGCGAUUGGGGGCACCAUUCAAGGGGAAAUUAAGGGGGAAAGAGAGAGGAGGGAAAGGGGAUUAAUUCCCCUCAAUCAAUUUGGGAAUCCCAUGCUUGAAUCGCGCGGAUUUGAGGGAGGAAUGGCGCUAGGGUUCACGGGAGAGGGAGAGAGGACGGCUGGGCGGGAGGAGGACGAUGACUCGCCUGACGCGUGGGCCCCACGCGGUCAGGCGGCGGCUCGGGCAGGGGGGGGGGCUCGGCUGGGCCGGGACACGGCCCAGGUGGGAGAGGAGGGGGAGGCGGCUUGGGCCGAGCAGGCCGGGAGGGGAGAGGGGGGGGAAAGGCAGCCCGGGAGAGAGAGGGAGGAGGGAGUGGGCCGGGAGGGGAGGAGGCCCAAGAGGAGGAGGGAGAGAAGGAGAGGGAGAGAAAGAGAGGGAGGAAAGGAAAACUUCGGCCGCGGGCCGAGGGGAGAGAGGGAGGACUUUGGGCCAGACUUGGCCCAAAGGGAGGAGGAUUAUUUUUAGAUUUUCUUUUUAUUAAACUUUGAUAAUUGUUGUUGUUGUUUAAUAAUUAUUUCCGGUGUUCUGAAAAUUCAAGUAAAAUUUGAGGGCUCCUUUUAGACCAAGGAGAAUUUAACAAAAAUUCUCCGGGCCACAUUUGAAUUUUUCUUGCACGUAUUUUAGGGUUUGCCAAUUUCUUUUCGAAUUUUAAUUAAUUCUAUUAUUCCUUUUAGAAAAUGAUUUUUAUUUCGGGAUGAAUUUAUCAGGACGUGACACAUAUGAUCGUCAGAUCAAUACACACUCGGCGGAUUCAAAUCCCCAAACAGGAGUAGGGUAUUACCUCUCAUUGAGAGGGCCUGAACCUGUCUAAAUCCUUUGUCUCCACAUCCAUCCACUUUUAGGUCUCGUGCGCUACCCCGUUUUAUUAUUGCCGAAUUCAUGUUUCGACAGUUGGCGCGCCAGGUAGGGGUAAACGCCGAGUUUCCUGACGACGAGUGCGAUGGAAUCAACUUUAUGAGUCGCCGGCUUCGUCUUCGCUUUGGGAGCUCCUUGAUUCCUCGCCGCCGACGACUUCAACAAGACGAAUCGUCGCUGCUAUUCUCUGCCUGAUCUUGUUCGCAUCAGCACGACGGCAACGACGGGGCAACGACAGUUCGACGGAUUUGAUGGUCGUCCUCGUCCACCACCAAGCCUACUGGUCCAAUCUACCCAACGAGGAUGCCAUGGUGUUGCAAGAUGGAUCUACAAACACGAAGCAUGCCAAAACCGAUCUAAUCGGAUGCAUAGGAGACGGCUGCAGCCACGCCGAUGCCUUCCUGCCGUCCUGCGUCGUGCUGAUGGACACCAACGCCGCCCGCGACUGCGACCUCCGCCUCCUCCGCUCCGUCUCGGAGUCAGUCGAAGAGAUCAAUCUCGGCGAGUUUUUUCCUUUUAAUCUCCGACUUCGCCAGGUUUUUUCCUUUUCAACUUAUUGUUGUUUAUUAGAUUGAUCUCUAAAUGUCAGAUUAAUCUCUCUUGGUAUUUUCUGCUGUUUGCAUGUAACGCCGCGGCACUACUCUUGCCGACUGGUGUUUCCGUCUGCACGGCUGGCCUAUUAUGCCGCCGCUGUUGGGCGUCUACGACUUCACCGCCGGCCUGCCUCCGUCGCCGCCGAGUGGUGCCUCCGCCUACACGGCUGGCCUAUUAUGCCGCCGCUGUUGGGCGUCUACGACUUCACCGCCGGCCUGCCUCCGUCGCCGCCGAGUGGUGCCUCCGCCUACACGGCUGGCCUAUUAUGCCGCCGCUGUUGGGCGUCUACGACUUCACCGCCGGCCUGCCUCCGUCGCCGCCGAGUGGUGCCUCCGCCUACACGGCUGGCCUAUUAUGCCGCCGCUGUUGGGCGUCUACGACUUCACCGCCGGCCUGCCUCCGUCGCCGCCGAGUGGUGCCUCCGCCUACACGGCUGGCCUAUUAUGCCGCCGCUGUUGGGCGUCUACGACUUCACCGCCGGCCUGCCUCCGUCGCCGCCGAGUGGUGCCUCCGCCUAUACGGCUGGCCUAUUAUGCCGCCGCUGUUGGGCGUCUACGACUUCACCGCCGGCCUGCCUCCGUCGCCGCCGAGUGGUGCCUCCGCCUACACGGCUGGCCUAUUAUGCCGCCGUUGUUGGAUGUCUACAUCCUCACCGUUGGCUCACCUUCGUUGCCGUCGACUGGUGUUUCCGCUUACGCGGCUGACCUAUUAUGCCGCCAUUAGUGGGCAUCUUCGCUUUCACCGUCGACCGCCUUCGUCGCCGCCGACUGGUGUCUUCAUUGUUAUUGAUGGACGACUUUGUUCCCACAUUGGCCACUUCUGCCAUCACCAAGGGGAAUAUUACAAAGCUAAGUCAUCAUUUAUUUUAUUCUUUAUAUGAUAUUUUGCCUUUUCCUCUGCCUCACUACACCAAUUGGUCUUCCAUUGAGUAGUGAGUCGGGGGCUACAGAUGUUAUAUCAUAUUUUUUAAACAAUUUUCAUAAUAUUUAUCUUGAUUGCUUGCGACAUAUUCUGAGUACAAAAGUGCCUAUCGAGUUAUGGAGUUCCAUCUUCCUAUGCUUUCCGUUUGGUUUGCCAAUGGAUAGUUGCCUUUAGGCCGAUUCCUAGCACCCGGGGGCUCGUUGGAUGGACCGAGUAACGCAAGGUGCUAAGUAUUAUUCGGAAUAAAUCAAAAGCAUAGAGAUAAGAUAAUUUAUUUUCUGCUCUUAAUAAUUGCAAAAGUACCCGAGUAGUAAACUCCGAUCCGUGAAACUUUGUUCCAUUAAUGACGAACUCAUGUCACUCAUAUGCAUGUUUGGGAAGUGCUUAGGCCGACUCCCAGUGCUUGGUGGCUAUGACUAGUCGGGCAGAGUGUUUAAACGUAAUGAGUCAUCUGCUUGGGGAAAUCAAAAUUAACAAGAGAAGAAAUACGUAUUUAUAAACUGCUUGAUUUUUUCUCGAGUAUUAUAUUUAUAUCAGAUACUACUCAUCCUAUAUGUUUGUUCUGCAGGAUCCAGAUCCAGAUAUGCAUAAAAGGGAUUCAUGGCUUUAAGCUUAUCUCUUACGCUCCAGGAAUGGAUCAGUCAGAACAUCACCACCGGCUCGCCUCGACCGCCGCCGACUGGUGUUUCCGCCUGCACGGCUGGCCUAUUAUGCCACCGUUGUUGGGCGUCUACGUCUUCACCGACCGGCUUGCCUUCGCCGCCGCCGACUGGUGUUUCCGCCUGCACGGCUGGCCUUUAUGCCGCCGUUGUUGGGCGUCUACGUCUUCACCGACCGGCCGCCUCGUCCGCCGCCGACUGGUGCUUCCGCCUGCACGGCUGACUUAUUAUGCCGCCGUUGUUGGUCGUCUACGUCUUCACCGACCGGCUGCCUCGACCGCCGCCGACUGGUGUUUCCGCCUGCACGGCUGACUUAUUAUGCCGCCGUUGUUGGGCGUCUACGUCUUCACCGACCGGCUGCCUCGACCGCCGCCGACUGGUGUUUCCGCCUGCACGGCUGACUUAUUAUGCCGCCGUUGUUGGGCGUCUACGUCUUCACCGACCGGCUGCCUCGACCGCCGCCGACUGGUGUUUCCGCCUGCACGGCUGACUUAUUAUGCCGCCGUUGUUGGGCGUCUACGUCUUCACCGACCGGCUGCCUCGACCGCCGCCGACUGGUGUUUCCGCCUGCACGGCUGGCCUAUUAUGCUGCCGUUGUUAGGCGUCUACGUCUUCACCGACCGGCCGCCGCAUCCGCCGCUGACUGGUGUCACCGCCUGCACGGCUGGCCUGUUAUAACGCCAACUGAUGCUAUCUUCUUCACGGCUGGCUACAUCGCUGUCACUACUAAUAGGCAUCAGUAUCUUCAAUACAAGCUGCCUACGUUUGCCAUGGCUGCCGACUGGUUUCUUCACUUCCAUGGCUGCAUGAUUCUGCCAGUGUUGAUUGGCCUUACCAUCUUCAUCGCCGGUCGUCUCGUCUGCUGCUGACUAGUGCCCUCGCCUCUACAUUUGGUUUAUACAGCUACCACUACUGAUGGACAUCAUCGUCUUCCGCCGCCAACUCGUGUUAUGCCGCCGCCGACUAGUGCUUUUAUCUUCACAACUGCGCGUCUUCACUACCGGUUUGCUUCUGUUGCCGACGACUCGUGUUCACUUCAUCACGGCAAUGCAACUUUGUCAUCAUGGUAGAGCGACUUCAUCUUUAUUAUCUUCGGCACUGGCAAACUCUAUUGCUGCUACUUCGCAAGUUUUGCUACUUCACCAACCACGACGUCUUUGUGAGCCUCGACAUCUCGGCAUGCGAUGCCAUGUUAUUUUACUACAACAAGAGGCUCUCCAAUAUUCAGGAUUUCUACUUGGACAUCUUCAACACAUAUCUUCAAUCAAGCAAUGACUACUCGACGACAAGAAGCUAUAAUUCUCGACUCUAUGUUCAGUUGUUUCCCAACUAACCAAAGAGUCGGGGGCUACACAAAUAUAAGGCUCAAAAUUUGACAAAUUUUAUAUAAGCCAAUGAGUCAACUCCAGGAGUCAUUAUCUUCAUCUUUGCUUCGGAACAGACAUUCUACUUCAACAACUUCAAAUAUUUCGGUUUGGACGAGUUGGACAACAACAUCAACUCUCCUCCAAGUGAAGCAUCUACAACAGCUAUAACAUUAAUUUGAUGGAUUAUUGUCACUGACAUCAUCACCAGCACCUCUGCUUCAUCGACCCUGACAUCUCUGCUGUUGCUAAUGGAUGAUUAUGUUUUCGCCGACUUAUUAUUUCACCUUCACGGUUGACCUACUAUGCAAAUGCUGAUGAGCGUCUUUGUCAUUAUCAUUGGUUGCUACACUGCUAUUGGCUGGAUCACCGACAUCGUCAUCUUCAUCAUGUCGGUUGCGUUUGUCGUUGUCAACUACACAACUUUAUCGCUGAGCGCCUUCAUAUUCAUUGCUGGCUGACCUGACUGCCGCCGACUGGUUUCUUCGCCUCCAUGGCUAUGCGACUUCAGUACUUUUGAUUGGUAUCACUAUCUUCACUACCACCAAUAUUUUUGCCACCUCUGGUGGGCAAUAUUCUCUCUAUAUUGGUUAUCUUGUCUCUAUGCCAACUGCGUCAGCUACCAUCAAUAGACAAUUGUGACUACGACAUAAGGACAAGCUAUAUGCUCAGGGGCUUACUAGUUCAAACACAAGUAUUAUGUCUCCAAUUUGGACUUGUUCCGGAUACAUGCAACAUGAAUUUAUGAUCAUGGGUCUAUUUUCUAUGCUCAAAGACUGGACUAUUUAUUAUUCCCCGUAAGGGUUAUCAACCGAAUACUUGCGCCAGUCGGGAUUCAAUUUUUAUAUCUAUUUUGGAGUAUCCCAUAAGGGAUAAUCACUCAGAUCACAUGGUCUAUAUCACCCGGGAGCAUGUUACAUGCGUCAUCCUUUAAAGGGUAUCGAAGGCAUAUUUUUUGGCCAAGGCCUAAUAUGUCUGCAGCCCAUAUUUUCAGGUGUGGCCUGUCAUGUUCUUUUAGGGACUUAGGCACUUUUUGCUUAGGCCAAAGUGCGCGUGAUCAAGUGCCCAAUACCUUAAAAUCCUUUUAUACCGCAGUUACUCAACUUUUUAGGAGUUGGUACAAUGCAUCUUAAAAGGUGUCAAACAGUAAAGCUUUAUAUAGCUGCCCCGCUGACUUUUUAAUAUAGUCAUGGUGCUGUUUGGGUUUUUAAGCAAUUGAUUGGAUACAAUAUCGUUGCUUUUUGCCACGUAAGUGUGCAUUUUUAUUGACCAAUAUUAUGGCUUAGGCUGAUUAUAUAUUGUGGUCAUUUUUCAGGCGGUUGGUAAAUCCUUUAUGAGUUUAUUUACUCGGAUUUUAUACCACAUAUGCCAUAUAUUUCCAGGUGUGGUGGAACCAUGUGUCUUCUAGGGACUUAAGCACAUCUGUUAAAGCAGUGUGCGCAUGGGGUAUGCCCAAUACUUUGGAAAUUUCUUUAUUCACAACAUACAAGCUUUUUUAUAGCUGUUUUGCUAUGUGAAUUUUCAAUAAUGUAGCCAACUUUAGGUUACACUCAUCAUAUUUUACAAAGCAGUCGGUAUAUCACUCGGAUCAUGUUAUUCAGGGAUUUACACCGCAUAUGCUACAUAUUAAUAUCAAGUCGCUUAGUUAACUAUAAUUAUCGAAGCCACUCGGUUGGUUGGAUUAUUUAUUCCUUGACUAUAUGCUUGGUUUGUUCACUUAACCGCAUAGUCGAGGGCUACACCUAUUAGGUGCAUCUAGUCGAUGCACCUGACUUUAUUUUUCAGCCCUCCACAGUCUUCAGAUUUGGUAAAAGUACUCGGGAGACCAUGGCAAAGAUGAUUGAAGUACUCGGCUUUGGAGUAAUCUGGUUCGAGAGAAGAUUAUCUUUUCGACUGUGAAGGUCUCAGGGGCUACUGUGGAGAUUAUGGGUACCCUAUACCCACACGGCAUGGUUAUCCGACUAGUUAUAGGGGAUAACUUAUAUGUAUGGAAUAUGUAACAGAUCAUGACUUGGGUAUUACGUUUCCUUAUAUAUUACGGAACAGCCUAAAGUCCUGGUUUGAUAAUAUUGUAAAGUAGAUUUAGGAAACCGAUACCGUAUUGGUUAAGGUUUCUAUCUUGUAAUCCUGCCCCCCACCCUAUAUAAGGUGGGCAGGAGGCCCUCUAGGGGGCAUGAGCACAUAUGAUCGUCAGAUCAAUACACACUCGGCGGAUUCAAAUCCCCAAACAGGAGUAGGGUAUUACCUCUCAUUGAGAGGGCCUGAACCUGUCUAAAUCCUUUGUCUCCACAUCCAUCCACUUUUAGGUCUCGUGCGCUACCCCGUUUUAUUAUUGCCGAAUUCAUGUUUCGACAAUUUCUAUGGUGUCUACGGUUGUUUGGGAAGUACGCCGGCCACGUAUAGUGAUUGAAAUUAUGGUAGUAUUGUUUGCUGCUGGCCAGUUUCUAUGUGCUGAAGUUCUAGGAAUGCGCCUACGCAUCAACAGUCGGCUACGCCGUCAGAUAUCGCUGUGGAGCCUAGUGGUUGCACUCUUUAUUACUUGCUUUCUGUGUUUACAGAGAGCACAGGAGCUCAUAGCUGGCCAUGUGGAUAUUGUACGGUUUGCUCCUUGUGGUUGUGCUCCUAGUGACUAUUAGCAGGCUGCAGUUCCCAAUUAUAAUCAGCCGAGUACAGGGUGAUUUGGGUCGCAAAUACAUAUUUUGGCGCCCAUUUAUCCUACUAGCAGCUCGGAAAGUUCCAAGAAAAAGGUAUGAGCAAACCAGUGGCAAAUCCAAAAAAGACAAAGGAACUGGUACAAUUUUCAAUGAUGCCAGCAGUGAUGGCUCUGAUGAUGAAUUGGGCAUCGGAAGUGAAAAGGCUGCCAUUGAAACUUCUUCAGAUGAUGCAUCCUCAUCAGCUGACUCAGGUGGGAACCUCAUUGAAAUAGUAUCACUGAACAUGCUACUUACCAGUAUUCUCUCCGAUUGCAUUUGCACUUUGUUUUGCAUAUGUUUAACCGUGGAAUAAAAAACUAUGCCCUCUUUGUUUAUCUCUUAUACUUCUUCUGGAAAAUACCCUGUUCUAUGCAAAAUGCAAAAGCGAUGAAUUAAAAGAAAGUUAACGAAGACUUGAUUAUUGAGAGAACUGAUCAUACAACAGCUAGUGUUGCAAUUUAUUUUCGUACGUUCACUUGGAAUUCCUGUGUUGAUAUUUCUUUGGCUAGUAUUAUGUUCUAUGUAUCUUCAGAAUAUCAUUUAAUAUUUGUAAUGCUGGUUUAGUGCUAUGGUGAUUACGAUAUGGAAUGUCAGGAGCAAUGUACUCUUUGUUUAGAGCAGACUUUUCAUGAUAUAUGCCUUGGGAUUCUGAUUCAGUGUGAUUAAUUAUGAAAUAUUUUCUAACAGUGCAUCUGAUAUGCUACCUAGCUUGCUUAUGAAAGUGAUCUAAUUGAUGUGACAGGUAUUUCAUCUGCAGCCCAUGAUAGUGGCGAGCCUGAUGACGAUGGCAAUGCAUCACUGUAAGUUCUCUAAUUUACAAAGAGAAUGGUCUGGUGUAGGAAUUACGUUUCCUUCGAUUUUGUUUAUGUACUCCCUCCGUCCCAAAAAAAGUGAAUCUAGGACUAGAUGUGAUAUAUUAUAGUACAACGAAUCUGGACAAAUGUAUGGAUUCAUAGUACUAGGAUGUGUCACAUCCAGUACUAUGUUGGUUUUUUAUGUGACAGAGGGAGUAAUGUAGAUGAGCAGGUACAGAUAUUGUAUGGUACUGAAUGUUGAUGAUCGUCAACAAAUUGAAACUUUAGGAUUUGCUGCUCCAAUGAGGUGCACACUGGUUUAGGAUCUUUCGCUAUUGUCUCAGUGACAUGUGGGCCUACAUUGAGUGGCAAAUCGUUCUUUGGUGAUGCAAAUUUCAAAACGUUUUUCACAUUAUCAAUAGCGAUUUCCAAAAUUUUAUAGAAUCACCUGAUAUAUCUGUCAUGAGAAUCACUUAGAAGAACAAGGCUACCUUCUGGUCUUUUGCUCUAGUUGAAGACCGCUGACACGUUUUCUUUUUAUUUCUUACCAUUUGUUCAGAUCACAGAAAUCUCGCAAAGGGGGGCUUGGCUCCAUCCUCAGAGGCUCUUGUAGUUACAAGAAGGCAAAGCAGAAACAAGCCGUGCAAUUGGAUGACACCGAGGUUCCUGAUAGCCAGCCAAUGGACAUUUUCUGAGACUGAACUUGAUACUUGAAAGAAGAAACACGGACAGCUUUGGUUUUCCAUUAUUUUCAUCCACCUGAUAGCAUGCCCUGGAGUUUGAGCAUUGCAUAUUAGUAUCCCAACCAGCCUUGAUACCAUGUAGUGGGAAGAAAAAUGCACUUGGCUGAUUCUCAUGUUACCACAUGGCUUUUCUGCUCCUUGAACUAAACAAGCGCUGCGAUCUCAGCUGGAAUGUAAUCACUAUCUGGUGGAUUGUCCUCAAUCAGAGAUUCCACUGAUUUUUUUAUGAGGCGGUGUGCAACUCUUCCAAAAAGGAUAAAUGUAGCAUUGGAGCUGGCAUCACCGGCGAUGAGCACUACUUUAUAUCUACAUGGGUAAUAUACAUGUGUAUAUUAAUGUGUGCAGCACAAUUAGUAAGCAUGGAAAAAUCUGGAAUGAGGUGUGGUAUGAACCUUGGAUCUGGUAUUCCUAUGUUAGAACAGCUUGAGCAUUUGUAGCUAGAACCGUAUGGCUUAGAAGUUCUAUAGCAUAAUCGGCAUGAAUUGUACCACCAGGAAUUUUCGCUGCAUAUCCUCCUAACAGUGACAUUGACAAUGAAACGUGUACUCUGAAAAAGCAAAGAACAGAAAUGAUAUCACUAUUAUUGAAAGUGAGAAAAUGUGCAGCGAUGUAUUGAACAAAAAACUGGCAAGGAGGUACCCUGUUCUUGUGAGGAUUGAGGGCAAGUAUUUCUUGAAUAGUUUUUUCCUCUGCAGUGUCCUGGUUGUAACCUGUUGCUGGGUUAUCAACCCAGCUCACUGGACGAAAGUUUGCACUGAAGCUACAUAGUUAUAUCACGUUGAAAGUUAACUAACUGUUUCACAAGGAGUGAGAACACAUCAUGGCAAUGGAUUAUAAACAUGAGUUCAAGUAGGCAGCCUCACCUCUCUUUGAGUUCUAGCACUUCAGGAAUAUCAAGGUUUAGAUACCAUUUGCACGGCGAACUACCAGUCACUGUAAGACCUGUAUAGCAUGAACCAAAUAAAAGCAUAGCGUUAGAUGGCUAGAAUAAACAACAUAGAAGUGAAAAUGCGUAGUGAAAACGAACCUAAUCCUGUGUAAUCUUUGACAAGUGUCCCAACAAAGACAAUAACUUGGGCCUGAGUUUGGCCAGCAUUGUAUACACUAUUAGCGUCAAAAGCAUCAGCCCUUUCUCCCCAGAGUGUAACAGGCAUUGUUGAAUUGCUAUUGUUUUUCCAUGAAUAGAAAAAAGGAAACAGUGUGAGUGUAAUUUAAGAAAGCAGCGGCGCACUAAGAAUCUAUGCAUGCAUAAAAGGAAAAGGUAAAAAUUGCAAUUAAACAUAGGGAUAUUCAGUCUGAGCAAAGACACCUUGCAUCACAUAUCUGUAUUGUUCUUUUUAAGCUAUCAGCAUUCCUUGACUUCGGCCGCACAACGGUUGGCGAACCAACCUCAGUGAUGACACCCAUGACAUCUGGUUGCAUGCCAUAUAAGCCUAAUUAAUGAUGAGAUAGUAUGGAUUAUUGAUACAACAAAUAUAGCUGUGUAGAAGAAUCUCAUUACCAACAUAGAAGAUGGUCUUGUCCACUAAAUUGGGGAUAUCACUGAAUGGUGUCAAUGAAAAAGUUAUGCCAGGGAAAUCAGCAGCGGGCUCAAUGUAUUCUUCAAAUGUUGUCCAUUUACUGAACACAAUCAUUAGGCUAUUGUCGACUGGCCUGUAUGUCCUAUUCGCAUACCUCACAGUAAAGGAGUCAAUAUAGUAAACCUUUUGUUCCUUAAGCAAAGGCCUCAGGCUGUCAAUUGCAGGUGGAUAAAUCUGAGCGUGAAUGCUGUUUCCCUGCAUUUUUAAAGUAAAUAAUGUUAUCAAGAGAGUUGGCACUAUAGCCUAAUAGGCAUCGAUGAAUAAAUGUCAUAGUCACAUCAUUACCAUCUGAUCGAGCAGCACAAGAUCAGUGUGGAAAAUAUUGCCACUGCCGUUGAGAUCGCAGAAAUCCCAUAACCUAGAAACUCUUGCAAGGAUCCUUGUGUUUAAGUCUCCACAGGACAGCUGUGAAAUGAGCACAUGUGCCAUCUUGGACCUGCAAUGAGCAUAGAACUAUUUUAGAAUGGGUAAAAUGGUUGGAUAAGAUAUAACAGUCAAAAGAUUGCUUGGCAGGAUACUAUACAUGACAAAAGGCAAUAUACUAUGUACCAUACACAUAGUCUAUAGUACUUGAGGCUGAAAGACAUUUAUUCCAAAAUAUAUGUACAAAUUUGGGUAUUACUGUGGUCAAAAAUUUCAAGCAUCAAGCGGCGGAGCCUGCAAUAGUAACACAUGCACAUUACUCUGCUGAAAAUACAACGAAGUGAUGAAAAGCAAAAAAAAAAGAUAUAACGUGCGGGAAAUCACCGCUUGGACUGUAGCGCUGAGCACUUCAGAGUAAACUAUAUUUUUUGUCUGUGUACCACAUGAUCCAUCAUCAUUUUCAAUUAAUAUUUUUAGCCCUGAUCGGCUUGUUACUCUUGAAAUAGCAACGUAUAAUUGCCCAUGUGUGAAGACAGGCUUCCUAAGAUAUACGCCAACCCGCUGGAGUGUUUGACCUUGGCUUUUAUUGAUGGUCAUUGAAUAGCAAACUCGAACAGGGAACUGCCUUCUCUGCAGUGUAAAAGGCCAUUUCAUCUUUGUGGUGCCAAGUGUGAUUCGAGGUAUGUAAACAGUUUCACCAAUGUUUGAUCCAGUCAGUAUUAUACACUGUAAAAUUCUGUCUCCUAAAACUGUGACUAAUAGCCUUGUUCCAUUGCAUAACCCAAUUGAUUGAUUAAGAUUUCGUAGCAACAUUACGACAACACCUUCUUUAAGAACAAGUUUAUGCGUUGGAAAGUUAGUAGCAUUUAUUGAAUUCAGAAACUCUGGGGGGUAUAACAGAUCGAAAUCUGGAAUUUGCUCAGAGCUUUUUGAUAUGGUAUCACAGCUUAGGUAUACUCUAGAAUCUCCUGGCACUAAACCAAUAAUAUAAUCGUUUAUUUCAUCAACCGUUGUAUUAGUAGGACAAACAAUUGCACGAGAAGCCAGAUAUUCAAUGUCUCUGUAGCACGUAAGGAAAUCUGAGUAAACCUCAUGAACAAUAGCAGCUAUUUUGUCACCGCUAGUCAUAACAAGUAAGUCAUCGGGAAUUGUGAUCCAUGCAGGAUAAUUCUCACCUUCCUUUGCUGUCAUAGGUAAAGUGCCAUUGCCUAUAGCUAAAACCCAUUGACUAAAAUCAUGCAAUUCUUUUUUUUGAUUGUCUGGUAACAUUGGAUUGAGUAAUCUCAUGUUUAUAUUCAGGCUGAGUAGCGCUACAUGUUUCCAUAGUUCUGAGUUUGUGAUAGAUGCAUUGAUUAUAGCCUGACGGGAUCCUUUAGGAAUAACUGGGAGUAUUUGUUUGAAAUCACCACCUAGGACAAUAGGCUUUCCUCCAAAAGGUACAAUAGAAUUUGAAGGGCAUGUCUCUGAUAAAAUAUCUCGUAACGUUCGAUCUAAUGCUUCAAAGCAUCGCCUAUGUGUCAUUGGAGCCUCAUCCCAUAUGAUCAAUGCAGUUUCAGCUAAAAGCUCAGCAAGCAUUGUGCCUCGUUUUAUAUUACAGAUGCUUGUUUCAUCAAUGUCAAUUGGUAUUUUAAACCGAGAAUGAGCUGUCCUACCUCUAGGCAAUAGGAGAGAUGCUACCCCUGAUGAAGCGACAGCAAGAACAAUCUUGUUUUGUGAUCUAAGUUUCGCAAUUAUUGUAUUCCAGAGAAAUGUCUUGCCAGUUCCACCAUGACCAGACACAAAAAAGAAACCAGGUUCAUUAGCGAUAGCACGAGAACAAAUAGUGCUAAAAACAGUUAUCUGGUCAUUAUUCAACUGCUGUACGAAAGAGUCUGCAUGCAUAGCAAGCAUAAGUGGGUCAAUUGUGAUUUCUUCAUCGAUUAAUCUAUUAGUACCAAGAACAUGUGGAACAGAUGAUGGAUGUGGCAGGUUAAAAUCUUUGAUAUUACCACCGCUAUUUGCAAAUACAGCAAUAAGCUCAUGUAGUAGCAUGUUAAGCAAGUGGUCAUGUGGAAUCACACAGUGUGGAUUGUCAAGGGCCUUUUUUAGCCUGUUAUGUAUGUCAUCAGUCAUGUAUAGCCAGUAUUUAUCAAACAAUGAACGAACAUCACCAACAGAACAGUAAAGAAGGACUGUCACAAAAAGUUGUCUAAGCUGCGCUGAAGACGCAGUCACUAUGGCCUCAUCAAAAAGGAGAUGCCAUUCAUUAUCUCCUUCAAGAAGCCCUCGUGCCUCACAUGCCUCUCUAUACGUGCCAUAAACAACACCAUCGUAUGUGCGAACAUCAGCAUAGCUUUGAGCACCUUUGACAAUCAUUAACAACAUCCUAAGAUAGUAAAGCUCGCCCGCAGUUGGAUGCACAUAAUAUAUUCUGCCAAUUUUAGGAGCAGGUGUUCGCUCGUGCCAAGUUUUAGAUGAUGGCUCCCAUGUCCAUUCCUUAGGAAACUCACAGUAUGUCAAUGAAUGGGCCUUAGAAUUUUUUUUGUUAGUUUCAAACCAUUCAGUAAGCAUAGACCGUUUUGCACCAGGACUCUCAAGGACUGCCCGUAGGUCAGCUCCCUUCUCGUAUCUCACAAAGUUUUUCCCAGGCAGAUGGACAACCAAUCGCUCAACAGGUGGCACUCUAUAAUGUAUAUCAAAUUCAAAUAAUCGAUGAAGUGCCUCAUAGGUUGAGAGAAAUCUUGCAUCCAUGUAUUCUAAUAUUUCAUUGCGUGGAGCAAGGUCAUGAUUUGGUGAUGCAUUUUGUGUUUUUCCUGUUGUUUCAAAAUAGAUCCUAGCUCGGUCAUGGCCUUUUGUAAUAUAUUUAAAUAAAUACUUUAUCAAAUUUGAUUUGUUACACCACUCAACAUUUAUGUGUGCCUCAUAUUUUUUCAGUAAAGCCAUGUUGUAGGGUACAACUGAUCUAUUGUCUAAAAGGAUCCCAUUCUUCAUGAUAGAUCGUCCAUCAUUUCUUCGUCUAUAGAUUGUAAACCCAGAUUCAUCAACAAUGGUUUCAUCUUGGAAAUCUUUAGGAUAAUGUUUUGAACAUUUAUCGUUUUUCAUACAAGGACACUUCUUGUUCGCAUCACUGCAAGGACCAUGCAUCAUAAACUCGCUAACCAAUUCAUAUCCUAGCCGGUCGGUGUCAUAGUCAGGUAUCUCAGCACAGAUAAACCCAUCUAUUAUAGAGGCUGAGACAUCGGCAGUGGCAGCAGCAAGCCAAACUAAGCAAUGUAUGUGUGGAAGGCCACGCUUCUGGAAUUCAACAGUGUACAACACUGUAAUCAUUAAGAACAAAGGUUGAUGAGUGCCACACCAAUGGCCUUAAUACGCUAUAAACUAACAAAAUUGUGACCAUACCUGCAAGAACUUUACCAAAAGUUCUGCCUUCCCUAAUAUCAGUUAUAAAUUCAUUAACUUUCAUGUUAAACACACGCACAAUAAUAUCAGCUCUAUCAGAUGGUUGUUGGCCAGGCUCAAAUCGAAUCGCAUCUGCAAUUUCUUGCCAUUUGGAAUGACAUGUGUAUGUGACAAAAAGGUCAGGAGGCCCAUAGACACGACAUAUUGCCAUUGCAUCUUGAUAAUUCAUGACCAUAUAUCUUCUUCCUCCAGUGAAGCUAGCAGGAAGUAUGACACGCUUGCCAACUGAAUCUCCAUCAGUGACACCUUUAUCAAUCGCAUCAACAAUUCCAUCUACAGACUCAGAGCGCAACUCUUUUUGAUGAUCGAUGAAGUAUUGUAGCCUAUUUGUUUCAAUAGUAGAAAAUAUAUCAACAUCGAUUUGAUCGCUCAAGCGACCAUAGCAUGUGAAAGGAUUUGGUUCAUUUAGUCUGUAAUGCAUUUCAUAUCUAUAAUAUUCCGGCAUCGUGACAUACUUUUUGCCAAUUCCAUCAUAGUUACUGUAUUUAAUGCCUAAAUGGAAUCCGCGUUCACCAUAUGGAAACAACAAAGGAUAUUGCAAUGCCAUAUAAGAUGGAUGCAAGGGAGAAAUCUGGCACAGGCCACGACCUUUAUCGUAGACAAGCACAUCAAAUUUGUAUUCUUUCGCAGAAAAAUCACCUACUAUAAUAGCAGCUAUUUCACUGUUCGUUGGUAAAUUGUAUUGCACAUCGUCUUUUGCAUUGCAACCUAAAAGGCGAAGUGUCACUUGCUGAUUGCCAUGCUGAAUAACACGUUCUCUAGCAUACCUAAAGCUCUGGACAAGAGUAUUUUCAGCAUCAAGCAUCGAUGAUAGGGCACGAAUUAUCUCAGGAUCUGCUUUAUCUGAAUUAUCACCGUCGUUUUCAAAUAUAUUUAAUCGGUUUUGUAAUUCAUUUUCUGGAUCAUACACAUAUAAUUGCGCAAAUUUGGGAGGUGAGCCACAGGAUGGCACAAGAGUACCAAUCCUAUGGUGCACAACUCCAUUGAUCUUGAAUACAUAAGGUGCAUUUCCAGUGUUAAUCGAUUUAUCAAUAGCUGCACCCAUUGAGCUGAAAGCAAACAUCGAAUUAUACGAUCGUAUUUGCCUCAAAAAAUUUUUCGAACGUGCAUCACCAUUAUAGUUCAAUAAUGAUGCUAGUGGCUCAGGAGGGGCACGCAGUUUUGGCAAUUGUAUGCGUCCUCCUUUGCAACAUAGAUUGUAAAUUAUUUUUCUUUUUGAAAUAGCAGAUGCACUCUUGACCCUCUCCUGGUACCAGAACAUGGCACCACAAUACGGGCAUUCAUACGUCGGAGGGCCAUAGUAUGAUCUGUCUGGGUAUGAUGCUGCCACAAAAGCGCUGGACAAUGUCAAAAAUAGUCUCGUGUAAAAAAACAAUGCAUUACGUGCACGUAUUCAGAACAGCGGCCGAACCCUUUAGCAAUCGGAUAUACUCCUUGUCUGUCCGGGAGGAACUACCGUUGGCUCGUGCAGUGUGAUUUGCUGCGAACAAAGACAGUAAAACAGCCUAUGAACCUAAACUGCACGAAAAAAAACAAGCCUACCAUCACAGACAACAAAAAGAGCAUACCAUCCACAUUGGCCAAAGGAACGGACGGAUCCAUCUUUGAACGCAGGAGGGAACGCCUUUGCCUAUUUAACUUUGCCAGCUGAGGUGCAAAAUCCAUCAACGAACAUUUCCUCUUGCACCGACUUUCCUGAUGGGGCUGCCCUAGCGGAACGAUAGCAUGUUCUAUAUGCAUUGCACUCUGUUGGGACAGAACAUUUGUGGCCCUUCUCUGCCGGCUGGCACGUACCCUACGCACUCUAUCCAUAGCAUGCGUUUCUAACUGCCAUCAUAAUUUUACAGAGGCAAGAAAAGAAUGAAGCAAAGAACACGGGCAAAAAAAGUGGCUCAAACCACACAGAUACAGUGAACGAACAAUAUAAAACGACCGAAAGCUCUGGAGCAACCACAUGCAGAUUUAGACAGCGAUGAAUGCAGGCAAUAGAAACAAAAUACUAAACCAAUGAACCAUAAAUAAAGGACAGAAAGAUUAAUAGCGCGGGAAUACCUUUAGCAAGGAAUAUGCUCGUCGACAGGCAGAAUCCACUAAAACGCACCACGAAGCGAACACACAAGCUGUGAACAGAGGCAAGGAAGAAGACGGAACAGAGCUGCAGAGAACGGAGCAUGAUCAGUGAAUAAGAAUGUAGGAAGCAAAGCAUAACACAAGGCCAAUGAAACCAGCAACAACCAAAAGUACCUGCUAGGUCUUAGAAGCAGCCCGCACACGUGCAAUGGAAGAUGAUCAGGAACCUUUAAAGGUCCAUUGCAGCCCAUGCAGAUUGCCUCCCCUAAAUGGAACAAAAGGUGCAGGGUCAAUGCUACCAAGAACAGCCGCGCAGUCAUAAGCAAACAAACAAGAGAGAACAAACAUAAAACCCAAAUGACAGAACGGACAGGAGAACCACACGCAUUGAUCCAGGCCUUACCACGCCAUAACGAAAAGUUGAACAGGAGCAAAACGAGUGGGAGUUUCUCGAGCAAGGAACAGAACAAUGGAGCGAAGAAACCGACGAGAGGAGGAGAAACCGAAGGGAAGAAAGAAAGAGAAACGCAAGUAGUAAUAUAUACAGACAAAGAUAGAAGGGGUUCUCCGCCGAGCUGCAGCAAGGAAGCAAACAAUCAUGUACACCUGCACACCAAACACCCACAAAUAGGAACCAAACAAAUGGCUAGCUGAGAUGACACUGCCCCACCUAUCAGCGAUAUAAGUGCAGCGCACCUAGCUACAACCCAAGAAAACCUGACCAGAGAGACUAACAGCAUAGGCUGCAGAAGAAGAAGACUGCAUGGACCAAGACGAAUGAACCAAGCAUCCAAGCGGAUUGGACAUGGCCCAGGACGCAGAGGAACGGGGCGCAUACACCAGGACCACAGCGAUGCCUGAUAUCGACAACCCACGCAAACGCACCAAUAGCGGAGAAGCCAUCACAGAGUAAUCCCACUACAGGCGCGGUCUCCAACAGCAUAUGGUCCUAGACCGUAACACACAGGUUCAGAAUAAAGCAGACCCACCGGCCAGAGAGAAACUGUGCCAUGGACACAGCGCACACGCGCACCAAGCGACCAAAGCAAUCUGACACAGCAGCUAAGGCAAACAGCAUAGACCUGUUCCACGUUAGGUACGAACAGGCAGAGGCCAUGCGGCCCACACGGCAGCCACAGGCAAUCUGUGGACCAUGGCUACCUCAAAAAACAAAGAAAUGCACCACGCAACGCAUAACACCGGAGAAAACAAUGGCAAGGACGCCCACCCUACCCUGCGCGCGGUGCAAUGCACCGCACACAAACCAACCAAAUGAGGCCACCACACAGGGAACAACACGUGGCGGACGCAACGCAGAGAACCAGCGGACGAGAAAAAGGAAAAUGUGGCAUGCCAAACGCACCGACGCACGAUGGUCAUCCAACGGCGGAGAACGCGCGCAACGACCGCGCUCCAAAUCCACCCCUGGGCUCCGGCUGGAUGACGUGCCAAGCAACGGCAAGGGCCACGACAGCGUAAAUCGCCGCCCAGAGCAGCCAUUUCCGGCGGGUUUGUAUAUAGAAGAUGCUCGUGCAUGCUCGCUGCAAUUGUGAUGCCGAUGUUCAUGAUUGAGAAAAUAUAUCGAUAUGCGAUAAUGUUUGUCGACAUAGAAGCCUUGGCCAUUGUGUCAUUCGGCAACUUACAGAUUCCAGCAGCAAUCGCGCAUGUCGAGCUCGCAGGGUUGCGCCUUAAUCCAAAGGGCUACGACGGCCAAGGUGGCACCCCACAUCUUGUCCCAUCUCUAAAAAUCUUCUAUGGAAUGGUGAUUAGCCAGGGAAUACCUUACAUUGUAGCCGGCAUACUGGAGGUCUUCUCGUUCAUCCCUCAGAGAGCCCUCAUCCGAAAUGGUGGAUUUACAGGUCAGUGGGGAGUAGAAUCUGUCAAUCUGUACUACGCAUACGCCUACGACAAAUACAUGGAAGGAGGUUUGUUUGCAUCAAAGAGGAUCAGCCUCAGCAACUUUGCCAUUGAUUCUCUAAAUUCGGACCUGUCCAAGAAUCAGCUGUAUGGGAUACGGAUGAUGCAUAUAUUUCUGCAGAGAGAUCUGACCAGGGCAAGGCUGCUGGAGAAACUCACCAGUUCAACACAGACGAUGGCCAGGUUAAUCAGCAUGUUGGACUGGAGUAGUAGAAACCAUUGUACAGCUAUCAGGUUAUAUGCUGCCAAGGUCACUGCCAAGCUUGCAAAGAACCUCCGAGUUGUAACCGUCCCUGGAACAUUGCAGCUUGUAUCUACGCUCCUGGAUGCUGAUGGAAAGCCGAAAAGAGGACACCCACUCCUAGUUGAAGAUGAUGAUCAAGAUCAUUUUGUUGAUAUAUUAGAUAGACAAGAUAAAAAAACAUGAUAUAGCUGGUGACCAAGAGCCGACUGAGGACAUCGAUAACCUGUUGGAAGCACCAACCCGAUCAAUGCACAUCAACGACCAAAGAUACAUACCUAGAAUUUGGCAGAGGAUACUGGAGUACUGGUCGAUUCCCAAGGAGCAGCCAUUGACAGACGAUGAUCUCCUCCCUGCACUAGGCAUGUCAAUCAUAUAUAGCCUUGCUGAAUGUGAUCAAAAUAACUGCGUGGAAAUCGACAAAGUAACUGACCUGAUCCCCAAAAUCAUUGGAUUCACAAGCUUUAGAAGUGCAAUGGUAAAUUCUGAAGCACA
rnacentral:lncRNA from 1 species